AUGGAGAUAUUUUCACCACCUGUGGACAAUGUUCACCCUAGUGGAACCAUGUACGUACAGUCCCACGCCCUUGAUGCCAACGCGGGCGCCUGGGCCACCUGUUCUUUUUGCAUGGAGUGCUUCUUGGAAUUCUUUUUGUGGCUAACCUUGUGACGCGAGAGGACACAAGCUUUCGUCGCCGCUGGCCGCACAACGAUGUCGUCGAUAGCUAUACCCCCUUGGCAGUUGGCAUGCAGCGUAGGCCGCAUAAAUCUUAACCAGACCUGCCCGGAAAGAUUUUUGCCCGUUCAUUUUGUUGGAAGGCUGCCACGUCUGACAGCGGGACUGCCGAUCCAGGAGGGCAACGGCCUCGCCCCGGGGGCUCGGGGGACUUGGCGUCCACGCCUCCCAGCGGGAGCACGACCCGCUCCACGUCGUGAUCCCUUCCGUCUCUCUUGUUUCGGUUACAGUAGAUCUUAUCCUUUGUAAUCAUCCAUGUAUACAUAGCACUAUAUGCAGAAUCAAUAGACACACAGUUUCUACUCGUCUAACUUGGUAUCACAGGUCUCUCGCUCCUCCCGUUCCUACCGCUUCUGCCAUGAGNNNNNNNNNNNNNNNNNNNNNNNNNNNNNNNNNNNNNNNNNNNNNNNNNNNNNNNNNNNNNNNNNNNNNNNNNNNNNNNNNNNNNNNNNNNNNNNNNNNNNNNNNNNNNNNNNNNNNNNNNNNNNNNNNNNNNNNNNNNNNNNNNNNNNNNNNNNNNNNNNNNNNNNNNNNNNNNNNNNNNNNNNNNNNNNNNNNNNNNNNNNNNNNNNNNNNNNNNNNNNNNNNNNNNNNNNNNNNNNNNNNNNNNNNNNNNNNNNNNNNNNNNNNNNNNNNNNNNNNNNNNNNNNNNNNNNNNNNNNNNNNNNNNNNNNNNNNNNNNNNNNNNNNNNNNNNNNNNNNNNNNNNNNNNNNNNNNNNNNNNNNNNNNNNNNNNNNNNNNNNNNNNNNNNNNNNNNNNNNNNNNNNNNNNNNNNNNNNNNNNNNNNNNNNNNNNNNNNNNNNNNNNNNNNNNNNNNNNNNNNNNNNNNNNNNNNNNNNNNNNNNNNNNNNNNNNNNNNNNNNNNNNNNNNNNNNNNNNNNNNNNNNNNNNNNNNNNNNNNNNNNNNNNNNNNNNNNNNNNNNNNNNNNNNNNNNNNNNNNNNNNNNNNNNNNUAUUUUUUUUUUUUUCAAGCAGAAGACGGCAUACGAGAUUGGAGAUGGGUCUCGUGGGCUCGGAGAUGUGUAUAAGAGACAGGGCCUACCCCGUCGCCGCUGGGCCUCCUCCUCCCGCCCCAACCUGGGAGCAGCAGCAGGCGCUGACGGCCCACCUCGCGAACAUCCAGCUGCAGCCGCCGCCCACCAGCUCCGAGUGGUUCAUGGACACCGGCGCCACCUCCCACGUCGCCAGCUCCUCUGGUAACCUCGCCAACCAUUCUUCCUCGAUGCAUUUUCCCUCACGCAUUACCGUUGGCGACUACUCGUCCAUCCCUGUUGUCGCGACCGGCUCCACGUCUCUUCCUCCCUUCACUCUCAACGACAUCCUUGUUUCCCCUGCCAUCGUUAAGAACCUCAUUUCCGUUCGUCGUUUUACUAUUGAUAAUUGGUGUAUUGUGUCUUUUGACCCCCUUUGGCUUCUCUGUGAAAGACAUGGCAACGGGGAAGGUGCUCAUGCGCUCCAGUAGUACCGGCGAUCUCUACCCGUUCUUCUCCAAUAACGACGGCUCCGUGGCGCUCUCCGUUUCCAGCCCCGGCGGCAUAUGGCACCUCCGCUUGGGCCACCCUAGUCGCGCCUCCCUCUCUAUUUUCGCAAACAACUUCUUAGACUCAUGUAAUAAUAUGCAAGGCACCUUCGUUUUUACUCCCUGUAAUAUUGGCAAACAACCACACCUACCAUUUGCUUCCUCCACCUCUCGCACUACCUCCCCUUUUCAGCUUGUCCAUUGUGAUUUAUGGACCUCGCCGGUUUCUAGCUUCUCCGGUUUUCAGUACUAUCUUGUGGUGCUUGAUGAUUUUACUCACUACUCUUGGGUAUUCCCACUACGACAAAAAUCCGACACCGCUCCUACUCUCUUACGCUUUUUCUCCUAUGUACACACCAAUAUAACCUCUCUAUCAAAUGUGUGCAGUGUGACAAUGGCGGCGAAUUCCUCUCCUUCUCCCUCCGCGACCAUUUCUCUCGCCACGGUGUAGUCUUUCACCUCUCGUGCCCCCACACCUCUCCCCAAAAUGGUAAGGCCGAACGCCUUCUCCGCACCACCAAUGAUGUCCUACGCACCCUACUCGUUCAUGCCCACAUGCCUCCCGAGUUUUGGGUCGAAGCACUAUACACCGCCAACCAUCUCAUCAACCGCCACCCCUCCUCCGCGGUUAACAACCACACCCCAUACUACCUUCUUCAUGGUGACCACCCCUCUUACGAUCACCUCCCCGUUUUCGGCUGUCUUUGCUUCCCCAACCUCACCCACCUCGCACCACAUAAGCUCGCUCCUCGCUCCACGCCCUGCGUCCUCCUCGGCUUUCCCCUCGAGCACAAAGGAUACCGCUGUAUGGACCUCCGCUCCCGCCGCGUCUACAUCUGCCGCCAUGUUACAUUCGACGAAAGUCGGUUCCCUUUCGCCGAACUCUUAGCACGGCCGUCCAACCUGUGGUGCCACUCCCUUCCCCAGCCGUCUACGACGUGCCCCCACCAGCCUGGCACCUGCGCGCCCUCCUGCCGCUGUGACGCUCCGCCGCCCUCCCGUUGCNNNNNNNNNNCGCCUCUACGCCCCCGUCAUCCGCCAUCAGCCCCAUCCCCUCCUCUUACCGCGCCGCCCUCAAGGAUCCGAACUGGGCCAACGCUAUGCUUGAGGAGUAUAAUGCAUUGUUGCGGAAUGACACUUGGUCGUUGGUUUCUCGUCCUGCAGGUGCAAACGUGGUGACCGGCAAGUGGAUCUUCCGCCACAAAUUCAACCCCGACAGCUCGCUGGCUCGCUAUAAGGCGCGGUGGGUGCUCCGCGGCUUCACUCAGCAAGCUGGCGUUGACUACGGCGAGACGUUCAGUCCCGUGGUCAAGCCCGCUACCAUCCGCGUGGUCCUCGGUCACGCCACCAGCAACUCGUGGCCCAUUCAUCAACUGAAAGGAUCGAUAUGGUUGGCUAGAGGGGGGGGGUGAAUAGACAACGUCCACUUUUUAAUUAAUCUUAACAAGUUAAGGUAAACACUAUACGGGUUCGCAAAUAAUAUGACAAAGAGGUGAUCCCUAUAGAAGCUACCAACAAGACCUAUUAAGACAAGUAAGAUAUAGUCACAAGUAAAAGCAAAUACAAAGUAAAGGUUAGAGAUAACCACAAGUGGAACCGAUGGAGACGAGGAUGUGUUACCGAAGUUUCUUCCCUUUGACAGGAAGUACGUCUCCGUUGGAGCGGUGUGGAGGCACAAUGCUCCCCAAAAAGCCACUAAGGCCACCGUAUUCUCCUCACGCCCUCGCACGAUGCAAGGUACCGUGAUUCCACUAUAGGUGCCCUUGAAGGCGGCGACCGAACCUUUACAAACAAGGUUGGGGCAACUCCACACAAAGCUUGGAGGCUCCCAACAAGACCACGAAGCUUCACCAUAAUGGAAUAUGGCUUCGAGGUGACCUCAACCGUCUAGGAUGCUCAAACACCCAAGAGUAACAAGAUCCGCAAGGGAUAGGUGGGGGAAUCAACUUUUCUCUUGGUGGAAGUGUGGAUCUAGGCCUUCUCAACUAAUCCCUAAAGAAUCAACAAGUUUGAUUGGCUAGGGAGAGAGAUCGAGCACUUUUAAGCUUGUGGAGCAACAAUGGAGCUUAGAGAGGUAAGAGAUAGGGUUCCUCAGCUAGAAGAACCCUUUAUAUAGUGGGGGGAAAAUUCAGACCGUUUUCCCACUCUCUGCCCGAGAUCCAGCGGUACUACCGCUGGGAAGGAGCGGUACUACCGCUGCCUGGCGGUACUACCGCUGGAUGCAGCGGUACUACCGCUGGGGCUUCCAGCGGUACUACCGCUGGCACCAGCGGUACUACCGCUGGCCCCUUGGUAGUGCAUAAGCACUACUACCGCCGGGAAAGUCUUCGCGAAAGGGUCCGUCCACGAACUACCGCUAGGUAGGUGGAACAAGGCACCUAGAGCGGUACUACCGCUGACCAGGGGGCGGUACUACCGCUGGCUGCGGUACCAUUUUGCAGAGAUGCUCAAGACGAAUAGGCGAGGGCCGCUCCAAAAGAUAAGGAAAGGGAGAAUGCAAAGUGUGCGUGUGAAAAGAUAGAUUCCACCCAAACCUUUCCACUAUGGAUCCCCUCUUAAUAGUACGGCUUUCCUAUGACUCAAAUAAAGAGAAUCGUAGAGAGCGCCGUGCUUCCGUUCCAGAAGAGAGGAGACGAGUCGUCUUGUGCCGUUGACGAGUGUUACCUGAAACCUUGACACACACGAUUAGUCUUGUACGGUACUGUCAUCAAUCACCAAAAUUAGUUAGGCAUAAACUAUGCCUCAACAAUCUCCCCCUUUUUGGUGGAUUGAUGACAAUACCGGAUUUUCACAGAUAAUAAUAUGAGAAUAAAAAGAUAGAGAUAUAUGACAUAUGACUCACAGCAUAUGAUGGAAAUAAAUCUAAUCUCACAUAAGAAAGAUCAUGUCUCACACAAGAUAGCAAACGAAUCAAACCAAGUUCAAAGCAAACCAUACGAGAUAAAUCAAAGCAAUGUAAAGUUCGAAAUGAAAGCAAAUCCUAGACUCUCUCCCCCUUUGGCACAAGACAUCAAAAAGGGGGCACACCUAAUGCCACAGGUAACUACUCCUCGUCUUCAGGAUCACCAGACUCGUCUAUCCCCUCCUGGUCGGUCUGCUCCUCCUCUGCUGCCUCAUCGCCAGACCACUGGUACCCCUGAGCCUGCAUCCAAGUGGCCUCCGGAGUGAUGUCGUCCUCGGAGCCGCUGAAGAUGUCCACAUCCAAGGUCCUGAGAACACGCUUAUGCCUCUGGCGGCUCUGCUUCUGAGCCACGUGUGUCUGAUACUGACCCUUGGCCUGCAUACAGAAAAGUGUCUUCAUCUUGUCCUGCAGUUUGAUAGCCCAAGAUGGCAUGGCAGACGAGCGGGGCUGAGAGGUAGGUCCUUUGCCAGCAGCGGUCUCUGUAUCAGUGUCCAUGUGCUGAGAAGAUGAAGAUGGGUUGGCCCACUUGUCCUUGACGCGCAGCUUGAUUGGGUCAUGCACAAUGUAAUCAGACUGUGCGUAGAGCACCUCAUCCGGAAACGCCUGUUGCCACUUAUGGCUGAUGUAUGCGAACAGAUAAGGCCCGUAGAUAGGAACCUUACGGUUGAUGAUGCAGUUCCAGAGCUCUGUGAACAUCACAUCUGCAAUAUCCAGUGGAGCAGACUCCUGAGACAUAGCUUCCUCACACAGUAACAGCAUCUCAGCCAAGUAGCCAUGGACCUCAUCGAAGUUACCACUCCGAGGGAAGAGGGUGUUGCGAAAGAUGCGAUGCAUGAUGUCCAGGUGCUUGGGAAGCACCCCCUUCCUCAGAUACAGUGACUGCAGUCUGUCCUUUGCGAGGGCCCUAUCCGUGGGGGCUGGAGCGUGAGGACGCAGCCCAAGAGGAGUGUCAGCACCCUGAAAGUCAAUGUGAAGGAACUGCAUGAACUCUGCCCAAGAACCGGUCAUCUUCUUUGACCCAGUCAUCCAUAUCAUGGAGCGCUGUUCAUCAUGGGAGAAAUGGAUUGUGACAUAAAACUGAGCAACUGCCGUGGGAUCAAAAUCCGUCUUGAAGGAGAUGAUGUUUUUGAUGCCCAGCUUGUCAAUCAAAGCGAGGGCAUCACCAAAGUACUCCAUGUUCCGCUGAAGAUGUGCCAGAUCAAUCCACUGGACAGAGACAAAGUUCUUCUUGAAGUUGGCAAUAACAUCCCGAUAGAUCCUGCAAUGGUCCCUUACCCAGACAUGGUCAACACCAUCAAUCUCAUCCCUCUCCUGGAGAUAGUGGUUCUUGGUGCGAAAUUGCAGAAAGUCCUUGGGGGACAUUGUACGGACAUUCACCCUCUUAUGAGCGACCUUCUUGAAGGACUUCUUCUUGGGAGGCAGACCAGACGUGGCAGACCCCUCGGGCGCCUCUGGGUUGCGAAACUGUUUUUUUGCGUUUCCCGUGGGGGGUUCGAACGGCGAGCAGAGCCACCUGUGACACAGACCACAAAGCAAAAAAGAGGCGACAAGAAGAGUCAAGGCAAUGAAUCUUGAAAACGCAAAACAAGUAAACACGCAUUGCUAAGCAAAAACAAGCAGAAAAUACACUGUGAAUGCUCUGGCGGUAGUACCGCCACCCGUGACGGUAGUACCGCUGGGGCCCAGCGGUAGUACCGCUAGCCCUGGCGGUAGUACCGCUCGGGUCAUAGCGGUAGUACCGCUACCCUUGGCGGUAGUACCGCUGAGGUCCUAGCGGUAGUACCGCUACCCCCCUGGCGGUAGUACCGCUGGGGGUUUGACUUUCAGAUCUGACAAAUAAUACUUGUUUUCGAGGGCAUGGGCUGAAUAUGAACACUAAGACGUACAACACGGCCCUACUGUCAUGAGGAACACAUAGCAUUAAGAGAUACAAACAUGCCUAGGCAAGAGAGAGCACGUUUUAGAUCUAAUCCAAAAAUUCAAGUGAUCGAUCUAAGACGAAUGAAUCUAGGACAUGGCAGCAAACACAACAAUAAAUCAUCGGACCUAUGCCCCCCUCUAAUAUUUCCUCCAUGCCAUCCAAGAACUAGCCAUAGGAUCAAAAAUAUGAGUCCAAUCCCCAAUGCUCCUAACCCAAGAACACGAGUAAUCAAAGAGAAGAAGGGAGGAGCCUUUUUUACCGGGAUUCAUGGCUUUGGAGGAGGAAGAAGAAGUGAAGCAGCCCUUCCACACCAACGGGGAGAAGGAGCUCCACGAAGAGAGAUCCAAUCGGGGGGGGGGGGUUUCGGGCUAGGGGAGGGAGGAGCCGCGAGGAAGAAGAAACAGAUGAAAAAACGGGCUCCCCCUCCCUUUAUAUAGCCCAAGGGGUACGGGCAGCGGUAGUACCGCUGGGGUGCAGCGGUAGUACCGCUGACCUGGCGGUAGUACCGCUGGGAUCCUGGCGGUAGUACCGCUCCCCUUGCGGUAGUACCGCUCCCCCUCGAAACCCUAGAAAUAUCCCAGCUGGUCGUGUUAGAUUUUGAAUCCUGGCGGUAGUACCGCUACCACUGGCGGUAGUACCGCUGGGGUCCUGGCGGUAGUACCGCUACCCUGGCGUUAGUACCGCUGUACAUGUUUCAACACGGCUAGGAAAACGGGAAACUUGGGCACAUGACAAGUGAGUAAAAAGGGAUGACUUCCAAGAAAAUGUACUGACUUGUCAUUGUAUAUCCUCUCCUUUAUACGCAAGAGAGGAUGGAGGGGCAGUGGCCGUGGCCACCUAUGUUUGAGACAAUGGUAUGACACCGCGAAGAAUUAUCCUUGGGUUCAUGACCAAUGCUCGUCUUUGAAGCACAAGUACCAUUUGACAAUGGCUAAAGUGAAAGACUAGAUUGAUUUACGCAUAAUGGGGGGAGGGAGAGGUCAUUGAGAGAACAACACCCCCCUAUGUCCAUGCCUACAUCUAGACCAAGAUGGAAUGUGAAGUGAGGUGCAAUAUGCCUAGUUUCAAUCCACAUUACUUGAAUCAAUGAUAUUUAGCUCAUGCCUCAACUCCCGGAACCUUGGUUCAUCUAGUGGCUUGGUGAAAAUAUCUGCAAGUUGCUCUUCAGUGUGAAUGAAGUGAACCUCAAUAUCACCUAGCUUGAUAUGUUCACGGAUGAAGUGAUGACGAAUAUCAAUAUGUUUGGUUUUGCUAUGUUGCACUGGGUUGAGGGAAAUCUUGAUGGCGCUUUGAUUGUCACAUAGAAGAGGCACUUUGUCACAAGUGACACCAUAAUCCUUUAAAGUUUGCCUCAUCCAUAGCAAUUGUGCACAACAACUUGCAGCUGCCACAUACUCAGCUUCGGUGGAUGAUAAGGAGACACAGUUCUGCUUCUUUGAAGACCAACUUACCAAAGAGCGACCAAGGAAUUGGCACCCUCCAGAUGUUGACUUCCUCUCCACACAAUCUCCAGCCCAAUCUGAGUCAGAAUAGGCAACUAGAUUGAAGUUUGCUCCUUUGGGAUACCAGAGGCCAAAGUUUGGGGUAUGAGCCAAAUAUCGAAAGAUUCGUUUGACAGCCAUGUAAUGACUUUCUUUUGGUGCGGAUUGAAACCGUGCACAUAUCCCUACACUCAACAUAAUAUCCGGUCUAGAUGCACAAAGGUAAAGGAGGGAUCCAAUCAUGGAGCGGUAUACCUUUUGAUCCACUGCUUUACCAUUGGAAUCACUGUCAAGCUUGCAUCUGGUUGGCAUGGGGAACUUGACCGGUUUGACAUCUUCGAGCUCGAACCGUUUGAGCAUGUCUUGAGUGUACUUGGCUUGUUUGAUGAAUGUCCCUUCUAGACCUUGUUUAAUCUCGAAUCCGAGGAAAAACUUUAACUCUCCCAUCAUGGACAUCUCAAACUUCUCAGUCAUUAGCGCAGCAAAUUCUUCAUUGAAUGAAAUGUUAGGAGAGCCAAAGAUAAUAUCAUCAACAUAUAGUUGGCAUAUGAACAAAUCCCCUUUAACCCUUUUAGUAAAAGGAGUGGGAUCAAUCUUCCCAAUUUCAAACCCACGAUCUUGUAACAACUCAGUAAGGUACUCAUACCACGCGCGUGGGGCUUGUUUAAGGCCAUAGAGUGCCUUAUUGAGUUUGUACACAUGAUUGGGGAGCUUGGGAUGUUCGAAUCCCGGGGGUUGUUUGACAUAUACCAACUCAUUUAAAGGACCAUUAAGAAAUGCACUUUUCACAUCCAUUUGUUGUAAUUUGAAGUUAUGAUGAGAAGCAAAAGCAAGUAGCAUGCGAAUAGAUUCUAGACGAGCAACAGGGGCAAAGGUUUCACCGUAGUCGAUACCCUCGACUUGGGAGUAGCCUUGAGCCACCAAUCUUGCCUUGUUUCGAAUCACAAUUCCAUUUGCAUCUUGCUUGUUCUUAAAUAUCCAUUUGGUCCCAAUGACAUUAUGUUCCUUCGUUGGUCGUGGCACUAAAUCCCAGACUUGGUUGCGCUCGAAGUUGUUAAGUUCUUCGUGCAUGGCCAUAAGCCAAUCCUCGUCAUCGAGCGCUUCCUGUACCUGUUGAGGUUCACAAUACGAAACAAACGCGUGAUGCUCACAAUAAUUCCAAAGCUGUUGACGAGUAGAUACUCCCCUUUUUAAACUACCAAGAACAUUCUUCAUAAGAUGUGACUUGGCUUUCAACUUGUUCGCAUUCUUGGUUGCUCGACGCUCCAAGAGUUCUUUAUUAGAUAACGGGGGAGCAUCGACUUGUAUCUUUUGUUUGCCCUUGCGUCUUGAGCCGGUUGUUGGAGCUUCAGACGGGAAUUGUGAGACAGUCUCCUGAUCACUUUGUCCUUCGACUUGAGCAGGUUCACUGGUUUGAUCUUGUAUUAGUGGUUGCUCUUGAUCUUGAUCUCGUGCUGGUUCAGAGUCUGGUAGUGCUUGAGUGGGCAUAUUACCAUUGUUAGGCAAUUGAUCUUGACCGAGAGCUUGAUCAGCUUGUUGAGAGUCUUCUCUUUGUUCAUCGGAAGCGUGUGGGGCUUGCGGGGGUGAUGGCUCCACUUGAGUAGAGCAUUGUCCUUCUCCUUCGGCCACAAGGGGUUCCUCAAUGGGGAGUAUUUGACCAAUCCCCAUUCUUCUUAUGGCUUCGGGAGGAAUUUCAUCACCUAUAUCACAAAGACCACUUUGCUCCACUUGGGAGCCAUUAUUUUCGUCAAACUCUACGUUACACGUCUCCUCAAUUAGUCCGGUGGACUUGUUGAGGACACGGUAAGCAUGAGAGUUUGUAGCAUAACCAACAAAGAUACCCUCAUGUGCUCUAGAAUCAAAUUUAGCUAAUCGAGCUCCCUUUUUAAGAAUGAAACACUUACAACCGAAUACCCGGAAGUACUUGAGAUUGGGUUUGUUUCCAGUUAGAAUCUCAUACGGAGUCUUGUUCAAGCCUUUGUGGAUGUAGAGCCGAUUGGACGCAUGACAUGCUGUGUUGAUGGCCUCUGCCCAGAAAUUGUAUGGAGAUUUGAAUUCUGCCAUCAUUGUUCUUGCAGUGUCUAUCAAGGUCCGGUUCUUCCUUUCUGCCACGCCGUUUUGCUGAGGGGUAUAUGGUGCAGAAUAUUGGUGCUUUAUUCCCUCAUCACCUAGAAACUCAUCUAGGGUGUAGUUCUUGAAUUCGGUGCCGUUGUCACUCCUAAUCAUCAAGAUCUUCGCUUCAUGUUGACGUUGCGCUUCAUUAGCAAAGUUGAUGACCGUUUGUUGAGUUUCACUCUUCCUUUUGAAGAAAUAUACCCAGGUAUAUCUUGAGUAAUCGUCAACAAUGACUAAGCAAUACUUUCUGCCUCCAAGACUAUCAAAUGUAGGAGGACCAAACAGAUCCAUGUGGAGAAGUUCCAAUGGCCUCUUAGUGUAGAUAAGAGUCAUUGGACGAUGAGCAGUUUCAUGAAUCUUUCCUUCAAUGCAAGCACUGCAAACACGAUCUUUAGCAAAGCUCACAUUUGUUAGUCCACGAACAUGGUCCCGUGUCAGAAGACUUUGCAAAGAUCUCAUAUUGACAUGAGCUAAACGGCGAUGCCAAAGCCAGCCCACGUCAACUUUAGCCAUUAAACAUGUCGCAGUCUUAGUGGGUCGCUUUGAAAAGUUUACCACAUAGAGACCAUUUUCGACAUGUCCAACAUAGGCUACUUUAAGAGUCUUGCUCCUUAGGAGGACCAUAGUGUCAAUAUUAAAGAAUGUGGAAUAACCCAUGAUUGCAAGUUGACGAACGGAAAGUAAAUUGUAGGCAAGAGACUCAACAAGCAUGACCUUCUCAAUAGACAAAUCUUGAGAGACGAUCACCUUACCAAAUCCCAAUACCUUUGACGAGGAUGCAUCGGCGAAUUGGACAUGGGUGGGCAUAGAUGGAGAAGGAUGCACAUCCACCACUAAGUCCUUGCUUCCGGUCAUAUGAUUUGUUGCUCCACUAUCGAGCAACCAUGACACCCCACCGGAAGCAAACUCCUGCAAUAGAUCAAGGCUUGGUUUUAGGUACCCAUUUUUUAAUGGGUCCUUUCAUGUUAGAGACAAGGGUCUUAGGAACCCAGAUAGCCCAUUCAAUAUCUUCAUCGUAGGAACCUACAAAUCUGGCAUAAACAUGCCCAUCACUAGCACAACGUAACACAUAAGAGGAAUUGAGUUUGCCGGCUGUGUUAGUAGGAGCGGUUUUGCCCUUCUUGGGGUUCCCAUAGCCCACCUUGUUCCUGUUCACCUUCUGAGUCCCCUCACCCUCCUUGACAAAGAUGUCCAUGAGGGUGAGAGAUCGUUUGUUCUUUUUCUCCCUUUUACCUUUUGACUUGGAGGUAAGUCCAAGUCCUUCCUUUCCUACAACACCCUUUUGAGUGCUCAAGAGAUCGUUCAGACUCUUCGCACCUUGUCUGCAUGACACAAGGCCCUUCUCAAGUUUCUCCUUUAACUUGGCAUUUUCCUCCACAAGAUGAACAUGCUCACAACAGGGGUUAGUUGCACAAGUAUUAUCAAUUAACACAAAGGGAGGACAAGUAGAGAUCUCCUUGGUAAGCUUUGCUUGGAGUUGAUCAUGAGACUCUUUCAGAGCGAAAUGAACACCUUUCAAGGCUUUGUGGGCCUUGUCAAGUAUGUCAAACUCUUCUUUGAGUCUGUCACGGCCAACCUCAAAAGCAUACUUUUCAGAUUUAAGCAUGCGAGUAAGAACAACAUCAUAAUCUAGUUUCUUUUGCAUUUUAGUGCAGUCAUCGUUAUAUGACUCCUCAAGAGCCAAACGAAGAGUGCGCUCUUCUUCUAGAGUACUAGAUAAUUCGGCAAUUUCAUCGGCAUAGUCACGGCUAUGUCCAUGAAGCUCGGAGAUGGUCUCCUCAUGAGACUCAAUGAGGUCAGUGGCCUCACCCAGUUGUUCCAAGAGAGCAACAAAAUGCUUCUUGGUUUCUCCCUUAAUAGUGCAUAGAAACUUAUCAAGAUCAUGCUCAUUAAGUUCUCCAACAUCACUAUCUUCUACACAAUUUAACAAUGAAGGAGCAGAAGCAAUGUUGGUCUUAAUGAUAGGAGUUACCUGAUUGGUACCUUUUGCCAUGAGGCACUUGGUGAUGUGGUUCUCGUUGGGGGCGUUAAAGAGAGACACCUUCUGGGAAGGGGUAGUGGCUAUAGCAACAGUUGCCGUUGCCACUGUAUCAUCAUCAUCAUCAGAAGGAUACUCCUCCAGGGCCACCAUUCCUUUUGGGUGAGGUUUCUUCACAAAGUUGUUCUUGAUUGGAAAUGAUUUGGUUUUGUCUUUGCGAAUGAGCUUGCCUCCGUUGUCUUCUCUCUUCUCAUAGGGGCAUUCUGCCACUAAGUGACUCACGUUUCCAUAGUUAUAACAUGUCCUUACUCGUUGUUUGGGUUUGAAUCCACUUGAGUUGUUCUUGUUGAAGGUUGGUCUUGAGUUCCUUUUAUUUCCCCAGAAUUGCCUUGAUGCAAGAGCCAUGUGCUCAUGAUAGGCAUACUUUGUGUCUUCCGGGCAGCUCUCCUCUUCCACAUCUUCCUCUUCUUCUUCAAGCAUUGCUCUUGCUUUUAACGCAAGUUUGGGUGAAGUGGUUUUUGAUCGGACACGAGCAAGUGCAUUGUCGGCUGUUUCGUUCAUGAUUGACAUAGCAAUGAACUCAUCCAACACUUCACUGGAAGACAAGGAGUGGAAGUCUGGCCGCUGACGAAUGACAGAUGACAUGGCUUUGUUGAAAGGCAUGAUGGCUUUGAGAAACUUGCGCUUGACCCAAGUGUCAUCCACAUCCUCACUCCCAUGGUCCUUUAGUGCCACAGCAAUAACAGUCACCCUCCGAUAGAGAUCACGAGGGUCCUCUUCUUCCUUCAUCACAAACUCAUCGGCCUGAUCAAGUAUCACUUCAUAGUUGGAUCGUUGAAUACUUGAGCUUCCCUUAUACAACACCAUAAUAUGCUCCCAACAAUCCUUGGCCAAUGUGAAGGGACGUAAGUGGGGAAGAUCUUCAGGUGGCACAGCAGACUGGAGAAUAAACAGCGCAGAGUGAUUAUAUUGAUUGACUGCAUCUUCUCUUGGAGUGCGGUUGCUUGGGUCAUUGGGGUAAUAUCCUUGCUCGAUAAUUCUCCACAAGUUUGUUGAGCUGUGAUUCAAAUGAGACUUAAUAGAAAAUACCCAGUUAGCAAAGUCACCUUUUACAAGUUUAGGAGGAGGACCAACAGGAUUAAGACGAGGUGCGAGAACGGGUCCUCCAUAUGUCAUGGGAGGUGGAACCGAAGCAUAUGUUUCAGUCCCAUCUUUUUCGUGAGGUGAAGCAGGUUGCAUACCUUUAGCCGCUUCCUUAGAGGAGUUGGCCUCCGAAUCGGAAAUGGUAGGUUUAACCACUAAAGCCGGUUCGGGUGAACUUUUAAGACCAUCAAUUAAUUCUUUAAGCAUGGUUUUGACUUCGCUCGUCAAGGACGUCUUGAGGGCGGCCAUAGCCGUAUUCAAGUCGUCCCUUGUGACCGAAGUCAAGUCCAUGUCCUCGGGUUGCCCACGGUUAACUUCCUCUCCGCCUUCCAUACUCUUCGGGUGGUUAAACCCUUAAUAAAGAGACGUGGCUCUGAUACCAAUUGAAAGGAUCGAUAUGGUUGGCUAGAGGGGGGUGAAUAGACAACGUCCACUUUUUAAUUAAUCUUAACAAGUUAAGGUAAACACUAUACGGGUUCACAAAUAAUAUGACAAAGAGGUGACCCCUAUAGAAGCUACCAACAAGACCUAUUAAGACAAGUAAGAUAUAGUCACAAGUAAAAGAAAAUACAAAGUAAAGGUUAGAGAUAACCACAAGUGGAACCGAUGGAGACGAGGAUGUGUUACCGAAGUUCCUUCCCUUUGACAGGAAGUACGUCUCCGUUGGAGCGGUGUGGAGGCACAAUGCUCCCCAAAAAGCCACUAAGGCCACCGUAUUCUCCUCACGCCCUCGCACGAUGCAAGGUACUGUGAUUCCACUAUAGGUGCCCUUGAAGGCGGCGACCGAACCUUUGCAAACAAGGUUGGGGCAACUCCACACAAAGCUUGGAGGCUCCCAACAAGACCCCGAAGCUUCACCACAAUGGAAUAUGGCUUCGAGGUGACCUCAACCGUCUAGGAUGCUCAAACACCCAAGAGUAACAAGAUCCGCAAGGGAUAGGUGGGGGAAUCAACUUUUCUUUUGGUGGAAGUGUGGAUCUAGGCCUUCUCAACUAAUCCCUAAAGAAUCAACAAGUUUGAUUGGCUAGGGAGAGAGAUCGGGCACUUUUAAGCUUGUGGAGCAACAAUGGAGCUUAGAGAGGUAAGAGAUAGGGUUCCUCAGCUAGAAGAACCCUUUAUAUAGUGGGGGGAAAAUUCAGACCGUUUUCCCACUCUCUGCCCGAGAUCCAGCGGUACUACCGCUGGGAAGGAGCGGUACUACCGCUGCCUGGCGGUACUACCGCUGGAUGCAACGGUACUACCGCUGGGGCUUCCAGCGGUACUACCGCUGGCACCAGCGGUACUACCGCUGGCCCCUUGGUAGUGCAUAAGCACUACUACCGUCGGAAAGUCUUCGCAAAAGGGUCCGUCCACGAAGUACCGCUAGGUAGGUGGAACAAGGCACCUGAAGCGGUACUACCGCUGACCAGGGGGCGGUACUAUCGCUGGCUAGCGGUACUACCGCUGACAAUGGGCGGUACUACCGCCAGACAGCGGUACUACCGCUGGCUGCAGCGGUACUACCGCUGGCAGUCCAGCGGUACUACCGCUGGCACCAGCGGUACUACCGUUGGGGACCAUUUUGCGGAGAUGCUCAAGACGAAUAGGCGAGGGCCGCUCCAAAAGAUAAGGAAAGGGAGAAUGCAAAGUGUGCGUUUGAAAAGAUAGAUUCCACCCAAACCUUUCCACUACGGAUCCCCUCUUAAUAGUACGGCUUUCCUAUGACUCAAAUAAAGAGAAUCGUAGAGAGCGCCGUGCUUCCGUUCCAGAAGAGAGGAGACGAGUCGUCUUGUGCCGUUGACGAGUGUUACCUGAAACCUUGACACACACGAUUAGUCCUAUACGGUACUGUCAUCAAUCACCAAAAUUACUUAGGCAUAAACUAUGCCUCAACAUCAACUCGACGUCAAGAAUGCCUUCCUACACGGCCACCUCGCCGAGACGGUGUACAGUACGCAACCAUCCGGCUUCGUCGACUCCACACGCCCAGGGGACGUUUGUCGUCUCCACCGGUCGCUCAAUGGCUUGAAACAGGCGCCCCGCGCUUGGUUCGCCCGUUUCACCACCUUCCUACGGUCCCUCGGCUUCCAAGCCUCCAAGGCCGACUCCUCGCUCUUCUUCAUACACUCCCGGCAGGGCACUGCCUACCUUCUCCUAUAUGUCGACGACAUCAUCCUCACCGCCACCACACCCACCUUCCUUCGCUCGAUCAUCGCCUCCCUCCACCGCGAGUUUGCCAUGACCGACCUCGGCUCCCUCCAACAUUUCUUGGGCAUCAAUGUCCACCACACCACCACCGGCCUCCACCUCUCCCAGGAACAGUACGCGCUCGAGAUCCUCGACCGCGCCGGGAUGCUGAACUGUAAGCCCGUCUCCACCCCCAUCGACACCACCGCCAAGCUCUCCGCCACCAACAGCCCCGCCUUCCACGACCUGCCUCUCUACCGGAGUCUUGCGGGGGCCUUACAGUAUCUCACCCUCACUCGUCCUGAUCUCUCCUAUGCCGUCCAGCAAUGCUGCCUCUUCAUUCACGAUCCUCGCGACAGCCACUACAAACUGGUCAAACGGAUCCUCCGCUACGUCCGUGGCACCACCCUUCUAGGGCUGUGCUUCCACCGCUCCACCUCCGAUGAUCUCACGGCAUACUCCGACGCCGACUCGGCCGGCAGUCCCGACACGCGGAAGUCUACCUCUGGCUUCGCGAUCUUCCUCGGCGCCAACCUCGUGAGUUGGUCGUCAAAGCGCCAGCACACUGUCUCUUGGUCCAGUUCCGAGGCCGAGUACCGUGCGAUAGCAAACGCUGUUGCCGAGGCGAGCUGGCUACGCCAGCUUCUCACCGAGCUUCGCCGUCCGCCUCCUCGCGCCACCGUCAUCUACUGCGACAACGUCAGCGCCAUGUACAUGUCCGGCAAUCCGGUGCAGCAUCAACGCAUCAAGCACAUCGAGAUCGACUUACACUUUGUCCGCGAACGCGUCUCCCUCGGCGAAGUACGUGUCCUUCACGUACCUACGACGUCGCAGUUCGCGGACAUCUUCACCAAAGGUCUACCUACGCCUGUCUUCCGCGACUUCCGAACCAGUCUCAAAGUCGGCGAGCACCGCGUUUCGACUGCGGGGGGUGUUGGAAGGCUGUCACGUCUGACAGCGGGACUGCCGAUCCAGGAGGGCAACGGCCUCGCCCCGGGGGCUCGGGGGACUUGGCGUCCACGCCUCCCAGCGGGAGCACGACCCGCUCCACGUCGUGAUCCCUUCCGUCUUUCUUGUUUCGGUUACAGUAGAUCUUAUCCCUUGUAAUCAUCCAUGUAUAUACAACACUAUGUGCAGAAUCAAUAGAUACACAGUUUCUACUCGUCUAAGUCAUUUGACUGCAUUCACUGUUGAGCUAUAGCAUGAAAUUUAGAGCGCUUGUGGAUUUGUCUUGUUGAAAACGCUUAGAUCGGUAUUUUUGAGCGAGCUAGGGUUGGGCCGAGCCACAGCGAACACGCAUAAUGAGCCCGUUUGCACGAGAGGAUGCUGCAAGAUUAAUACGAACAAAUACACAGCAUGUACAUGCUAUGUUCUUCUACCUCUAUUAAGCUUCUCCAUAAUAUUCUUUCUUCCCCUGCUAAUUUACACAACGAUACUUUGAUUCCACAUAAGCUCUACACGAGGAAGAUGUACAUUGAUGUUAGGCUUUCAUUCUUGCGAUUAGUUUGUAGUUUAGGCGAUCAUAAAUUCUUAAUUUUGUAUUUAUGUUUGGAACGAUUUUGGAUGAAUUCUGUCAAUUUUAUUUGACCAUUUGGAAUUUCUUUGACCAGUAGCUUCAUCUCGCCGUCUCACAUCACAUUCAUAUUGCAAGUUUUCUGUUUCGAUGAUCAUAAAGGAGAAAAAUCUGCGUCUUUCUCGUGAUUAUACAUACACGUAUGUGCGGUCUGAUUUAAGACACUACUUAAUGGUUCUUUUAGGCCAGUGUGAUCCUCUCGAUCCCCUCUUCCGCGUCAUGAUGCAGUGGUGUCAACGUAGCCAUAUUUCAUCUAAGGGGUUUUCUCUUGAAUCCUAUGACAUUGUCAUAGCACCCACAUUGUAUGUCUUUUCCUUUACCUCAGAGCCCUCCUAUUUGUCACUCUCGACGCCUACGUCAUUUCUCUGGACCUCCUUGCCCGCGUCCUACUACACCGGAGUCGUUUUCGACGUCCUUCAUCUCGGCCUCCUCUUUCUCGUCCUGCUAUGAUGACUAUGUCAUGUCAUGCGCAUUGCACUUAUCCUCCUUUGCUCUUUAUCUCUGUGUGGACUUUCUGUGGCAACACACUAGCAACUAGUUUCAUGUGUUGUCGAUAGUUCACUCGCCCAUGACUCUUUGCUCGUCGUGUUGGAUGUGGCGCCACGGCUACUAUCCACCGCAGUCGUCAUGGUUCGACACGCGUUGCAUUUCGUCUUCCCCGUCAUCUGCCUCAGCGCUCUUCCGCUUGGACUUUUUCUGUGGUGUCUGCAACUAGCUCGUCGCGGUGCUGGUAGGAACGCCCGUCCAAGACUUCGUGCUCGUCGUGUCGGUCGUGGUGUCAGCCACCAUUCACCGCAGUCGUUAGACACAAUAUAACUAUAUGUGUUAAGUAUGAGUAUUAGCUCUUAAUUAUAUCUCGUGUAUACAAAUAAAUAUCGUGUAGUUGCAUGAUCCAGGUUGUGCCAAAAUUGCUCUUUUAAUGAAAGAGACCUAGAUGCCGGCGAUCAAACAAUGCAUAGAUAACGAUUUUUUGUCUGUUUUCUUUCAACCAUGCUCCGUUGAGCCAGACUCCACGGUUCAGGCUCUACCAAAAAGGUAACCAAACACGCCCCAGCACCAUGCGCGCCCGUCGGUUUCUACAGAAUACUUUGUUUACAUCAUUCUACAGCAAGAGUUUCCUGCUAGGGAUGAAUUUAUUUGCGCUGAGUAUGGUGGCCAGGGAGAGUGGACCGGUGGAUGUGACGAGAGAGGUGUAGCUGGGAAUGUAUAUGUAUGCCGUGGGGUGCAUGCUUUUGUGCAUACACCUCAUGUAAAUUUUGAUCUCGGUACUUUUCGGCUAUUGUGUGUUCUUGAGGAAAAAACAAGAGUUUCCUGCAUGCCGAAUUAAGCAACAUUUUUUCUUUUUUUUUGCGGCUGUAGUCUUUUUUUAUUUUGUCAAGGUAGUCUUUCAUUUUCUUAGGACAUGUACAAUGAUGACAUAUGGAUAUAUAUGUCCCAUGAUAAAAAGCAGUUUGAGGCAUCUAUAUUGACAUUUUCUUUCAAAUGCAAGCUAGUAUCAGGGUGCCUCAUCAAAAAUAAAAAAAUAAAGACUCUAAUACACAUGUAUCUCUACUUUUUAGUCUUUUUUCAGCUUUUUACACCGGACCACAUAUUUUCUCUUCAAAUACCCGUCUCCUGCAUAGGAUCCCGCUUCCUUAUCUGAACCUACUUUUUCUAUUAUCUGAUCCUACGUGACCUACAGAACAUCAUCCUGAGGCUAUGCAUUGUAAAUACCGUUAUAAGAACAAACUUGAAUGUACGUCAGUACAUGCUGUUUCACGGAGUAUAUAUUGACGUCAUUUUUCACGUUUGGCAACAACAAAAACUUCCACGUAAACUGGCUCCAGCUACUACUACCACUGAUGGAAAAAAGGUCUUUGGUCGCGGUUCGCAACUGCCAUUAGUCGUGGUUGCGCAACCGCGACCAACUAAGCGCGACUAAAGCCCCCCACCUUUAGUCGCGGUUCUUAAGAAACCGCGACUAAAGGCCCGUCCACGUGGGCGCCAGGCGGCCGUCUGGGCGGAGGACCUUUAGUCGCGGUUCUUCUGGCCAACCGCGACUAAAGGCCCCCCCCUAAACCUGUUUUGUGUUAAAUUUGUAUUGUUUUAUUUCUUUUGUGCUUUAGGGGGGGGGGUGAAUGUACAAUUUCAAACAAAUUUCAAACAAAUUUGAAAUUAGAACCAAAAAGAAUUCAAGAGGAAUAUACAAUAUAUAUUCAAUAUCAUCGGAUGACCAUAUACAAUUUUGAACAAGUUUCCAUACAUAAUUUAAUGCAUAUAAAGUUCUACGUCCUCGUAAUGGUGUUCUCCUUUAGGAUGGAGGACUUCCCUGCUGAACCAUCCAGCUAGUUCCUCUUGAAGUGGUCGGAAGCGAGCUUCUGGACUAAGCAUCAUCCGGAGGUUAUUCCUCUUAGCAUUGGUAUCACUCGGAACCCGCUCAGAGGUGUAUCUCCGGAUCAUCUCACAGACAUAGUAUCCACAUAGAUUGGUCCCCGCUGGCUGAAUAUCCCCAGCAUUCUUCGGCUUUGACCUUUUGAAUUCUAGCUCUUUUUUGAAUUCACCGACCUUUGUAUCUACGAACCGUCUCCAAACCCUACGAGGCAAAGAAAAUUAAAUGAACAAGAGAGUUAUUAGUUACUUGAUAUUAGGAAAUGAACGAAAUAGGCCGAUCGAUAUAGAGCGCAAACGAAUGAAAAUAAUUACUUCUGCAGCAUUCUUCUCAUGCCGCCCCAAAGCUUUGGAUCCAUAUUCAGAGAGUCGUGGACGAGACAUUCUGAGGUGUUAACUUUAAUUACUAGCAGAAUCCAGUGGAACCUGCGGACACGAUACAUGCACAGUACGUCAUGCAUAACUCAUCGAUUAGCCGGCCACAUACCAUGCAUGGAGUAAACAAAAGAGAAUGUGCUCAAGACAGAAACACUCACCCAAAAUGGUAAGGAAAUAGAAUAUCACUUUUGAGUUCCUGCUUUGUAAGAAACUGCCACAGGUCUGCCUCCAUGUCGGCGGGGUGAUGCUCCAACACAUGUCCAUUAACAAUGUGUGGGUCAAUGAACCCAACAUCAUGGAUGUUCCUUACUCUGCAUUCCUUAAUCUUCAUUCUGCAUGUAUAAUAGCGGACACAACAAUAUAGUUAGGACAUAUAUAUAGUGCAGGCAAUAUGAACGAGAUGGGGUAGAAAUAAAUCACUUACAGAACGUAGCAACUGAUGAUAGAUUUGUCGAGAUCGCGCAGAUUGAAAAGCUGGAACAAUUCACUCAGUUCAAUUUGUACAUAGUAAUGUUUGAAGUGAUGCUCAUGUCUAACUUCCGCAUAAAUAUAAUCUUUGGCGCUUUUAUUUUUUAUGUAACCCUUGUACCAUUUCAGCAGACCUUUCAUUUGUGGAGGUAGAUCCUUUUCCUGCGCAGGCUCGACGAGAGGCCCAUUCUUGACAUAUGUAAUUACUACCUCCUUCACUGGCGCCUCAUCAAGGCCUAACAGUUCACGAAGAGUAAUACCUAAGUUGGCCGCUUGUUCUCUGGCACUCGUUGCAGUCAAUCCCUGUGCUGCCGCAGCUUGUAUGAUCUCGGGGGCAUCCGGACCGGCGGCUUCCACUAUAAGCGGGGCAAUCGAUUGUUUACUUUGUUCCCCGAGCUGGGCAACUUGUUUCCCGCUUUUUUUACUUUCGGCCUUCUCCCGCUCUUUGUUCUCCUUGAACAUGAGUGCCUGCCUGCGAAGUUCACGUGCAUAGUCGUCAGGCAGAUUCUUCGCGGCUUGGGACGGUGUGCUCAAAAAUGACUUAGCCCACUUCUUUUGCUCAUCAGAAAAUACUGGCUUGGGCUCGGGCUCUCUUUUCUUCUUGCAGUCCGCCUUCCAUUUCUCCAAAUCAGCAGCCGCGGCCGUGUCGACUUCCUCGGCACUACGUUCCCAAGGCCUUGUGGGGAGAGGCUUCAGUGAUGGCUCCGGUACCUUUGUGGUCUUAGGNNNNNNNNNNNNNNNNNNNNNNNNNNNNNNNNNNNNNNNNNNNNNNNNNNNNNNNNNNNNNNNNNNNNNNNNNNNNNNNNNNNNNNNNNNNNNNNNNNNNNNNNNNNNNNNNNNNNNNNNNNNNNNNNNNNNNNNNNNNNNNNNNNNNNNNNNNNNNNNNNNNNNNNNNNNNNNNNNNNNNNNNNNNNNNNNNNNNNNNNNNNNNNNNNNNNNNNNNNNNNNNNNNNNNNNNNNNNNNNNNNNNNNNNNNNNNNNNNNNNNNNNNNNNNNNNNNNNNNNNNNNNNNNNNNNNNNNNNNNNNNNNNNNNNNNNNNNNNNNNNNNNNNNNNNNNNNNNNNNNNNNNNNNNNNNNNNNNNNNNNNNNNNNNNNNNNNNNNNNNNNNNNNNNNNNNNNNNNNNNNNNNNNNNNNNNNNNCCGCCACCACCACCACCGUAGGGGGGUGGACUUGUUGUCCUUGGCGCCUCGCCUGGAAACUUGAUAAACUUCUUUUGCCAUAGAAUGAAAUGGCGCUUGACAUCUCCAAGUCUUUUCUCCCCUUCAGGUGUAGCAAUGUCAAUCUCCAGGUCCUCAAACCCUUGGACUAUGUCCUCCACCGUGACACGAGCAUAGCCAUCUUGAAUGGGGUUGUUGUGGUGGAGUGCUCCAGGUAAACAUGGUAAAGCACUGCCGAUGGCUACCUUCAUGGACAUGUUCCCGAUAGGAUAAUACAGAUGACAUUCUUUCAUCUCCUUUAUAUCGUCCACGGGGUAGCGAGGAGGCUCCGGUGCAGUAAUUUCGACCACCAGAGGCUCCGGUGCAUUAAUUUCGACCAGCAGAGGCUCCGGUGCAUUAAUUUCGGUCGUCGGUGCAUCUGCACCAGCCGGUGGGGCCUCCGUGGAAGCCACGCUGCUUCUCCGCUGCUGGCUUCCGAGAUCCGCUGGAUGAUCUUCAUGCUGCACCCGAGCUGCAUCUCUUUCGGCUACUAGUACACUCAUGGUUUUCUUCAUCACAUCCAUUUCCGAUGCCAACCGCGCCACAACAUCUGCUUCCCGAUCCAUCUUUCUCUUACGGCUUCUGUAACCGUACGGGUCAUCGUUCUGGGGGAACCCUAUUUUCCACGGAAUGUGCCCCAUGCCUCGUACACGUCCUCCGUGUUCAGGAUUCCCGAGGGCUUUUGUCAGCGCGUCGUUCUCUCUGUUGAACUUGAUCUUCCCCUCUUGAGCAUCCCUCAUUGCGUCAAUAAGGGCUUGGGUGGGUUUAAUUAAUUUGCCCCGGUAAACACACUCCCCUGUCUCCGGGUUCAGCGUUCCCCCAUGCCCGUACCACCAGCUUUUGGCCCUUGGGUCCCAUCCCUCCGUACCUGGACGGAUUCCUCGCGCCCUCAGCUCGUUCUCCAUCUUCUCCAACCUAGGCAACAAAAUGCGAUACCCUCCUGGCCCCAUAAUAUGAUUGUACUCCUUCUUAGCCGCAUUUUCCUUAUUUUUUUUCGAUAUUUGAAUGAACUGCUCCGAUUUCUUUUGCUUCACAAAUUCUGGCCAAUCAUGUUUCAGUUUCUCAUAUUGUCCUUUGAAAUCCGGAGUCUUGUUCUGCUUGACAAAGUCAUGGGCUAGAUUUUGCUUGAAUUUCCGGAAUGCGUCGGCCAUCUUAUGAAGAGCGAACUGUUUGACUAGCCUCCUCCUCUCCUUGUUUUCCUCAAUCUUGUUACCCUCCUCAUCGAAUUUGUUGUAUUCCGGAGGUAGAACGAAAUGUUCCAUAAGCUUCUUGAAGCAAUCUUUUUUUGUUCUCUUAUCGACAAAAGUGAAACCUGCAGCAAUUCGUGCCUUCUUUGGCUCAUUCCACUCCUGGACGGUGAUCGAGACGUUGUCUCUAACAACGGCUCCGCAUUGGCUGACAAACUUGGUGGCGUUCUUGCGGGGCUCCAGCGGCCUGCCGGUUGCACUGUCGACAACCUCGAUGGUGCAUGUUUCUCCUUGUUUCAUCGUCUUGGUUGCGCCACGCUUUGACGACGUACUCGAUUGUUUCGACGAUCCGGCCGAGGGCUAAAAUAAGAAAGAGAGUCGCGCGCGUUAGUACACACAUAUUUAUUUAAAUCAGUUAGUUUGUAUCACCAGAGGCUCAAUGUAUAUAUAUACCUCGGCGCCGGAGGUGGUUGCUACUUCCAUUUGAAGAUCGUCGUUUAUCGACGUUUGUUCGGCAUCAUCUUGCUGACGGCGCCCUUCAUCUUCACCGUCAAGGUUCAGAUAAGAAGAGAUAUCAUCUUCUUCUUCUCCGGUCGGCACAUAUAGAAUAUCGCCGUUUAUGAUGCCGAACAUAUGUGCUUCACCGUCCGGAUCAUAGUUGUCCAUAAUCGGGUCAGCUCUAUCGUCCGCCAUUAUGUCAGUCCUGAAAACAUGUAGUAAAAACAAAUUAAUUAAGUGAAGAAGGGGGGCGGUGGCGGUGACGCCUCUCUUGCCCGCUUUCGUAUGGAGACACUGUCACAACAUAUCCCUCUACCCCUAGGCCCACUUCCUAGGACGAGUGUUUGUGUCUCCUCUACCCCUAGGCCACCAACAUAUCCCUCCUCGAGUUACGAUGUGUGGCUCGAUCUGGCAUGUCUGACGACUUUUGACGAGCCUUCUAUGUUAUCAAAGAAGAAAGCAGGUGCGACGGUCCUCUGAUAUGCCAUGAAGCCAUUGACCGCCGUUCUAGAUCUUUGUUUCUAUACCCAGCCUAGAAUAAAUAAGAACUAAAUCCAUUGGAGACAUCGCGUGAUGUGUUGUGGUUGAUACAUAGCCAUGUUCUUGUAGAUUUAGCUGUGGGCACUCGUCCAACUUUCGGCCGACGGUAGCCACAAGAGUGCACUGGAAGGAUUGCAUAGGGAAGGGAAGGUACUAUCGCCCAGCUCUGCCAAAUGGUGAUGUGAAGAUUCCACGGGGUUUUAUUUGUUAAACAUUGUAAUGUAUAUCCGGUGUAGAGAUAAACCGGUUUAAGUUGUAGCUCUAGAAGGUUGUUGUGAUAUGACUUGUAGAUCAAUCCAACACCUAACUACCUUGUAGAUCUUGUAACCUAGCCGCACCUUGUAACCCUAGCCGCACCUUUGUGCCUAUAUUAACACGAAGACGCCCCUGCUAAGAGUAAUUGUUAUCUCAUCUAUUUUCACAUGGUAUACAAAGCCUAACUCUUCCAUCGCAUCUAGGUCAUGUCUUCCUCCUCUGCCGUUGUCAUGGCCACCCCCUCCACCGUAUCUCUCGGCCACACCGUCACCGAGAAGUUUUUAUAUGGUCAUUAAUAUAGUAUUAUAAUUAUUAUAAAUAGCAAAAUAAGCAAGAUGGAGACCAACUUGUUUUUUGGUGAUGGUUAACACAUUAUAGAGCAAAGUACUUCUCUAAACAAAAAUAUCGACGUUCGUUCUUCCAAUAUCGACGUUCGUUCUUCCAAGACGGCGUUCUUCCAAGAUCGACGUUCGUUCUUCCAAGACGGCGUUCUUCCAAGGAAGCGAGGAAGGCGGGCGCGCGGCGCGGGAAAGAUGAAAACCAACCGCGACGGCGAGCUCGAGGGUUCAAGAUCGACGUUCGUUCUUCCAAGAACGACGUUCGUUCUUCCAAGGAAGCGAGCUAGGAAGGCGGGCGCGCGGCGCGGGAAAGAUGAAAACCAACCGCGACGNNNNNNNNNNNNNNNNNNNNNCCCGCCAUUUCUCACUACAUAUAUGUAGCCCGGCUUGGCUAGCAUUAUCACAUCUGUACAAUCUCUCAUCACUCUCUCAUGGCUUCCACCGCACCCACUCUAACCUACCAGCAGGUGGAGGAGCUUUGCGCCUCGAACUACCCUUGUCCACCGGGCUACCGCGUCCCCACCGGCUGGAGCCUAAGCGCCGGCGGCGUGCCGGUCCCUCCCGUCCCUCAGGGUACUGCGCGCCGGGCGGCCAUCACGAACCACUACUACCUCGACCUCACGCCGGAGCAGCGGAUGAAUCCCCGCUGGCAUCCCGAUAACCAGCAUACUUGGGACGCCUUCUUCAUCAAUCGGCGUGAGAGGGCGCUCGCCAGGUAUGAGGAGGACGGUCUGCCUCCUGGGAACUUCCACGAGGCCGGCCGUCGGCUAUGGUGGUACGGCCGGACUCUGCAGAGCGUCAUGGACUACAUCACGGCCGGCGAUAUCCCCCGCCUGCGCUACCCUCAGUUCGAGCCACGAGCGCCGCCCGACGACAGCGACGACAGCAGCGACGACGACGACGGCAACUUAGAAGGCGACGACUACCAGUACAACGACGACAGCGGCUAUGAAGACUACGAGUAUGCAUAUUAUACGCCUAGGCAGGAGUAUGACUAAAUCACUCCAAAUUUCAUGUAUCAUCAGUGGUAUCUCGAAUCAUUCGAAAAUGGACACCAAACACAUCACGGGUAAUAUAAUUCACAUGAUCCAUUCAACAAAGUUUGGUACAAUAAAUUAUUACACAUCAUUUCUUCCCUUGUGUCCCUGCUUGCUUACGAUUGUGCCGUAUCCAUGGAGCAUCCUCAUCAUUUAACUUAAUGCUUGGGUCGGUGUUCACUUUGAAGGGCGGAAUUUCAGCAAACAUAUUAUAAUCUUCUGACAUGUCUGUCUUGUCCUCCACUCCCACGAUGUUUCUUUUCCCUGAAAGAACAAUGUGGCGCUUUGGAUCAUCGCAUGAUGUACUGAUCGUUUUCUUAUCUUUCCGUUUCCUCGGUUUGCUACUCAUGUCCUUCACAUAGAAAACCUGAGCGACAUCUUUCGCUAGGACGAAUGGUUCGUCAAGGUAACCAAGAUUGUUGAAAUCCACCAUUGUCAUUCCGUAUUGCUGGUCCACCUUUACCCCACCUCCUGUUAGCUUGAACCAUUUGCACCGGAACAAAGGGACCUUAAAGGAGGGUCCAUAGUCAAGUUCCCAUAUCUCCUCUAUGUAACCAUAAUAUGUGACCUCUUGCCCAUUCUCGGUUGCUGCAUCAAAGCGGACACCACUGUUUUGGUUGGUGCUCUUUUUAUCUUGGGCGAUCGUGUAAAAUGUAUUCCCAUUUAUCUCGUACCCUUGGAAAGUCGUUAUAGUCGAAGAUGGUGUCUUGGCCAACAUGUACAGCUGAUCUACAACAUCAUUGUCAUUCAUUAAAUGUUUUCUCAACCAACUGCCGAAAGUCUCCAUGUGGGCCUUCCUAAUCCAGGAUUCAGGCUUCCCCGGGUUGUCCGAGCGUAAAAUAUUCUUGUGUUUCUCAAAGUACGGAGCCACCAAGCUGGAAUUGGUCAGUACAGUGUGGUGUGCUUCAGUCAGAGAAUGGCCGUCCAUACAUAUCGUUGAUUUCCUUCCGAUCGUGCCUUUUCCACUUAGUCUCCCCUCGUGCCGCGAUCGAGGAAGACCAAUCGGCUUAAGGUCAGGAACAAAGUCAACACAAAACUCAAUUACCUCCUCAUUUCCAUAGCCCUUGGCGAUGCUUCCUUCUGGCCUAGCACGGUUACGAACAUAUUUCUUUAAUACUCCCAUGAACCUCUCGAAGGGGAACAUAUUGUGUAGAAAUACAGGACCGAGAACGAAAAUCUCUUCGACUAGGUGAACCAGGAGGUGCGUCAUAAUAUUGAAGAAGGAUGGCGGGAACACCAGCUCGAAACUGACAAGACAUUGGAUCACAUCGUUCUGUAACCGUGGUAGAACUUCUGGAUUGAUUACCUUCUGAGAGAUUGCAUUGAGGAAUGCACAUAGCUUCACAAUGGCUAGUCGAACAUUUUCCGGCAGGAGCCCCCUCAAAGCAAUCGGAAGCAAUUGCGUCAUAAUCACGUGGCAGUCGUGAGACUUCAGGUUUUGGAACUUUUUCUCCGCCAUGUUUAUUAUUCCCUUUAUAUUGGACGAGAAUCCAGACGGGACCUUCAUACUGCUCAGGCAUUCAAAAAAGAUGACCUUCUCUUCUUUGGUCAGAGCGUAGCUGGCACGACCUUGAAACCAUUCCGGAUGCCGGUCAUCAGGGUCUUUCAAACGUUGCUGGUCCUGCCGUGCUUCCUUUGUAUCAUUUGUCUUCCCAUACACGCCCAAGAAGCUUAGGAGGUUCACGCAAAUAUUCUUCGUAACGUGCAUCACGUCGAUUGCAGAGCGGACAUCUAGGACUUUCCAAUAUUCUAGCUCCCAGAAUAUAGAUUUCUUCUUCCACAUGGCUGCGUGCCCGUCAGCUCCCUUCGGAACUGAUUGUCCGCCAGGACCCUUUCCAAAGAUGACUUUCAAAUCCUUGACCAUAUCAAAUACCUCAGCACCAGUGCGUUCCGCAGGCUUCGGCCGGUGAUCUGCCUUGCCGUUGUAAUGCUUGCCUUUCUUUCUUACUGGAUGAAUUUUCGAAAGAAAUCGACGAUGCCCAAGGUACACGUUCUUCUUACAAUUUGGCAAAUGUACACUUUCAGUCUCAUGUAAGCAGUGCGUGCAUGCAUUGUAUCCCUUAUUUGACAGUCCCGAAAGGUUACUAAGAGCAGGCCAAUCGUUGAUGGUUACGAAAAGCAACGCUCGUAGGUCAAAUUCCUCUUGUUUGUGCUCAUCCCACACACGGACACCACCCCACAGCUGUAAAAGUUCAUCAACUAAUGGCCUUAGGUACACAUCGAUGUCGUUGCCGGGUUGCUUCGGACCUUGGAUGAGCACUGGCAUCAUAAUGAACUUCCGCUUCAUGCACAACCAAGGAGGAAGGUUGUAGAUGCAUAGAGUCACGGGCCAGGUGCUAUGGCUGGAGCUCUGCUCGCCAAAAGGAUUCAUGCCAUCCGUACUUAGAGCAAAUCUUAUGUUCCUUGCGUCAGCUGCAAAAUCUUUGAACCAUCUGUCGAUCUUUCUCCAUUGCGUUCCAUCUGCGGUGUGUCUCAACUCCCCGUCCGACUUACGGUCCUCUUUGUGCCAUCGCAACAACUUGGCAUGCUCUUUGUUCCUGAACAGACGUUUCAACCGUGGUAUUAUAGGAGCAUACCACAUCACCUUGGCGGGAACCCUCUUCCUGGGUUUCUGGCCCUCAACAUCGUCACCAGGGUCAUCGCCUCUGAUCUUAUAACGCAAUGCAGUGCAUACCGGGCAUUCAUUCAAAUUCUCGUAUUCACCGCGGUAGAGGAUGCAGUCGUUGAUGCAUGCAUGUAUCUUCAGAACCUCUAAACCUAGAGGGCAGACAACCUUCUUUGCUUCAUACGUACUGGUGGGCAACUCGUUAUCCUUUGGAAACAUAUUCUUCAACAUUUUCAGCAAGUUUUCAAAUGCCGAGUCAGCUACACCUGCCUCUGCCUUCCAUUUCAGCAAAUCCAGUGUGCAGCCCAGCUUUUUCAGACCAUCAUCGCAUCCGGGGUACAGCGCCUUUCUGUGAUCCUCUAACAUGCGAUCCAAAUUCUCCCUCUCCUUUUCAGUUUCGCAGCGUCUCCGUGCAUCAGCAAUGGUCCGACCAAGAUCAUCAACGGGAUCAUCACGUGCCUCUUCUUCACCUUCCCCUUCACCUUCAGCAUCCUCCAUGAAAGUAUCACCGAAAUGAGCAAGAUAGCUUUCAUCGAUGAAAUCAUCCCCUUCUUCAUCUUCUUCCAUUAUAACCCCUCUUUCUCCAUGCUUGGUCCAACAAUUAUAGCUUGGCAUGAAACCGUGCCGAAGCAGAUGCAUGUGAACAUCUCUUGAGGAAGAGUAACCCUUCUGAUUCUUACAGUUAACACAUGGACAGAUAACAAACCCCCCCCGCUUGUUCGCAUUAGCCACUACGAGGAAAUCUUUCAAACCCGAACUGAACUCGCCGGAGAGUCGGUUAACGUACAUCCAUUGCCGAUUCAUCUGUAUUAUUAUAAUAUAAAAUAUAUAAUUAACCAUCAUGCAUUUGUUAAACUAACUAGCUACAAACAAUAUAAAUUAAACAAUGAACUACACACAUGCAUAUUUUAUCAAUGACACAUCAAAGGUUCAUCAAGUUGCUAACCGCGAUCGAGGAGUGUGGCUCCAACACUUCAUGUCAUGUUUGUUUCAUGCUCUUGGGGCAUUUCAUCAAACACCUUAUGUGCAUAAGAGGAACCAAAAGCAACUAAGUGUGAAGAGAAUGGCUCUAAAUGGCUAAGUGUUGGCUGCUGGAUGGGUAUAUAUAGGGGAGGGGCUUUAGUUGCGGUUGGCCUGGCAAACCGUGACUAAAGGUGCCCGAAGGCCUUUAGUCGCGGUUGUCCUGGCCAACCGCGACUAAAGCCCCUCACGUGCACCAGCUGGCCACCGAGCGCCCUGGGCCCAGGCCUUUGGUCGCGGUUCACCUCCAGAACCGCGACUAAAGGUCCCAUUAGUCGCGGUUCCUACAGCUUCGCGACUUAUGGGGCUGGACGGAAGCCUGUUUUUCCACCAGUGUACAUUUGUUCUGGUUUACUAAUCAUGUUGAUAUUUAAGUCAUAUUUUGAUCAUGGUUUUAACUAACAUAAAACAUAAAUUAUACGUAGCAACAAUAAUACUGUUAGAAACUACAUUCAAAUACGAAUUCAACUGUCGUGGGUAUAAACCCGACAGUAGAUGUGUAGGGUACGAAUGAGAUAGGCAGAGUCCUAGCUACGGCGAGGUUGUAUGAGUUCAGGCCCCUCUACAGUGGAGGUAAUCGCCCUACGUCUCAGUGCUCUUGGAGCUUGUUACCGAGUGUAAUAUGGAGUACAAUGUUUUUCUAACCCUUUUACCAGUGGGGGAGGGCGGCUUAUAUAGAGUGCGCUGCCCUCCACAACGGUUCUGAUUCAAGGGUGGAGUAGUGGCGAUUGAAUGCAUGCGUUACAGGUAAUGUAUGCUAUAAAUGCUAGUUAAUGCACCCGGAAACGUACGGCAGUUUCCCUCCAGGGAGGUUACGAUGCACCGAGUGUAUCCAGUCGGUGGGUCCGGUGUCCUCCGAGUCUUAGUCUCCGACUGGAUGAUUCUGGGCCCGUUACCGACUGGAUGAUGGGGGCACCUUAAUACAGUCGGGCAUACUUAAGGUCCUGUCCCUUGUGUGGGGUAGUCCUUGGGUAGGACCUGUAGGACAGGCCUAUGACCCUACCCUAGGACUAUGACCCCAUCAUUAGUCCCCGAAUGGAUUGGGGUUGAAACGUCAAAGCAGUGCUCGAUGCUCAGAUCCGACUGGACUAGGUUCGGCUUGGGCGUUGCUUGCCUCUAUCCAUUCUAUCUCUCCUGGCCAAUGAUCCGAGUGAAUGUGUUCUGCGGUACGGACUGUCGGGAACCGAGUGCCUUCGCAGCAUCUUUUGACACGACCGGUCAACUGACAGCGGCGGAUUUUCCGGGAUCUCAAAUUUCGGGUUCCGCGCGCUUAGCGGGGACGACGUCAGUGCGCUCGAGUAGCGCCUGACUCCUCGAUCCUCGCGCCUUCAACUCUUCUGCCGAUAUCGCCGCGGCUGGUUGGGCGGAUAAGAUUUCGUGCCCGCUCGCCAGCGACCCAGUCGGUGUUCUAUUUAACUCUGGCCGACGAGACCCUUCAGUUACGCUCGCCGAAUUCUCUGCUCUUGCUUGCUCCGUCUUCCUCGCCACCUCUUGCGCUCGUACACCUUUCCCUUCCCAUCCUUCUCGAAAGCUUGCCAUCGCCGCCAUGACCAAGGGCCAGACCAGCAAGAUGGAGGCAAGGAAGAAGAAGGGCAAGGCGGCGGCUGCUCAGCGGCGGCAGCGGCCAUUGCCAGCGGGAUGGAUCCAGGGAGACUUUCUCCCCUCCACAGUGACGGAGGGGGACCUGCUGGAGCUGGUAGAGCACGGCCAGCUCGUGCAUAAAUCUUGGAGGUUGCCGACGGACGACGAGGUUGAGCGGGCGCCACAGGAGGGGGAGCGCGUCUUGCUCCUCAGCCACGUUCACCGAGGUUUCUCUCUACCCCCCACCCUUUAUUCAAGGGUAUCAUGAAUCAUUUUGGUGCACAACUCCAUCAUUUCCCUCCGAAUGCCAUCGUCCACCUUUCUGCCUUCAUCGUUUUAUGUGAAUGCUUUAUUGGUUGUCCUCCCCAUUGGGGUUUAUUCAAGCACAUCUUCUCCGCCCGCUCCCAAACCAUAAAACGCCUUAGUCAGUCGGAUGACAAGACGCAUCUCCUCCAGCUCUGCGGUGGUUUAGGGUUCCAAAAGAAGAGUCGGAGCAGCUACCCUGCUCUGCAGUUGAGUGAGUCGGUUAGAAACUGGCAGUCGACGUGGUUCUACUGCCAGGAUAUAGCCUGCCCGAACACGUCGACUGGGCUGGCUCCAUUUAGUCUAGACCGUCCUGCUCCGUCCAAGCAACUCGCCCUCUCGAAUACUGAGAAGAACGACAUCCAGCCUUUGGUCGAGGCACUCGUGGAUGUUGUCAGAAGGGGGGUCUCCGGCAUUGACCUGCUGGAAGUCUUCAUCGGUCGGCGGAUCCAGCCUCUACAAGCUCGCCACCACGCUAUGUGGCUCUACACAGGGCCUGAGGAUUCCACUCGGACCGUCGCGGUGGGCAUACUCGAGGAGAAGGUGACCUCGAUAGUGCUCCAAUUCACGGGACCUUGCGAGAACCCUAAAGGAGCUCGCCGAGUGGCGCCUUACAGCGCGGACAACCCGCCACCGAAUCAGGUGAGUAGCAUUAGCCGAAUAUAUCGAACUGUUUUGAUUUCAGUCGUUCAUUUAUAUCCUCGUGUGAUGCUUAAUGUUUCCGACUGAAUCUAAUGUAGGAAUGGACCAACUGGUCCUCCCCUGUCUCGAACGGGGAUCCGGAGGAGGAGGAGGAAGAAGGUAGCCAGGAGGGGAGCGUGGAGAGCGCUGAAGAUGUCUCCGACAGCAGGGAGUCGGAGGAGGAGGACAGCGAGGAGGAGGAAGAAGACGAAGAGCGCGACUCGCUGCCCCCACCGCCAGAACAGCGGAGUAAGCGGCGACAUGAGCCUGUCGUCCCUUCGGCUCCCCCCGCGUUGUCGAGUGCUCUACCUACCGCUCCGGCGGUCCCGAGUGCUCGAGGCACGAAGAGGUCCAGGGACGCCCCCGCUGAGCCUGCAGGCCAAUCUCCCAGGGCGCCCAAACCGAGUGGGCCCAAACCUCGGAGGGCUCUGCCGCGCAUGAGGGUUGCCAUCCCCGUCACAUCCACGUAAACGAAUCCAACUCUCGGCUUUUUAUGUUAUCCGAGUGAACUCCCGCUUUACAAGUCGAAUGGGCUUCACUUGACAGGGUCGCCACUUCUACAACCUCUCCGGUCCGCCAAGGGGAUGAACCCAUGGACACAGACAACGUCGUCUCGUCCCAGCCGGGUAUGUUGUAGGAGAGUCGGGUGUUUUAUUCCCGUAGACUGUACUAUCCUUUUCUUUUUCUGAAUCGUCAUGCUAUUCGGCUUGUCAGGGGCGAUUCACCCGGACGAAGACGGGCAAGGGAGAGCCGACCCGGCUGCGGAGCCUGUCGUGGAGCCUGUCCUUGAGGCUGCUCCUCCUGCUGCUGCCCCUGCCGCCGACGCUCCGCCGACUGAAGUGCCUCCACCGACCGAACCAGUGCCGGUGGGCGACGAACUGGCUGGGGCGAAUCUUGGGAUGCCCCAGGAUCUUCCCACGAUUCCCGGUUCGUCGAAUGUUGAAUUCAGCAUUCGGUGUGUCCCAGAGGAGCAGGUGGGAGCGGCCAAGGGAGCCAUGGUCCAAGCGGAGCUGAUGACCGGGGAGGCCAAGAAGGCUUAUGACUCCGUUGCGGCUUUGUACCAGCGGAGCUUGGAGCUGCGCGACGACAUCCGAGUAAGUAGUCUAGUAAGUACUUACUUUUCUUUUGUAACCCACUGGGUGUUGUCGUAGUCUGUUGUUUGCAAUGGGUUCACUCCGAGUGAACCCAGUGGGUGUAGUCCCCGAGACUUCUGUCGAGUGCUUGCACUGACAGUUGUCUUUAUACAUUUGGUCUUUUAUUUUUGUCGUGUCCGUAGACAAGAUUUCUGAGUGCAAGUACUAACUGCAGUCGGAGCACUCUUGCGGUGAGAGUUCCCUAGAGUAAACUGCACACACGUGGAGUAGCUUUAGCCUCGGAAGCGUAGGUGAAAACGUGCAUCUCAAUAGGGCAGACCUGCUUGAGGUGCAUGCCAGUGGGGUCACUCUUAGUGACCCACUGGGUGUAGUCCCCGAGACCGCUGUCGACUGCUUGCGUCGGCAGGGGUCUGAAAAACUUAGUGUGUGAACUGAUAAACUUGCUGACCGCCCUUUGUUUGUUUUGUAGAAAACUUGUGAUAUGGGGAGCGCUUAUGAAGCCUUGAGGGCUGAGAAGAACCAAUAUGCUGGUGAACUAGAAGCCGCAACGCUCGCCAUGGCUGGCAUGAAGAACGCUCUGGAAGUUCGAGAGAAAUCCUUGGAGGAGGCAUUGGAGGCAAACAGGGCGUUGGUGGCGGAGGUGGAGAGGCUGAAGAAAUAGAGGACCGAAGUGUACGAUCAAAUGGCUGCUCGGAACAAACGAUGGACAGCUCAGGAGAAGUAUGUGAACGACUGGGCUGUCCAGAUGAUGAGUCGUCUGGCUGGUAAGUCUGAUGAUUUGUCGAGUGGUUGUAUCUUGUGACGAACACUAGGUUUGUAAUUUCUAUUUGCUUGUUUGUUGCAGAUUUUUGUGGUGACGCCGAAGCUGAAGCGGCGGCCGUGGAACGAUCCAUGAAGGACAAUGUACCACUCAGUGAGGACGCCAACCGGAAUCUACUCCGGGCUCAUAUCCGCGUAGGCAAAGUGGGUCCGUUCAUCAACCGACUGAAAGAAAUCUUCGGCCGCAUUGAGAAGGAGCUUUGGCCGGAAGACGAGUCGCGGGAGAAGAUGGAGACUCUGUUGGGGCGACUGGGGGAGAUUCCGGCCCGAGUGCAAUCUUGGAAGAAAUCGGCAGCGCGUUGCGGUGUUGAUGUGGCGCUGUCCUUGGUCCGAGUCCAUUGCAAAGAAGUGCGGGAAGAUAAGCUGAAAGCCUUGAAAGUCGCCAACACGAAGAAGCUUCAAUUCAAAGACUUCAUGGAGACAUUCCUGGAGACUGUGACCCGCAUUGCUGAUGGAAUCGACCUAGAUACCUUUGUGGAACCCUCCAGUCCUGACGCGGGCCCAGCUGACUCAUGAUCGAACUUUAUCCUCGGUAUGCCGAGUGUUUGCCUGUACGAUAUUCUGGCCACUCCUGUUGGCCGUCAUACUUUUAGAUCGGUGCGGGUAAGCUUGAUCCGCACCGAAUCCGUUAUCGUUUCUAGACUGCUGGUAGUCGCAAUGAAAACACUUAUUCUUUUGCUUGAAUGCUAUUUGGAGUUGAACACUUAAUGUGUACUCGUAGAAUAUUAGGACUUAGGUGAUUCAUGAUCAGUGCUAAGUUCCCGAGUGUAACGUAUAGUGUACAUUCGGAGGAGGCUAGUACUUAGAUGAUUCUUGAUCAUAACUCAGACUCCGAGUGGAACGUAUAGUGCACACUCGGAGGAAGGUAUUACUUAGGCGAAUCGGGAUCGCAGCUAAGUCUCCGAGUGCGACGUAUAGUGCACACUCGGAGGAGCGAUCAGUACUUAGGCGAUGCAGGAUCGCAGCUAAGUCCUCGAGUGUGACGUGAAGUGCACACUCAAAGGAAGAUUAGUACUUAGGCGAUGCAGGAUCGUAGCUAAGUCCCCGAGUGUGAUGUGAAGUGCACACUAGGAGAAGUUAAUACUUAGUCGAUGCAGGAUCGCAGCUAAGUCCCCGAGUGCGACGUAAAGUGCACACUCGGAGGAAGUUAAUACUUAGGCGAUGCAGGAUCGCAGCUAAGUCCCCGAUGUGAUGUGAAGUGCACACUCGAAGGAAGAUUAGUACUUAGACGAUGCGUGAUCGCAGCUAAGUCCCCGAGUGUGGCGUAAAGUGUACACUUGGAGGAAGUUAAUACUUAGGCGAUGCAGGAUCGCAGCUAAGCCCCCGAGUGCGACGUGAAGUGCACACUCGGAGAUAGUUAAUACUUAGGCGAUGCAGGAUCGCAGCUAAGCCCCCGAGUGCGACGUGAAGUGCACACUCGGAGAUAGGUGUUACUUAGACGAUUCAGGAUCGCAGCUAAGUUUUUUUUUGUGACCGUAAUCUGCAACCACGGAAGGACUCUGAAUCUGCAAAAGAAAUUGAAUCUGCUGUAUAUUAUUUCUCCAAAACUUGUUCGUUACACUGCUUCAGUCGGCGAUCACGUAUAAAAACGCUUGAGGAGGUCUCCGUUCCACGCGCGGGGUUCGUCGGUCUCCUUCUGAAUGUUGUAGAGUCUGUAUGCUCCGUUGUUCAGCACCUUUGAAAUGAUGAAAGGACCUUCCCAGGCCGGAGCCAACUUGUGUGGUCUUUGCUGAUCCACUCGGAGCACCAAAUCGCCGGCCUGGAACGUGCGGCUUCUGACAUGUCGUGCGUGAAAACGUCGCAGAUUUUGCUGAAAAAUUGUUGAGCGAGUAAGUGCCAUCUCGCGCUCCUCCUCUAGAAGAUCGACUCCAUCUUGCCUUGCUUGUUCUGCUUCGGCUUCAGAGAAGAGUUCGACUCGCGGGGCAUUGUGAAGCAGGUCACUCGGAAGGACCGCUUCUGCUCCAUAGACGAGGAAGAACGGUGAACGCCAUGUUGAUCUGUUCGGAGUGGUGCGGAGGCCCCAAAGUACUGAAGGUAACUCGAUUACCCAUGCACCAGCAGCAUGUCCUAUCUCUCGCCAGAGCCGAGGCUUCAAACCUUGAAGGAUAAGUCCAUUUGCACGCUCAGCUUGUCCAUUGGAUUGCGGAUGUGCUACGGAAGCAAAAUCCACUCGGAUACCUUGACUCGCGCAGAAACCUUUGAAUCUGUCCGAGUCGAAGUUUGUCCCAUUGUCCGUGAUUAUGCUGUGAGGCACUCCGAAUCUGUAGAUGAUGUCUCUGACAAACUUCACGGCUGUGGAGGCGUCGAGUUUCUUGAUGGGCUUGGCUUCUAUCCACUUUGUAAACUUGUCGACUGUCACCAACAGAUGUGUGUAGCCUCCUUGGCCUGUCUUGAAUGGUCCGACUGUGUCUAAUCCCCAAACUACAAACGGCCACACAAGUGGGAUUGUCUUUAGUGCAGAUGUUGGCUUGUGGGACUUGUUGGAGUAGAACUGACAGCCUUCGCAUCGAUCGACCAUAGCUUUGGCCAUUUCGUUAGCCUGCAGCCAGAAGAAUCCAGCCCUGAACGCCUUGGCGACGAUUGCUCUUGAAGAAGCAUGAUGGCCGCAGGUUCCCGAGUGGAUAUCCUCUAGGAUCAACUGCCCUUCCUCUGGGGAAAUGCAACGUUGGAGAACGCGUGAAACACUCUCCUUAUACAAUUGACCGUCAAUGACAGUGAACGCCUUCGACCUGCGAACUAUUUGUUGGGCUUGGACUUCAUCUUCUGGAAGUUCUUGCCUUAGGAUAUAUGCCAUAAUCGGCACAGUCCAAUCGGGAAUGAUUACCAGAAUCUCUGUGACCAGAUCAACCAUAGCAGGCACAUCGACUUCAGUCGGGUCUGUUGCGCUCUUGGGUUGUACUGGCUCUUCCGUGAAGGGAUCUUCUUUGACUGAAGGAAGAUGGAGGUGCUCGAGGCAGACAUCACUCGGGACGGGUCUCCGAGUGGAUCAGAGCUUCGCCAACUCGUCCGCCGCUUGGUUCUUUAGUCUUGGAACAUGAUGAAGUUCUAGACCUUCAAACUUCUUCUCCAGCUUCCUGACUGCAUUGCAGUAGGUUGUCAUAGUGGGGUUCCUUACGUCCCACUCUUUCAUCACUUGGUUGACCACCAAGUCUGAAUCGCCGUAGACCAUCAGGCAACGGACGCCGAGUGAGAGGGCCAUGCGCAAUCCGUAGAGAAGAGCUUCAUACUCUGCCUCAUUGUUAGAGGAAUCAAAGUGUAUCUGAAGCACAUACUUGAGCUUGUCACCCUUUGGUGAUACGAUCACAACACCAGCGCCGGAUCCAUUCAACAUCUUAGACCCAUCGAAGAACAUUGUCCAAUGAGCCGAGUAGAUGUGAGUCGGUUGCUGUUGUUCUACCCAUUCUACUAUAAAGUCAGCCAGGGCUUGAGACUUAAUAGCUUUCUUGGCCUCGAACUUGAUGUCGCAGUACAGCAUCUCCAUCGCCCACUUCGCCACUCGGCCUGAUGCGUCCCGAUUGUGGAGAAUUUCCGACAACGGAGCAUCAGAAACGACAGAUACCGAGUGGUCUUGAAAAUAAUGAGCCACCUUCUUUGCAGUCAUAAAGAUCCCAUAGAUAAGCUUUUGAUAAUGGGGAUACCUCUGCUUGGAAGGUGUCAGGACUUCGGAGGCGUAGUACACUGGCCGCUGAACUUUGUAUGCUUUGCCUUCUUCUUCUCGCUCGACUGUAAGAACAGUACUGACCACUUGAUUUGUAGCCGCGAUAUAUAGAAGAAGGGGCUCUUUACUGAGUGGAGCAGUAAGAACCGGCUGGGUGGAAAGUAGGACUUUGAGGUCGUCGAACGCGACUUGGGCUUCGUCUGUCCACUCGAAGGUAUCUGAUUUCUUCAUGAGUCGGUACAGAGGAAGUGCUUUUUCGCCGAGUCGACUGAUGAACCUGCUCAAAGCUGCUAAGCAACCUAUGAGUUGUUGAACAUCGUGUAUUCUGACCGGCCUCUCCAUUCGGACGAUGGUCCCGAUCUUUUCGGGGUUAACAUCGAUCCCUCGUUCGGAAACGAAGAAACCGAGUAACUUUCCGAUGGGAACACCGAAUGAACACUUGGCAGGAUUUAGCUUGAUAUCGUACCUACGAAGGUUGGCGAAUGUUUCCGCCAAGUCAGUCAGCAGGUCGGAACCUUUGCGGGACUUGACUACGAUAUCAUCCAUGUAUGCCUCCACAUUGCGACCGAUCUGGUCGAGGAGACAUUUUUGGAUCAUGCGCAUAAAGGUACCUCCUGCAUUCUUCAGACCGAAAGGCAUGGUGAUGUAGCAGAAGCACCCAAACGGGGUGAUGAAAGUUGUUUCCAACUCAUCGGGACCAUACAGACGGAUCUGAUGAUAACCCGAGUAGGCAUCAAGAAAUGAUAAACGCUCGCACCCCGCAGUCGAAUCGACAAUUUGAUCUAUGCGGGGGAGCGAAAAAUGGUCUUUCGGGCAGACCUUAUUGAGGUGCUUGAAGUCAAUGCACAUUCGGAGUGACUUGUCCUUCUUGGGCACCAUGACUACAUUGGCGAGCCACUCGGAGUGGUGAACCUCGCGAAUGAAUCUGGCAGCUAGCAGCUUAGCCACCUCUUCUCCGAUUGCCUUCCUUUUGUGCGCGGCGGACCGGCGCAGGCGCUCUCGGACGGGCCGAGCAGCGGGAUCCACAUGCAGUCGGUGCUCAGCCAACUCCCUAGGUACACCCGGCAUGUUAGAUGGCUUCCAUGCGAAGAUGUCCCAGUUCUCACGGAGGAAUUGGGUGAGCUCGACUUCCUAUUUGGGAUCCAGGGUGGUGGAGAUGUUCGUCGGGGCGGCAGACUCGUCCGUCGGGUGGAUGCUGACCUUCUUAGUCUCUCCUGCCGACUGGAACGCGGACUCAGAAGCUGGCUUCUUUGAGCGCAUUAAGUCGGCGGGGUCGACUGUCUUCUUGUACUCUUCGAGCUCGAGUACAGCCAUCUGCUGGUCGGCGAUCCUCGACCCCUCUUGCAGACACUCCUCGGCUCGCUGGCGGUUGCCGGUGAUGGUGAUAACGCCUUUUGGACCGGGCAUUUUCAACUUCAAGUACACAUAACACGGUCGUGCCAUGAAACUCACAUAUGCCGGGCGGCCCAGAAUUGCAUGGUAAGCGCUCUGGAAGUCCACCACCUCAAACGUGAGCUUCUCCUUGCGAAAGUUCUUGUCGGAGCCGAAGAUGACCUCCAAUGCGAUCUGGCUGAGUGAUUUGGCCUUCCGCCCUGGCACGACUCAGUGGAACUGCAUAUUGCUCUCGCUGAGUCUGGACAUCGGAAUGCCCAUCCCCUUGAGGGUGUCGCGUACAUAAUAUUCAACCCGCUGCCGCCGUCCAUUAGGACUUUGCGCAGUCGGACUCCUUCCACCACCGGGUCGACGACCAGAGCCUGCCUUCCUGGGGUGGGGACAUGUGUUGGAUGAUCCGACUGAUCGAAGGUAAUCGCAGUCUGAGACCAUUUGAGAAACUUGGGGGCAGUCGGAACGGCCAUGUUGACUUCUCUGUUCACUAGCUUCAGUCGACUCUUGCUUUCAACGUCAGCGAAGAUCAUGAGGGUUGCAUGGACUUGGGGGAACGGAUCCUCCUUGUCCUCCUCAUCCUGUUCAGGAUUCUUCUCACUCGGCUGUCCUUCGCUGAAACCCUGGAUCAGGAGACGGCACUGCCGAGUGGUGUGCUUUGCGUAUAUGGGUUUACCUUCCUCAUCCAUCUUCGUAUGGACUGGACAAGGCUGGUCCAGGAUGAGAUUGUUGAAAGGCUUUUUCUUGGGGGUGAACUGCGCUUUCCCUUUGCCCUUGAAUUUGGCGCUGGUGACAGCUGCAGCUUCUGUUUGCGGUGUGGGCGGAACCUUCGGUUUCUGCUUCCGAGUGUUACCUCCGUCGGCAUCGCCGACUGUCUUGUGUUUACCGCUCCGGAUGCGGUCCUCUUCUUCGCCAUUUGCAUAACGAGUUGCUAUCUCCAUCAUCUUGCUCAUGGAGAUGUCUCCGGUUCAACCAAACUUCAAGUACAGCUCCCUGUAUCGCACGCCUGCCUUGAAGGCGCAGACUGCUUGAUGCUCGGUGACGUUCUCCACCGUGUGGUAAAGAGUCGUCCAUCGCUGAAUGAAGUCGCGCAAGGGCUCAUUCGGCUUCUGGACACAGUGCUGAAGCUCCACAAGACCUGCAGGGCGCUUGCACGUUCCUUCGAAGGUUCUGAUGAACACUCGGGCUAGAUCUGCCCAACUGUAAAUGCUUGAGGGGGCCAACUGGUUCAGCCAAGCUCGGGCCGAGCCGUCGAGCAUCAGAGGGAGGUGCUUCAUAGCGACAUGGUCGUCUCCUCCUCCGAUCUGGACCGCCACUCGGUAGUCGUCGAGCCAUGUUUCGAGCUUGGACUCUCCUGAGAAUUUACCGAUUCCCGCAGCCAAUCGGAACUUGGGCAGGAUAUCAGCCGAGCGGAUGGCUCGACUAAAACACUCGGGGCCAGAUACGAUGGCCCUGCUUCCACUCGGACGGUCCAUAUCGCGGCCAUCAUGGUGGGCUCGACCCCUGUCGACUCUUCGCUGAGCGAUUCGGCCCCUUGCGUCGGGUCUUGGGUCGUAAGUGUCGCCGACUGAAUGCCGAUCAUCAUGAUGCCGGGACCCGCAGGGCCCACCCCGCGGAGGGGUCCGUGAGCGACGACGAUACUGAUGAGAUCCAGGGCUGUGAACCGAUCUAUGCGUGUUUGCAUGGAUGGAACUAUUGUGGAUCCGAUUGUGUGACUGGGAGACUGCCGAAUUCUGCUGUUGCGCUCAAUUCCCCUUCCUGCCUCUGAAUCAGUCGGCUGGAGGGAAUCGGCAAUCUGCGCAGCCGCGGCCAGGUUGAGGAGAGGUGUGCGGAACACCUCCACGUUGCUUCGCCGAGUGUGUCGGCUGGCAGAACGACGAGGCGGACGACGCGCACCGGAUGCUUCGCCAACUUCACCUCGGUCGGCUUGACGAGGAUCUUCAUGGGAGUUGGCCAUGUGUACUUCUGCUGCAGGCCCACGGCCCACGUACUCGGUAUGAAGCUCAGUCGGAACCGAGUCCGAGCACUGGGAGCGUGGGGCAACUACAACAGACUCCAGAACUGCCACCUGAGAGGACGCGAUCUGGCGCGCUCGGGCAUGCUGCACCCAACGUUGGAGACGCGGAUUGCGGGACCGCUUACUACGGCGAGUGACGAGGGUGUAAUCCAGAAAUGGAGCCGAUUGCUGGAGAAGAAGAACGCCGCGAGCGCCGGCACGGAAGUGCGUGGCCCCGCGACGGGGAAGCGCCUUGACGUCAAGGGGUGCCUCCCGACGCCACGCCGAAUCGUCGACGACGAAGGAGAGAGCACCGAAGAGGAUCUGGUGACCCAUGCUCGAAACUCCACCGGACGACAUGACGAAAGGAAGUAGUCGCAAACUCGCCGGAAGUCGCUUAGACGCCUGCCCCACGGUGGGCGCCAACUGUCGUGGGUAUAAACCUGACAGUAGAUGUGUAGGGUACGAAUGAGAUGGGCAGAGUCCUAGCUACGGCGAGGUUGUAUGAGUUCAUGCCCCUCUAUGGUGGAGGUAAUAGCCCUACGUCUCAGUGCUCUUGGAGCUUGUUACCAAGUGUAAUAUGGAGUACAAUGUUUUUCUAACCAUUUUACCAGUGGGGGAGGGCGGCUUAUAUAGAGUGCGCUGCCCUCCACAACGGUUCUGAUUCAAGGGUGGAGUAGUGGCGAUUGAAUGCAUGCGUUACAGAUAACGUAUGCUAUAAAUGCUAGUUAAUGCAUCCGGAAAUGUACGGCAGUUCCCUCCAGGGAGGUUACGACGCAUCGAGUGUAUCCAGUCGGUGGGUCCGGUGUCCUCCGAGUCUUAGUCUCCGACUGGAUGAUUCUGGGCCCGUUACCGACUGGAUGAUGGGGGCACCUUAAUACAGUCGGGCAUACUUAAGGUCAUGUCCUUUGCGUGGGGUAGUCCUUGGAUAGGACCUGUAGGACAGGCCUAUGACCCUACCCUAGGACUAUGACCCCAUCAUCAACAAUAUAAACUUUUAUAACAUACAUUUACAUUUUGCUAGUCAUAUAUAUAACCAAUUAACUAAAAUUACUGUUUCAGAAAAAUAACUAAAAAUAAAAUAGGGCUCAUAUAUAUGAUGAAAGCAGUUUGUCAUUUAUUUCCUCUUGGUUUGAUUUUGCAGUACAGGGACACCACCGAAGCGAUCGUGGACGCGACACGCACCAUCCUGCAGCAGUGCGAGCGGGCCAAGACGGUGAUGCGUGUCAUCCACACGGGCUCUGUUGUCGCGGCCUCGCCGCUCCGAGCUGACGGCAAUGGAUACAAAGAGUCUGUCGACGAAUCCUGCUGGACCCCACUCGGCCUGUCCUACGGCCACAGCAAUGAUGGCUUGGAUGUGAGCGCUUCUAAUUCCUGCUCGAGGCCCCGACAAGGCCAUGCACAACUCAUUCGAAUCAUUACUGAAAAAAAGGCUUUCGCUUUACUUAUAUAUAAAGCAAACCAUCAGACCAAAAGUACAAGCACGAGCUCAAAUUCAGACAAACAUACACCCCUAAGAUAGCACGGCAUCGAGUACGAAGGGUUUUGCUGAGGACAUAGCUCAACAAACCCUAAAAACAAAAUAAGACGAAGAGGCCGCAAUAGAAGCAUCUAAUCUAGCUCUGGAGAUGGUGGUGGAGACGGCGGCGCCAAGCGGAAGGCCAUCGUUCGAAAAUCUUUGACUCAUUCAACUCAUCGUGUAAAUCUAGCCAUGUGGGGUUCAUUACACUUCGUUACAUGAGCAUGUGAGUAAUGGACAAUCACAUGUGAACCCUGCAUAUCAGAUUUAACAAAGAAAUAAUGCAGCGCCAUUGUGACUACAACAAGAAAGAAAAUCUUCUUAAACACAUUUGGUUGACAUAAAUACUCCCUAUUUAACUUAAUAUAAAAUGUUUUUUUUGACUCUGUCAUGGACUCUAAAAAUGUCUUGUACGAAGCUACGGUUAAACUAUGUAAUAAAGAUUUUAACCAUGAGGGGCAUCUUAAGUUUACACCAAAAUAGCAUACGAAAAACGUGGUUGUCAUUCCUAAUGUGGUAGCGCAUUGAUUUGACCAUAAAGUAACCCUAACUGUGGGGUUUCCUACAAACUACAUCCGAGAUAAAUCGAGUGUCAUCAAGCACUGCACCAAGUGAAUCUAGGACAUCAAACCCUACUCAAAACCCGUUAAAAAUAACAUUCAGGCCUUGCUUGGAUUGUCGGUUAGCUUCUAAAUACAUCCGUAAAAGUUACGGACCUAAAGCUGUUCUUUCUUGUUCUUGGCAAAAAUCAAGCGCGAUCGAUAAUAUACACCUGUAAAUAGAAUUCGGGUGUACUACACCCAUACCAAGCGGGACCUCAAUGGUAUAGUAACGAAAACAUCUGCCAUACUGACAUGUUUUUGCUUGGUAUAUUGUGCAAGGUAAGGUACUCCUUGUGUAGAGUCUUACUCCACAGUCAUCUAUCCUUCCAAAACUAAGUAUACGAACCAAACUCCCAACCGUGAAAGCAACACACCACAAAAAUCUCUUCUCCAAACUAACUGUAGGCCUUUGUUUUAGAAAGGAAAGUCUGAUGAUCUUACCGUAACCUACGAAAGCGGUUGUGAGUGGAUAUACUUAGAGAGAAUUCCUUAUUUAACAUUGUAUUUAAAUUUUAUGCCCUAUUUAACAUCGGUAAAUGAUUUCUUCCCUAUAUAACAAUGAGUUUAAAUUGUAUGCCUUCUAUAACUUUUUUGUCCAUUUUAAACCUAAGUGACAUUUUAAAAGAUUGUCUUACCCCUCAUGUGGUAUGCUUGUGUGGGUGUUGUUGCGUGCCCCCCCCCCGCACACGCGUGUGCAAGUUAUGUGUGUGGGUGCUGUUUCAUGUGUGUUGUUGCGUGUUUGUGUGCGCACGUAUGUGCGCGCGUGUGUGUAUGCACGCACGUGUGUGUGCUGCUGCUUGUGUACGUGUGUGCUGCGUGUGUUGUUGCUGUUGUUUGUGUUGUUACGUGUGUGUUUGCUCCGUGUGGCACGCGCGCACACAUGUGUGUUGUUUGCGUGUGUGUUGUUACAUGUGUGCGCGUGUGUGUUAUUGCUGCUGUGUGUGCUGUCACGUGUGUGUCUGUUGUGUGUGUGCGCGCCGUGUGUAUGUUGUGUACGUGUGUGCGUGUGCGCGCGUGUGUGNNNNNNNNNNNNNNNNNNNNNNNNNNNNNNNNNNNNNNNNNACGUGUGUGUAUGUGUUUGUUGUGUCGGUAUGUGUUGAUGUGCGGUUGCGUGCGGGCUAUUGUCGUAAUUGCCUCGUACUGACGUUGUGUGUUGUUGUCCCGCACACACAUAUUACAUGAGGGGCAAAAUGAUCUUUUCAGGUGUUAUUUAGGCUUAAAAUGAAUCAAAAUGUUAUAAAGGACAUAAAAUUUAGACUCGUUGUUAAAUAGGGAAGAUUUUUUUUCAGUGUUAAAUAAGGUAACGAAAUUUAAGAUGGUGUUAAAUAUAGAAUUCUCUCAUAUACUUACUGUGUAGUGAGUCUUGUCACACCCGGCAUAAUUUAACCACUUGAAAAAAUAUUUUGUUAUAAAAUAUAUUUGUAAUCCUCAUAUCGUCCACACCCAACCCUCCUUGGUCUUCAUGUUGACUUGUGUUUUCUACAGGCUUAUGUCUCCUCCAAGACCAUCUCUGAGGAGGAAUUACUCAAGUACAACGAUGACUUCUCCAAGCGCAGAGCAUUCGACGUUGUUGUCUUGUUAUGCGGCGUCGUGGGAGGAGACACAAUCCUGCCAUACAUCAGCGACAGCAUCCAUGUCAUGUUGUCGCCUCUAACCGGCGUCGAGGUCUACCACAACUCCCUCAAGUUCCUACAGGCCCUCCUCGGCUUCGUACCAUUGGUACACGUCGAUGACGUCUGCGAGGCACACGUCUUUUGCAUGGAGAAGUUGUCCGAUGUUGCUGCGGGCCGAUACCUUUGCGCCACCGCGCACACCAACAUGCAGGACAUCUUGGAGCACUACGUCUGCAAGCACCUCGAGCUCGAGCGGAUCAAAGAGUACGUUCUUGAACAAAAUGCCAUACUUUGAUUAUCUCUUACGUGGAGCUUUGUGUGAUAAAAAAUAUGUGUCUGUGUACUGUUAGGGUGGUGGGAGAGGGAGUGCGAGUGCAGGCUAACACAAAGAAGCUUGUGGAGCUGGGGUUCAAGUAUAAGUAUGGAGCAAUGGAGGUGCUUGAUGGCAGCGUGGAUUGCGGGAAGAGAUUGGGAUUGUUGUGAUGUGCAUGUGCAUCACAUUGACCGUGUGCUAGCAAACAUUUGACAAUCCAACAUUAUAUAUGUAAAACUUAUUUAUUUGGAUUUUUUUCUUGAAAUAUGUUGACUUUGUUGCUAUUUUUAUCAUUAUUUUUGGAUUCCUGUCGUGAAUUUUUCAUGUUAAGAGCACAAAGAAACAUAUGUGGAAAGCGUACAUAUACAAAUGGGUGUCGACUUCUUCUCUUUAUAGUUCGAUUAUCACAAUGUUAAGGGUGUAUAUAAAGUUGGGUAGCCCUUCCUGUUAAUAUAUUGUUUAAAACUCAUGCAACUUAUUGUGUCCUUUUACGAUAUUGCGCUAGCUUUUUCAUAUACUUGUAAUGUGUACAAUCGGGAUGGUCUAGUUGUAGCUUUUGGCGUCGUGUGUUUGGCUUCUUGUGAUUUUUCUUGAAACUUGGUGUGGUUGUUGUGCCUUAUUUACGGUUAACUUGGGUUGGUGCCAUGACUUUUGUAUCUCAAGUCUUAUAUGAUACGUAUAGAGAAAGUAGGCGUUUUGGUGACCGAGCUCCAUGAAGGCCGAAAUUUAGAAAAAAAUCAAAAAUCCAAACUUUUCAGUUUCUAUUUUUUUGAAAAAAUAUAUGUGUAAAAUUUCACAAUGAAGUACUUUGAAUCGCAAUCUGGGUAAAAAAAUCAUGAACUUUGAGGAACAAACUGUACACAUGUUCAACAACCAGAUAAUUUGUUUAUUUUUACACAACCCUCAUUUCAACGGAUUCCAUCAUGAAAUUUUACACACAAUUACAUUAUAUCACUAGGUAUAUGUGUAUUGUUUUUGAAUAUUUUGAAAGAUAAAAGUUUUAGUUUUGGUAUAUAUUUUUUCAAAAUCCGGCCUCCAUGAAGCUCAUCCUCCAUUCAGAAUUUUCAGAAAGCAUACAUAUAUAUAGUGGUGUGGUAUCUUCUCCUUAUGCUGACAAAUUAUUUUGGACCAGUCACUUUGUAUGUUAGUCAUGGAAUUUAAUCCAUCAAGUGGUUAACUCUUUAUCUAAGGAAAAGUGACCAAACUAUCAAUUCAAGUUGUCAAGUGGACGGCCCAAAAGAGAAGACAACCCGAUCAAUAAAUGUGAAACGUAAGCAAGAUUGGCAAAAUAGUAAUGUAGCAUAAUUCAUUGUAUUAAUUUUAUUUACUACUUGUCUGAACAAUAUAAUAGACCAAACUCAAGAAUGCAGCAUGUGGUAGCAGAAGGAAUAUUAAUGAAAAAAAUCAAAAAGAAAGAGGGACAAGUUUCGGUUUGCUUCUAAAGAAGAUUAAAUUUCUAUGAGUGGUGUUCCCUGACAAAAAAAACUGAACAUCAACAAAAGUAAAGAAAAAAAAUCAAGGAAAAAUAAUUACGGGACUGAUUUGAUCGCAAAUUAAGAAACAAGAAAUAAUUUUAAAAAAAUAUUAUAAAACUAUGACUAGAAUAACAAAUUAGAAAAAUUUAUUGUUGAACUCUUCCUCUAUAUAUGGAGGAAAUAAAAUAUAUUGAGAACUUGCACAUAAAUUACACAGAACUAACAUUUUUUCAUAUUGUGCAAGAGCAAGUGCAAACUAGUGUGACUUCAAUAAUAAUUGUAAUUUUAGUAUAUCAACCAAAAAUCUAUCUUGAUUUCCUAACAUAAAAUUAUAUAAUGUCGCUUGCACCNUUAAUGAAUUACCAAAUGUAUUCUAUUUUAAGUUUUGAAGUAGUGCUACAUGGUGGCAUCAUGAAACCGCUGCCAUAUGCAUGCACAAGUCAAAGAGAAAAUCCAGCAAUCGAAAAAUCAAACUAAGCAAGUACAACACAAACGGGUUCCACAAACAUUUGCACACUCGAAAAAACUAAAAUAAAUUACUAAUCAAAGGUUUAAUGAAUUAAAAACAUUAGUAUUAUCUUAAAAAAUGAAGGAAAUUUAAAAUUAUGAUUUGAUCAAUUACAAAAAUGAGGCUCAUUUCAAGUUAUUAACACAAAAUGAUGUACUCCCACGGGAUUGCAACAUCAAACUUUUGACGCGUGCACAAAUAAAAGAGAGACCCCAGCAUGCAAAAAAUCAACUAGGGAUAUGUUUUUGGAUCCAGAAGGAUUAUUAUAAGCCAGAGAAAAACAUAAAUUAAAACCAAUAUUAUUCUAAGGCAGAAUGUAUUAAAGGCAGUGGUAUUAUCCUAAAGAAUACAUAAAAUUAAGCAAUGAUAUCACGUAAAUGAUGAAGAAAAAUGCAUACACGUCUUUUAGAAUUUGUGUUGUUCUACAAUAUUGAAGAACAAUUAGUAAUAGUGUCACUUUAAGACAACAAUGUGAUUUUGCACGUAUAUAUAUAUACUUUGUAUUAUACAUCCAUGUCACACUCAAGGUCUAAGUAACAAAACGAAAAUGAGAACGACUCGCAUUCAUAUUUGCAAACUCGACCGUUGUUUUCUAUGCUUUAUUGACUGGGUUAUCAUCCAUGAAAAAGGUGUGCUAAUAGGUUGGGCCAACUCAUAAGACUACUACAAACCAACCACCAAUACAUUUUUCUACUUAUUUGCUAUUAUAGAUAGAACAUGACAGAAAAAGAAAAUGAAAAUAUACAGUCACGAUAAAGAGAACAUGCACGCACAAAAAAUGUAGAUAGAUAAAAAAAUAUUGUUCUAAUGAAGAAUGAAUUAACAGCUUAUGUAUUACCCUAUAAAAGAAUGAAAAUGAAGUGAAAAAUAUUAAAUCAGAUAAAUUCACACAUAUUACAUAUAUCUUGCAUUGCUUUAAGUAGGCAAGAGCAAGCCCAUGAUGGUGCAACUUUUCAGAGAACAAUAUUAUUAGCACACCAAUUACAAAUAAUUUGCAUAUUACAUUUGUGUUAUACUUGGACUUAAUGCUUAAAUAAAAAACAAUGAAAAUUAACCGUCUCUCAACAUGUGAAAAAGAAAUUGCAUCUGAUAUCAAUGGUGCCAUGUCCCUUAACAUUGUUGGAAAUAUUCCCUAGAGAUAAUAAUAAGUUAUUAUUAUAUUUCCUUGUUCAAGAUAAUCAUUUAUUAUCCAAGCUAGAAUUGUAUUGAAUGAAAACUCAAAUACAUGUGUGUGUACAUAGACAAGACACUGUCCCUAGUAAGUCUCUAGUUGACUAGCUCGUUGAUCAAAGAUGGUUAAGUUUUUCUAGCCAUGGACAAGUGUUGUCACUUGAUAACAGAAACACAUCAUUAGGAGAAUGAUGUGAUGACCAAGACUCAAACUAUGAACGUAGCAUGUGAUCGUGUCGUUUUAUUGCUACUGUUUUUCUACGUGUCAAGUAUAUAUGUCUAUGACCAUGAGAUCAUGUAACUCACAUACACCGGAAGAAUAGCUUGUGUGUAUCAAACGUCGUAAUGUAACUGGGUGACAAUAAAUGUGCUCAACAGGUAUCUCCGAAGGUGUCCAUUGAGUUAGCAUGGAUCAAGACUGAGAUUUGCCACUCCGUAUGACGGAGAGGUAUCUCGGGUCCUACUCGGUAAUACAACAUCACAACAAGUCUUGCAAGCCAUGUGAAUAAAGGGAAUGUUACGGAACGAGUAAAGAGGCUUCCCGGUAAUGAAAUUGAACUAGGUAUAGAGAUAUCGAUGAUCGAAUCUCGGGCAAGUAACAUACCGAAGGACAAAGGGAAUGUUAUACAGUAUUAACUAAAUCCAUGACAUAGAGAUUCAACCAAUAAAGAUCUACGUAGAAUAUGUAGGAACCAAUUUGGACAUCCAGGUCCCGCUAUUGGUUAUUGAUUGGAGAGUGUCUCAGGUCAUGUCUGCAUAAUUCUCAAACCCGCAGGGUUUGCACACUUAAGGUUCGCUGAUGUUUGAGUAUAUUUGAAUUAUGCAUGUUGGUGACCGAAUAUUGUUCGGAGUCCCGGAUGAGAUCCUGGACGUCACAAGGAUUUUCAGAAUGGUCCGGAGUCGAAGAUUGAUAUAUUUGAAGAGUACAUUUGGCUUUCGAAAGGAUUCGGGCAUUACCGGUAAAGUACCAGGAGUGACGAAUGGGUUCCGGGGUUUGAUACGUCCAAAACGUAUCUAUAAUUUUUGAUGGUUUCAUGCUACUUUUAUGCUUUUGAUAAUUAUUUUUAUAUUAAUUUUACGAUUUAUUUGGACUAACCUACUCACAAUUGCAAAAGUGCACAAUGUUCUUGUUUUACACUUUGAUGUGUAGGAACUAUAAAAAAUAGAAGAGGAAACCUUGUUGGAGUGGGACUCUGACUUUCCUGAAAUCUAUCCCCCUACAGAUUUUAGAGAUCGUCUAUUUCCGUCUCGAAGAUGAUGUCAAAUGGAAAAAUAAUAGAUGCGACAGUUGUGGGGAAUUUUAUGCUGAUAACUCUAGACAUACAAUUUGGACCAUUUAGAGUCCGGACGCUUCAAGAAAGCCCGUUUUACUGGAGGAUAAAUAUCUGAUUACAGGAUUACGGGAAUUGAUGACGUGAUUGAGUCCAACUCUUACCAUAUUAGACGGAUUCGGCCAAGCCACGACUUGGGGACCUCAUUACGGCUGAGAGUGGUUCCUAGGAAGGUUCUAGAGGUGCCCAAGAGCCCUUGGAUCAAAGGGGAAUCCAUCGGAGGGCCAAGGAUGAUCAUCGCGACUCAUAUAAGGAGAGGAAAAACUUGAUUUCUGGAGGACCACCAAGAGCUACGAGAUUUCCUCCUCCGAGGCAGCCGCCUUGGGGUGGAGAACCACCUCCAUAUCAGCACCAUCUCCAAGGAAGAAGGGGGGCCAAGGGCCGCCGCCCCCAAGGGCCGUGUCCGCCGCCGUGGCCGCCGUCUCCUCUCCGGGUCGCACCUCUCCAUCAACCUCUUGCUCACCAUGGCCAUGUGUGAGUAGUCUCCCUCAGGGUUGAGGUCUUCUACGUGUAGCUAUGUGGUCAUCUCUCUCUACCAUGUUGUGAUCUUGAUUGUGAUCAUAGGCUAUGUUAAUCUAGGUUGAUCCCAUGAUGUUUCCCCUUCUUCUAUGUAUUGGAUUGAUCUACUUACUUGAUCUUAUCUAGUAUAAUCCCCGAGACCAUGGUGAUAACGGUCUAUUGGAGAUGGAUUAGAAGAAUAUUUUCAUGAGUGAUUUCCUCUUUUGUGAAUUGAUUGAAGAUUGAGAGUCUCUUGGUGCUUGUCUUUGACUAUCCUUGAUAUAUGUUGUGGUGAUUGUGGUACUCUCUUUGGAUGGCCGCGGUGACAUUGGAAAUGCAUAGAUGAGAAUUACGAACGCUGAGGUGUGCUUUUGUAGCCCUACAUAAUUCUCGUCCUCUCUUUAUCACAAAGGAAUGACCUCCAAGUACGUCUCCAUUGCAUGUUUUAGUGGAAAUAUCAUGUGAUUAGAUUAUCUUAAUGUUGUUGGGACUUGCCACUAGUGAAAGUAUGAAGCCUAGGCCUUGUUUCUCACCAUUGUUACACCGUUUAUUCUCACUUUUGUCACUUGCUACCUUGCUUCCAUUUUUAUUACAGAUUUAUAUUACCUUGUUUUGCCUCACAUAUCACCCAUAUUUUACCAUCUCUUCGCCGAACUAGUGCACCUAUACAAUUUAUCAUUGUAUUAGGUGUGUUGGGGAUACAAGGGACUUCUUGUUUCUUAAUUGUAGGGUUGCUUGAGAGAGACCAUCUUCAACCUCUACUUCCCCGAGUUCGAUAAACCUUAGGUCAUCCACUUGAGGGAAAUUGAUGUUGUCCUACAAUCCUCUAUGCUUGGAGGCCGAACAUAGUCUACAAGAAUAGAAGCGUGCGUAGACAUCAGGGUUCCAUCGGGAGGGGCCACCCACCUGGAGAGGGAUCAAGUAGGCCCAAGGGUGGCGCACCAGCCCCUAGUGGGCUAGACAGCCAGCCCAAGUGGGCCUAUUUCGUCCUUAGUAAAAGAGAGGGAGAGGUGAGGCAAACCUACUAGGAGGAGGACUCCUCCUCCACCAAACCGAAUUGGAGGAGGAAUGCUCCCCUCCUUGGCGUGCCGGCCAACCCUAGGGGUUUUUCCCUAGGGUGCCGCCCUCCCUCCCACCUAUAUAUAGUGGAGGUGAGAGAGGCUUUUUGCACCCAAGCCACGGCACAACCCUCUCUCCCUCCACUACUUCGUGAUACCCCAUAGGUUAUUUCGGUACGGCACGACGAAGACCUGCCGGAGUAACUCCACCACCAUCGUCGCCACGCCAUUGUGCUGCCGGAGAAUUCAGCUACCUCUUCGUNNNNNNNNNNNNNNNNNNNNNNNNNNNNNNNNNNNNNNNNNNNNNNNNNNNNNNNNNNNNNNNNNNNNNNNNNNNNNNNNNNNNNNNNNNNNNNNNNNNNAAAAUUGCAAAAAUCAUAGAAAUUAAUCUGUAACUCCAAUGAAAAUAAUUUAUAUGUGAAAAAGUAUCAGAAAAAUUCAAGGAUUCUGAUUAUGCUAUUUUCAACUAUGUUUGGAAAAGUUACAGAACCCUAAAUUGUGAAAUAAGGAAUAAUUCAAUUCUUUUAAUCACUUUAUAAAUGGAAUUUGCAAAAAUAUCCAAAUUUCAUUAUAAAUACAAUGAUCACACACUGCCCUAGAGAUAAAUCAGUACCAUAAAAUGACAUUUCAUGCAUGUUAACAUUAGGUUGAUCUGAGCAUCAGGUCGAAUCAAUUAAACCGGUAUCCGAGAAUACCCGUUUGAAUUGCUAUUCGAGUGUGAUUCAAAUCAACUCUAAACCUAAAACAUAUUGAUUAUAAUAACUUAUCACUUGCUAGGUUCAUGCAUCAUUUUGAUUGCAUAUGAUUGUUAUUGAAUGUUGCCAUGCAUUUCGGUAGGCUCCGCACCCCCGGAUUCCACCGAGUAUCCGCCUGACGGAUAUCGUUCCUCCUCUGAGCAACAAGGCAAGCAACCUCUUUGAUCAUCCCGAUAACUCCUAUGUUCUUGCUCCUGCACCUAUUUAUUGCAUUAGGAUCAAAUGCUUCAACUGCUUUUGCCACGAUAGUUGGACCCACUUCCUUUGCAUGACUUAACCUUGUCACAGUAAAUUGCCGAACCUUGCAACCUAGCAUACCUGGUAGUUGCUUGAGCUAUGAUGUGCCUUAUCCUGCUAUGCAUGCUAUGCUUAGAGUUGUGUAUGGUCUGUCAUCUGGGAGAUGAACAGAAAUGUGGAAUGUGUUCGGUGAGCAAAGGUCGUGUGUUGAACUUGAUUUGGUAAAGGUACCGGUGAAAGGCUAUGUAGGAGUACAUGGUGGGUUGUUUCAUUGGAACCGUCCUUAGGAACUGAGUUCCGUGUAUGUAAUCCAAGACUAGAUACUACCACAUGCUGGGCCCUGAAAUAUGACCCCGCUCGGCCUAUUAAUCGCGUAGUACUCGGUCCAGGAGUUGCAAGUAGUUUCUGGUGUUUAUAGUAAUGCUGGAGGCCGUGCAUGGUGCUGNCCCCCUGUCAGGUUUGACCUGAACAGGUCGGCUGACCUGCUGACGUCAGCCUGAUGCAAUAAAUGGAAUUUCCAGUAUAAAAAUAAUUCAGGAAAUUGCUAAAAAUUGCAAAAAUCAUAGAAAUUAAUCUGUAACUCCAAUGAAAAUAAUUUAUAUAUGAAAAAGUAUCAGAAAAAUUCAAGGAUUCUGAUUAUGCUAUUUUCAACUAUGUUUGGAAAAUUUACAGAACCCUAUAUUGUGAAAUAAGGAAUAAUUCAAUUCUUUUAAUCACUUUAUAAAUGGAAUUUGCAAAAAUAUCCAAAUUUCAUUAUAAAUACAAUGAUCACACACUUCCCUAGAGAUAAAUCAGUACCAUAAAAUGACAUUUCAUGCAUGUUAACAUUAGGUUGAUCUGAGCAUCAGGUCGAAUCAAUUAAACCGGUAUCCGAGAAUACCCGUUUGAAUUGCUAUUCGAGUGUGAUUCAAAUCAACUCUAAACCUAAAACAUCUUGAUUAUAAUAACUUAUCACUUGCAUUCUCAUGCCAUGCUCAUGCAUCAUUUUGAUUGCAUAUGAUUGUUAUUGAAUGUUGCCAUUCAAUUUGGUAGGCUCCGCACCCCCGGAUUCCACCGAAUAUCCGUCCGACGGAUAUCGUUCCUCCUCUGAGCAACAAGGCAAGCAACCCCUUUGAUCAUCCCGAUAACUCCUAUGUUCUUGCUCCUGCACCUAUUUAUUGCAUUAGGAUCAAAUGCUUCAACUGCUUUUGCCACGAUAGUUGGACCCACUUCCUUUGCAUGACUUAACCUUGUCACAGUAAAUAGCCGAACCUUGCAACCUAGCAUACCUGGUAGUUGCUUGAGCUAUGAUGUGCCUUAUCCUGCUAUGCAUGCUAUGCUUAGAGUUAUGUAUGGUCUGUCAUCUGGGAGAUGAACAGAAAUGUGGAAUGUGUUCGGUNNNNNNNNNNNNNNNNNNNNNNNNNNNNNNNNNNNNNNNNNNNNNNNNNNNNNNNNNNNNNNNNNNNNNNNNNNNNNNNNNNNNNNNNNNNNNNNNNNNNAUUUCUCUCUCUCUCUCCCUCCUGCCACAACUUGAGAAGGGACGACAUCGGUGGCUUAGGUCCAUUUCGACCGGGGAGUUUGUGAAACCUUGGUGCCAGUUUGUACAUAGAUAUGUGUCCUUGUAUCUGUUCCGAAUAUGUUUAGUUAAGAUGCAACUCACGUGCGAGAGACUUGGGUUGUGCGGAGAUCAUAGAAGCUUAAUGUUGCCAAUUUGGUAUUGUAUAAAUAUUUAAGUUUCAUAAGCACUGACUUGCGAGUAUGACGUUCUCCGUCUGCUUAUAAGAACCUGAUGGUGAAGAAAUAGAACUAUUAGACCAUUUUCUAGUUUACUUCCCCAAAAUAUUGCAUACAUAGACUCAAGCCUUUUGAUGGUACAAAUAAACCAAGGGAACCAUGGCCCAUGGGUGAUGCUUCGGGAAAAAUAGAUAUACAUAAAUUUGGAUUAUUUGGUGCCAUCAUACUUAUAUGAUUACUACGAUGAGCACACACUCCUUAACUUCAUGAUAAUAAAUGUUAGUUUCUUAUUGGUAGAAGACAAAUGUGUGUAAACGUGUGAAAAUAACCACAUAGAAAUGAUGUUGUUAACUAUGAUAUCAUGACAAUCUUUGUUUAAGAUGCUCAAUGCAUUCGUUGUUGAUGAAACUACAAGCACUGGAACAUAGUUCUAUAUAAUAGCAUGUGAGAUGAUUAUAAAUUUUAUAGAAACUAUAUUGUUAACUAUGAUAUCAUGAUAAUCUUUUGAUCGAAUAUUUUUAAUACGCAUAUGAUAUUUUAACAACUUGAUCUGGUUCCACUUUCUUGACAAAUUUGUGCAAAAUGUUUUCAGGUAGUCAACCUAUUGAUGCACAUGGACAUGAUGACUCUCUAGCGUUUAUUGACCAACCAACCUGUAGUCAUGGACCUUAUUGUCUUGUAGACCAUUUGGUGUUUCGAGUGUUUUGGAGCUUGCACUUUGUUCAUGUAGAUACAAACUUGUCUGUUCUGGACCAUCUGAAGUCUCUCAUAGUAACCAAUAGUCCUUAUCUUUUUGUGACUUGUGUGUUCUAGAUAAUUGUUGAGAUGGUCAAAACUAUGCUUCCUCUAGGUUCAUUUGUUUGUCAACUUGCGUUCAAUGUAUGUGCAUGUUUAUAAACAUAUUUUCAUUGUGGUGUAAUAUGUGUUUAUCUUGAACCUUCUUGUGGGUGUAAGGAUAAUAAUUGAAUAUUUUUAGAGCUGGUAGUAUAUAUUGUUUUGACUCGACAUCAUUUUACCAACAAUUUAACUAUCGACAAAGUUAAUAUAUGUCCGCAUAGGUAUGGUGUACCUUGAUAGACUAUAUGUUGGUGUAGAUAUGGUGUACCUAUGCAGUAAUAUGUUUGAUAACCUUUGCAAAUAUCAGAAAUGAAAAUAAAAUACCUAAUAUUCAUACUAGUGGCGCACCACUCAGCACUUUAGUGGCGCACUGCAAAAAGCACACUAGUGACGCAUCGUCAACUAGUGCGCCAUUAGUAAGCCAGAGCACAUGGGUAAAUAUGUACCCUCGGAGGCAUACUAAUGGCGCACCAUCAUCUAUGCUAAUGGUGCACUCCUGGUGCGCCAUUAGUAUACCAGAUACUAAUGGCGCACCUAUGGUGUGUCAUUAGUAAAAAAUUCUAAUGGCGUGAUGCUAGUGGCGCACCUGUAGUGCGCCAUUAGUAGCCAAAACAGGUGCGCCACUAGCAGGCCUUUUCCUAAUAGUGUUUCCUCUUCAAGGGAAAAACCAACGCAAGCCCAAUCUCCAUCAACGUGUCAAUUUCUGGCGCUGUUGUUUGAGAAGUAGCAGAAGGAUUUCUGGCGCCGUUUCCGGGGAGGAAUAUCAAGUCAAGAACUCAUCCAAGUAAGUGUCGCAAACUCAUCUCUUGCAUUUACUUUGUUUGCCAGUUGCCUCUCGUUUUACUCUCCCCCACUUCACCAAUUUGCCUUUUUCGUUCGCCUUUUCGUUCGCCCUUUUUUCUCGCCCGCUUUUUGUUUGCUUGUGUGCUUGCUUGCUUGCUGAAGUCACCAUGAACGAAAACACCAAACUUUGUGACUUCUAGAAUACUAAUAAUAAUGAUUUUAUUAGUACUCCGAUUGCUCCCGCCACUAAUGCGGAGUCAUACAAAAUCAAUGCCGCUUUGCUGAAUCUUGUUAUGAAAGAGCAAUUGUCUGGCCUACCUAGUGAAGAUGCCGCAUCCCAUCUCAGUACCUUCAUUGAGCUUUGCGAUACGCAAAAGAAAAAAGAUGUGUAGAAUGACGUGAUUAAAUUUAAGCUUUUUCCUUUCUCGUUGCGAGAUCGUGCAAAAACUUGGUUUUCCCCCUUCUUUUUUGCCCAAAAAUANNNNNNNNNNNNNNNNNNNNNNNNNNNNNNNNNNNNNNNNNNNNNNNNNNNNNNNNNNNNNNNNNNNNNNNNNNNNNNNNNNNNNNNNNNNNNNNNNNNNACGAAAACGCACGCGGUUGGCAGCUACAGCAAGCUCGCGAAGUGGCCGAUCUGGCAGGACCAACUGGAGAGGCUAGGGUCGCCGGAAGAGGCGUCGGCGACGAGCCGGAGCGGCGGCCGAAGCUCGGGCAUCGUCGGGGGCUUUGAAUCAGAGGGAUCCACGCUUAGUUCUUAGCAGCUACGGCAUCUACGCGUCGUCCUGGAGCUGCUGGUGCUCUCGGGAGGACGAGCUGGACAUCGGAGGGCUACCGGCGAUGAGCGGCAGCGGCGGUGCUCGUCGGGCUACGGUGAAACUAGGGCUAGAGGAGGGGAUCGAUGGGGAAAGCUUAGGGAAAACCACCGCAUGCUCACAGGGAGUGCAGAGAAGAGCUCAGACGGCUCGGGGAAGGCCUGGGGGCGACGAAUCGACGGGAGAGGUCCGGCGGCCGGAGGAGGAAGACGACGGUGUUGCGGGCGUUGCAGGGCUCGAGGAGGCUUCGGCUUCUGCAGAGACGACUAGGGCAACGAGGCGGAGCUAAUGGCGUGCUCGGGGAGGGGAUCCUAUGGCCAGGGGCACGGCCAGCUCGAGCUCGAGCUCGGCUCUAAUGGCGGCAGCAGGGAGAAGGAGGGGAUCCGGGAGGNNNNNNNNNNNNNNNNNNNNNNNNNNNNNNNNNNNNNNNNNNNNNNNNNNNNNNNNNNNNNNNNNNNNNNNNNNNNNNNNNNNNNNNNNNNNNNNNNNNNUUGGGGAGGCGACCCGCGACUAAAGGGUAACCUUUAGUCGCGGUUGGCUAGACCGACCGCGUCUAAAGGGUAACCUUUAGUCGCGGUUUGCCAGACCGACCGCGACCAAAGGCCCCCCCAAAUCUUAUUUUAUUUUCAGAACCUUUUAUCUUUUUCUUUUCAGAAAAAUCAUCAAUGCUUUUAUAGAAACUUCAAACAUUUUAUUUUCUGUUUUCUAAGCAUAUUUUCGUAGCAAAAAUAUGCAUAGAGACAAUACUUCUCGCCCGAGCCUUUCUUCUCCUAUCCGCCCGCUGAGAGGAUUCCUCUUCUUCCCGCCAUUUCUCACUACAUAUAUGUAGCCCGGCUUGGCUAGCAUUAUCACAUCUGUACAAUCUCUCAUCACUCUCUCAUGGCUUCCACCGCACCCANCCCGCCAUUUCUCACUACAUAUAUGUAGCCCGGCUUGGCUAGCAUUAUCACAUCUGUACAAUCUCUCAUCACUCUCUCAUGGCUUCCACCGCACCCACUCUAACCUACCAGCAGGUGGAGGAGCUUUGCGCCUCGAACUACCCUUGUCCACCGGGCUACCGCGUCCCCACCGGCUGGAGCCUAAGCGCCGGCGGCGUGCCGGUCCCUCCCGUCCCUCAGGGNNNNNNNNNNNNNNNNNNNNNNNNNNNNNNNNNNNNNNNNNNNNNNNNNNNNNNNNNNNNNNNNNNNNNNNNNNNNNNNNNNNNNNNNNNNNNNNNNNNNAGAGGAGGUUGAGGGGAGUAUUUAUAGGGGCUCGGGGUGCUCGGAGAAGGAAGGAGAAAGGAGAUCGGGAAGGUGGAGAUUCCUCUCACCAUGGCUAUGGAAGUUUCGUGUGCACGUGAGGAAGGAGAUAGAGGAAGAAGAAAAUCCUGUUGGGCCAUUUUUUGGAAAGGUCUUAAUGGGCCACCGUUUAUUUCCAUUUAAACACGAUUUCUUUCCUUUUUCAAAACUAGGAAACUAAAACGAUAAAAGGGAAAUCAAAUCAAUUCGGAAUAUAGAGUUUCUAUAUACUAAAAUUAUCAGAAAAAUAAAAUCUAAAUGAUGGGCAUUGGGGGGGGGGGGGGGGAUAAAAACUUCAGAAAAAAUUAUUUUCACAAAAUUUCCUAAAAGAUUUAUUUUCUUUUGCAAAUAAUUUUCAAAUGACCCUCUAAGUUUUAGGGUUCAAAUAACUUUCAAAAUGCCCGUGUGUUUGAGGGUCAUGUUCCUCCUCUCUUUUCUGUUUGACAGAAUGUAUUUCCCGGCAUUUCUUGCACGAAGAAAACAAAUAGAAAUGCAAAAGAAUUCAAAUGCAAAUAUCCGUUCAAAUUCUUUAUAGUUGAAGAAGUCACGUCAUCUUCUCUCUUUCCUUUUUAAAAUGAUUGAAUUUGAAUUCACCGGAGAAGGGGAAAGUCAUUUUAUUCCCUCUCAUUCAAAAGUUUUGAAAAGUUUCAAAUUUCCACUCAAGUUUCAAUCACACAAGCAAACAAACAAACAACUAAUAAUUAUUUCAACAUUCCAAAAUUUGGGAUGUUACAAAUCUACCACACUUAAAAUGAAUCUCGUCCUCGAGAUUCGAAGAGGCUAGAAAGAAAGGUUAGGGUUUGGGGGUCUUCUAGCAAUUCAAUCUCUUGCAAAGUGGGAUGCUACCACACUUAAAAUGAGGGGUACUGGUCCCUUAAGGUUUUAACAAUCCUCUGGGGUUUUGGCAUCUGACUCCUCAUAGUCUUCAUAUCUUCCGUUAUAUUCAUAACGUCUCCAUAAAAAACGAGGGCUCUUCCGUUGUUAUAAGCUUCUUCCGUUACCGAGUCUUCUUUAACUGACAGUCUCAUGAUCAAUUCUAAAUAACCUAUCGAUGAUUCUCAUGGUGGUCUACCAUUUGUGGCAAUCCUGCAGAGAGAGGGGUCUUGGUUUCAUUCUCACCAUAAAAUUUCCUACGCGUGACAACAAGUGCCAUGUACAUGGUCUUUUCUUAUACCACUCUAAGGCUUAAACAAAAGCUUCAAAGAACGUCGUCUCUCACUAUGGGUAAGUCUAUCACAGAUUUACCAUUCCGAAUAGCAAGAUAAAUGAUAAGAGUAAGUCGUCAUGGUGAUCAAUCCAUUCCGCACCCAAAUCAUUUCUCUGUAUAAGGUUUAGCGAAUCUCGCAUUCUAACACUCGGGCAUCCUCUCAAGCAUUGCAGAAUUUUUCUUGUACACGAACAAAGUUUGUACGAAUCCAUUGGUUCUGCAAGCUGAAUAAAAAAUCUAUCGCAUUCUUCACCACUCUCAGGUUUUCGCAUGCUCCUAAGAAAACGUUUGCUGAUCCAUCGUAGCUUCUUCCAUAAAUCAUAUUCAUUUCAUAAUCAAUCCUUUAUUACAUCCUUAAUUUCUUAUCAAAGACUCCAAUUCAAAAGUACUUUAUUACAAAUGCUGCCAUCCACAUUGUUCGGUAUGGUCGAGCAUUUCUGCCAACUUUAUUUGUCUGCCUCUCUUGGAGGUACUUUAGUUCCACUGGAACUUUCCAAUGUGCUCAUUGAAAUCAUCCAUCUUUUGCUUCAUCAUGGUGGCCAUGAGCUUCAUCUCCAUCAUCUCCGCAUGCACUUCACUCAGGUAUUCCUGGGUAUGACGGAGUCUUGCUUCAAGUAUUUCUCCAAUCUGAUGUAUGGCUUCCAUGGCAGCUUCACGAACAGCAUCAAAGAAGGUUGCUCGUGGUACACGUGAAAUGAAAAAGUAUUUCCCCAUAGUCUUUGGACAAACUCCUUUCACAUGGUGGAGGUGUACUUCCACAUACCAAAGUUCCACUCCAUUCUCCAUGAAUGGGUAGCCUUUGUAGACGGCAUCUCCUUCAAGAUGAAUGUGCUUCAUCAUGUCCUCCAGGAUUUUCGGGUAAUCAUGAUCACUGGUCAGGGUCAUGAUUAUUUCUGGGCCCUUCAGGAAUGACUCGUAGAGAGUUGUCAUCUGCAGGUGUCAGUAAAUAGGUACUCAGAGGAAUGUAUGUGUCUCCUUGGUAAUGCAUGGUACAUUCGUACUCAUUGGAUCCUGUGGGUUCACUGAUUACUACCACACUUAAAAUAAGAUAUACUCAUGCCUGCAUAGACCAUAUUUUCUCUUAUCCUCAUAAAUGUUUAAAAAUCUUUGCUCGUAGAGAAACAACGCAUACAGUUUCAACAUAGGCAAUCAUGAGACAAUAAAUUCCAUUUAUUCAUGAUGUUAUUACAAUCUCAGGGACUUCUAUUACAAAAAUUUCACUCCAUGAUCUCAUGAAAAACAAGAGUUCUUCCGAUUACAUGUCGGGACCCCGAUCCUAAGCCAUGGGAAUCUAGCCUGUAACACAUCGCAUCCCUUUGCGGUCUCACGCACGGUUAACUCCACGGCUGCAGCCUUACCUUAGNNNNNNNNNNNNNNNNNNNNNNNNNNNNNNNNNNNNNNNNNNNNNNNNNNNNNNNNNNNNNNNNNNNNNNNNNNNNNNNNNNNNNNNNNNNNNNNNNNNNUGUUGAGGCAUAGUUUAUGCCUAACUAAUUUUGGUGAUUGAUGACAGUACCGUACAAGACUAAUCGUGUGUGUCAAGGUUUCAGGUAACACUCGUCAACGGCACAAGACGACUCGUCUCCUCUCUUCUGGAACGGAAGCACGGCGCUCUCUACGAUUCUCUUUAUUUGAGUCAUAGGAAAGCCGUACUAUUAAGAGGGGAUCCAUAGUGGAAAGGUUUGGGUGGAAUCUAUCUUUUCACACGCACACUUUGCAUUCUCCCUUUCCUUAUCUUUUGGAGCGGCCCUCGCCUAUUCGUCUUGAGCAUCUCCGCAAAAUGGUCCCCAACGGUAGUACCGCUGGUGCCAGCGGUAGUACCGCUGGACUGCCAGCGGUAGUACCGCUGCAGCCAGCGGUAGUACCGCUGUCUGGCGGUAGUACCGCCCAUUGUCAGCGGUAGUACCGCUAGCCAGCGAUAGUACCGCCCCCUGGUCAGCGGUAGUACCGCUUCAGGUGCCUUGUUCCACCUACCUAGCGGUACUUCGUGGACGGACCCUUUUGCGAAGACUUUCCGACGGUAGUAGUGCUUAUGCACUACCAAGGGGCCAGCGGUAGUACCGCUGNNNNNNNNNNNNNNNNNNNNNNNNNNNNNNNNNNNNNNNNNNNNNNNNNNNNNNNNNNNNNNNNNNNNNNNNNNNNNNNNNNNNNNNNNNNNNNNNNNNNCUUGAUUAUAAUAACUUAUCACUUGCAUUCUCAUGCCAUGCUCAUGCAUCAUUUUGAUUGCAUAUGAUUGUUAUUGAAUGUUGCCAUUCAAUUUGGUAGGCUCCGCACCCCCGGAUUCCACCGAAUAUCCGUCCGACGGAUAUCGUUCCUCCUCUGAGCAACAAGGCAAGCAACCCCUUUGAUCAUCCCGAUAACUCCUAUGUUCUUGCUCCUGCACCUAUUUAUUGCAUUAGGAUCAAAUGCUUCAACUGCUUUUGCCACGAUAGUUGGACCCACUUCCUUUGCAUGACUUAACCUUGUCACAGUAAAUUGCCGAACCUUGCAACCUAGCAUACCUGGUAGUUGCUUGAGCUAUGAUGUGCCUUAUCCUGCUAUGCAUGCUAUGCUUAGAGUUGUGUAUGGUCUGUCAUCUGGGAGAUGAACAGAAAUGUGGAAUGUGUUCGGUGAGCAAAGGUCGUGUGUUGAACUUGAUUUGGUAAAGGUACCGGUGAAAGGCUAUGUAGGAGUACAUGGUGGGUUGUUUCAUUGGAACCGUCCUUAGGAACUGAGUUCCGUGUAUGUAAUCCAAGACUAGAUACUACCACAUGCUGGGCCCUGAAAUAUGACCCCGNNNNNNNNNNNNNNNNNNNNNNNNNNNNNNNNNNNNNNNNNNNNNNNNNNNNNNNNNNNNNNNNNNNNNNNNNNNNNNNNNNNNNNNNNNNNNNNNNNNNGCUGGACAUCGGAGGGCUACCGGCGAUGAGCGGCAGCGGCGGUGCUCGUCGGGCUACGGUGAAACUAGGGCUAGAGGAGGGGAUCGAUGGGGAAAGCUUAGGGAAAACCACCGCAUGCUCACAGGGAGUGCAGAGAAGAGCUCAGACGGCUCGGGGAAGGCCUGGGGGCGACGAAUCGACGGGAGAGGUCCGGCGGCCGGAGGAGGAAGACGACGGNNNNNNNNNNNNNNNNNNNNNNNNNNNNNNNNNNNNNNNNNNNNNNNNNNNNNNNNNNNNNNNNNNNNNNNNNNNNNNNNNNNNNNNNNNNNNNNNNNNNNNNNNNNNNNNNNNNNNNNNNNNNGCAACGAGGCGGAGCUAAUGGCGUGCUCGGGGAGGGGAUCCUAUGGCCAGGGGCACGGCCAGCUCGAGCUCGAGCUCGGCUCUAAUGGCGGGAGGAGGGAGAAGGAGGGGAUCCGGGAGGAGGGGAAGAACCGAGGCGGGGAAUGGAUAGGGGAUGCUCUGGGGAGCUUAUCCCCGUCGUCGCCAGCGCGAACCGGCGGCCAGGCAGGCACGCAGGUGCGUGGCCGCGCCGGAGGAGGCGGCGGCCACCUCGUGCUGCCUACUGGCGCGGGGAAGGGGACGAGCAGCGAGAUGGGUCGGGCCUGGCUUGGGCGACAGGUAAGACUUUUUCCAUUUUCUCUUUUUUUUGUUUUUUUGUUUUGCUAUUUAUUGCUUUGCUAAUUAUUUCAGCUUCAAAAAAAAAGUAAAAAACUAUUUUAGACCUCCUGAAAUAUUUAUUAUAAUAUCCCCACACAUUUCCAAGACUUUCAACAUUUUUGGAAAAUUAUAGUUUCUGANNNNNNNNNNUGUUUUUCUGUUUUGCUAUUUAUUGCUUUGCUAAUUAUUUCAGCUCCAAAACAAAAAGUAAAAACUAUUUUAGACCUCCUGAAAUAUUUAUUAUAAUAUCCGCACACAUUUCCAAGACUUUCAACAUUUUUGGAAAAUUAUAGUUUCUGAUUUCAAAUUUUUAAAUUUGAAACCAAUGGCUUUUGCAAUUAUUUAAAAUGUUUAAAGUGUCAAGAAAUAGUUUUCUCCAAUGCUCAUUUACUUUUAUGAUUUAUCAGAAAGUUUGAACAUUUCUUGAGGCCAUUUUGGGUUCAUUGAUUUUGAACUAGUUGAAAUUUCCUUUAAUUGAAAUGGUGGCUAGGGUUUUGAGUUUUUCCUUUGCCACUUUGUUGUUUUUGUUGAAACUUNNNNNNNNNNNNNNNNNNNNNNNNNNNNNNNNNNNNNNNNNNNNNNNNNNNNNNNNNNNNNNNNNNNNNNNNNNNNNNNNNNNNNNNNNNNNNNNNNNNNUCCAAGGACUACCCCACGCAAAGGACAUGACCUUAAGUAUGCCCGACUGUAUUAAGGUGCCCCCAUCAUCCAGUCGGUAACGGGCCCAGAAUCAUCCAGUCGGAGACUAAGACUCGGAGGACACCGGACCCACCGACUGGAUACACUCGGUGCAUCGUAACCUCCCUGGAGGGAAACUGCCGUACGUUUCCGGGUGCAUUAACUAGCAUUUAUAGCAUACAUUACCUGUAACGCAUGCAUUCAAUCGCCACUACUCCACCCUUGAAUCAGAACNNNNNNNNNNAUGCGUCGUAACCUCCCUGGAGGGAACUGCCGUACAUUUCCGGAUGCAUUAACUAGCAUUUAUAGCAUACGUUAUCUGUAACGCAUGCAUUCAAUCGCCACUACUCCACCCUUGAAUCAGAACCGUUGUGGAGGGCAGCGCACUCUAUAUAAGCCGCCCUCCCCCACUGGUAAAAGGGUUAGAAAAACAUUGUACUCCAUAUUACACUCGGUAACAAGCUCCAAGAGCACUGAGACGUAGGGCGAUUACCUCCACUGUAGAGGGGCCUGAACUCAUACAACCUCGCCGUAGCUAGGACUCUGCCUAUCUCAUUCGUACCCUACACAUCUACUGUCGGGUUUAUACCCACGACAGUUGAAUUCGUAUUUGAAUGUAGUUUCUAACAGUAUUAUUGUUGCUACGUAUAAUUUAUGUUUUAUGUUAGUUAAAACCAUGAUCAAAAUAUGACUUAAAUAUCAACAUGAUUAGUAAACCAGAACAAAUGUACACUGGUGGAAAAACAGGCUUCCGUCCAGCCCCAUAAGUCGCGAAGCUGUAGGAACCGCGACUAAUGGGACCUUUAGUCGCGGUUCUGGAGGUGAACCGCGACCAAAGGCCUGGGCCCAGGGCGCUCGGUGGCCAGCUGGUGCACGUGAGGGGCUUUAGUCGCGGUUGGCCAGGACAACCGCGACUAAAGGCCUUCGGGCACCUUUAGUCACGGUUUGCNNNNNNNNNNNNNNNNNNNNNNNNNNNNNNNNNNNNNNNNNNNNNNNNNNNNNNNNNNNNNNNNNNNNNNNNNNNNNNNNNNNNNNNNNNNNNNNNNNNNGACUUCAAGCACCUCAAUAAGGUCUGCCCGAAAGACCAUUUUUCGCUCCCCCGCAUAGAUCAAAUUGUCGAUUCGACUGCGGGGUGCGAGCGUUUAUCAUUUCUUGAUGCCUACUCGGGUUAUCAUCAGAUCCGUCUGUAUGGUCCCGAUGAGUUGGAAACAACUUUCAUCACCCCGUUUGGGUGCUUCUGCUACAUCACCAUGCCUUUCGGUCUGAAGAAUGCAGGAGGUACCUUUAUGCGCAUGAUCCAAAAAUGUCUCCUCGACCAGAUCGGUCGCAAUGUGGAGGCAUACAUGGAUGAUAUCGUAGUCAAGUCCCGCAAAGGUUCCGACCUGCUGACUGACUUGGCGGAAACAUUCGCCAACCUUCGUAGGUACGAUAUCAAGCUAAAUCCUGCCAAGUGUUCAUUCGGUGUUCCCAUCGGAAAGUUACUCGGUUUCUUCGUUUCCGAACGAGGGAUCGAUGUUAACCCCGAAAAGAUCGGGACCAUCGUCCGAAUGGAGAGGCCGGUCAGAAUACACGAUGUUCAACAACUCAUAGGUUGCUUAGCAGCUUUGAGCAGGUUCAUCAGUCGACUCGGCGAAAAAGCACUUCCUCUGUACCGACUCAUGAAGAAAUCAGAUACCUUCGAGUGGACAGACGAAGCCCAAGUCGCGUUCGACGACCUCAAAGUCCUACUUUCCACCCAGCCGGUUCUUACUGCUCCACUCAGUAAAGAGCCCCUUCUUCUAUAUAUCGCGGCUACAAAUCAAGUGGUCAGUACUGUUCUUACAGUCGAGCGAGAAGAAGAAGGCAAAGCAUACAAAGUUCAGCGGCCAGUGUACUACGCCUCCGAAGUCCUGACACCUUCCAAGCAGAGGUAUCCCCAUUAUCAAAAGCUUAUCUAUGGGAUCUUUAUGACUGCAAAGAAGGUGGCUCAUUAUUUUCAAGACCACUCGGUAUCUGUCGUUUCUGAUGCUCCGUUGUCGGAAAUUCUCCACAAUCGGGACGCAUCAGGCCGAGUGGCGAAGUGGGCGAUGGAGAUGCUGUACUGCGACAUCAAGUUCGAGGCCAAGAAAGCUAUUAAGUCUCAAGCCCUGGCUGACUUUAUAGUAGAAUGGGUAGAACAACAGCAACCGACUCACAUCUACUCGGCUCAUUGGACAAUGUUCUUCGAUGGGUCUAAGAUGUUGAAUGGAUCCGGCGCUGGUGUUGUGAUCGUAUCACCAAAGGGUGACAAGCUCAAGUAUGUGCUUCAGAUACACUUUGAUUCCUCUAACAAUGAGGCAGAGUAUGAAGCUCUUCUCUACGGAUUGCGCAUGGCCCUCUCACUCGGCGUCCGUUGCCUGAUGGUCUACGGCGAUUCAGACUUGGUGGUCAACCAAGUGAUGAAAGAGUGGGACGUAAGGAACCCCACUAUGACAACCUACUGCAAUGCAGUCAGGAAGCUGGAGAAGAAGUUUGAAGGUCUAGAACUUCAUCAUGUUCCAAGACUAAAGAACCAAGCGGCGGACGAGUUGGCGAAGCUCUGAUCCACUCGGAGACCCGUCCCGAGUGAUGUCUGCCUCGAGCACCUCCAUCUUCCUUCAGUCAAAGAAGAUCCCUUCACGGAAGAGCCAGUACAACCCAAGAGCGCAACAGACCCGACUGAAGUCGAUGUGCCUGCUAUGGUUGAUCUGGUCACAGAGAUUCUGGUAAUCAUUCCCGAUUGGACUGUGCCGAUUAUGGCAUAUAUCCUAAGGCAAGAACUUCCAGAAGAUGAAGUCCAAGCCCAACAAAUAGUUCGCAGGUCGAAGGCGUUCACUGUCAUUGACGGUCAAUUGUAUAAGGAGAGUGUUUCACGCGUUCUCCAACGUUGCAUUUCCCCAGAGGAAGGGCAGUUGAUCCUAGAGGAUAUCCACUCGGGAACCUGCGGCCAUCAUGCUUCUUCAAGAGCAAUCGUCGCCAAGGCGUUCAGGGCUGGAUUCUUCUGGCUGCAGGCUAACGAAAUGGCCAAAGCUAUGGUCGAUCGAUGCGAAGGCUGUCAGUUCUACUCCAACAAGUCCCACAAGCCAACAUCUGCACUAAAGACAAUCCCACUUGUGUGGCCGUUUGUAGUUUGGGGAUUAGACACAGUCGGACCAUUCAAGACAGGCCAAGGAGGCUACACACAUCUGUUGGUGACAGUCGACAAGUUUACAAAGUGGAUAGAAGCCAAGCCCAUCAAGAAACUCGACGCCUCCACAGCCGUGAAGUUUGUCAGAGACAUCAUCUACAGAUUCGGAGUGCCUCACAGCAUAAUCACGGACAAUGGGACAAACUUCGACUCGGACAGAUUCAAAGGUUUCUGCGCGAGUCAAGGUAUCCGAGUGGAUUUUGCUUCCGUAGCACAUCCGCAAUCCAAUGGACAAGCUGAGCGUGCAAAUGGACUUAUCCUUCAAGGUUUGAAGCCUCGGCUCUGGCGAGAGAUAGGACAUGCUGCUGGUGCAUGGGUAAUCGAGUUACCUUCAGUACUUUGGGGCCUCCGCACCACUCCGAACAGAUCAACAUGGCGUUCACCGUUCUUCCUCGUCUAUGGAGCAGAAGCGGUCCUUCCGAGUGACCUGCUUCACAAUGCCCCGCGAGUCGAACUCUUCUCUGAAGCCGAAGCAGAACAAGCAAGGCAAGAUGGAGUCGAUCUUCUAGAGGAGGAGCGCGAGAUGGCACUUACUCGCUCAACAAUUUUUCAGCAAAAUCUGCGACGUUUUCACGCACGACAUGUCAGAAGCCGCACGUUCCAGGCCGGCGAUUUGGUGCUCCGAGUGGAUCAGCAAAGACCACACAAGUUGGCUCCGGCCUGGGAAGGUCCUUUCAUCAUUUCAAAGGUGCUGAACAACGGAGCAUACAGACUCUACAACAUUCAGAAGGAGACCGACGAACCCCGCGCGUGGAACGGAGACCUCCUCAAGCGUUUUUAUACGUGAUCGCCGACUGAAGCAGUGUAACGAACAAGUUUUGGAGAAAUAAUAUACAGCAGAUUCAAUUUCUUUUGCAGAUUCAGAGUCCUUCCGUGGUUGCAGAUUACGGUCACAAAAAAAAACUUAGCUGCGAUCCUGAAUCGUCUAAGUAACACCUAUCUCCGAGUGUGCACUUCACGUCGCACUCGGGGGCUUAGUUGCGAAACUGCAUCGCCUAAGUAUUAACUAUCUCCGAGUGUGCACUUCACGUUGCACUCGGAGACUUAGCUGCGAUCCCGAAUCGCCUUAGUAUCACCUUCCUUCGAGUGUGCACUUCACGUCGCACUCGGGAACUUAGCUGCGAUCCUGCAUCGCCUAAGUAUUAACUUUCUCCGAGUGUGCACUUCACGUCGCACUCGGGAGCUUAGCUGCGAUCCUGCAUCGCCUAAGUAUUAACUUCCUCCGAGUGUGCACUUUACGUCACACUCGGGGACUUAGCUGCGAUCACGCAUCGUCUAAGUACUAAUCUUCCUUCGAGUGUGCACUUCACAUCACAUCGGGGACUUAGCUGCGAUCCUGCAUCGCCUAAGUAUUAACUUCCUCCGAGUGUGCACUUUACGUCGCACUCGGGGACUUAGCUGCGAUCCUGCAUCGACUAAGUAUUAACUUCUCCUAGUGUGCACUUCACAUCACACUCGGGGACUUAGCUACGAUCCUGCAUCGCCUAAGUACUAAUCUUCCUUUGAGUGUGCACUUCACGUCACACUCGAGGACUUAGCUGCGAUCCUGCAUCGCCUAAGUACUGAUCGCUCCUCCGAGUGUGCACUAUACGUCGCACUCGGAGACUUAGCUGCGAUCCCGAUUCGCCUAAGUAAUACCUUCCUCCGAGUGUGCACUAUACGUUCCACUCGGAGUCUGAGUUAUGAUCAAGAAUCAUCUAAGUACUAGCCUCCUCCGAAUGUACACUAUACGUUACACUCGGGAACUUAGCACUGAUCAUGAAUCACCUAAGUCCUAAUAUUCUACGAGUACACAUUAAGUGUUCAACUCCAAAUAGCAUUCAAGCAAAAGAAUAAGUGUUUUCAUUGCGACUACCAGCAGUCUAGAAACGAUAACGGAUUCGGUGCGGAUCAAGCUUACCCGCACCGAUCUAAAAGUAUGACGGCCAACAGGAGUGGCCAGAAUAUCGUACAGGCAAACACUCGGCAUACCGAGGAUAAAGUUCGAUCAUGAGUCAGCUGGGCCCGCGUCAGGACUGGAGGGUUCCACAAAGGUAUCUAGGUCGAUUCCAUCAGCAAUGCGGGUCACAGUCUCCAGGAAUGUCUCCAUGAAGUCUUUGAAUUGAAGCUUCUUCGUGUUGGCGACUUUCAAGGCUUUCAGCUUAUCUUCCCGCACUUCUUUGCAAUGGACUCGGACCAAGGACAGCGCCACAUCAACACCGCAACGCGCUGCCGAUUUCUUCCAAGAUUGCACUCGGGCCGGAAUCUCCCCCAGUCGCCCCAACAGAGUCUCCAUCUUCUCCCGCGACUCGUCUUCCGGCCAAAGCUCCUUCUCAAUGCGGCCGAAGAUUUCUUUCAGUCGGUUGAUGAACGGACCCACUUUGCCUACGCGGAUAUGAGCCCGGAGUAGAUUCCGGUUGGCGUCCUCACUGAGUGGUACAUUGUCCUUCAUGGAUCGUUCCACGGCCGCCGCUUCAGCUUCGGCGUCACCACAAAAAUCUGCAACAAACAAGCAAAUAGAAAUUACAAACCUAGUGUUCGUCACAAGAUACAACCACUCGACAAAUCAUCAGACUUACCAGCCAGACGACUCAUCAUCUGGACAGCCCAGUCGUUCACAUACUUCUCCUGAGCUGUCCAUCGUUUGUUCCGAGCAGCCAUUUGAUCGUACACUUCGGUCCUCUAUUUCUUCAGCCUCUCCACCUCCGCCACCAACGCCCUGUUUGCCUCCAAUGCCUCCUCCAAGGAUUUCUCUCGAACUUCCAGAGCGUUCUUCAUGCCAGCCAUGGCGAGCGUUGCGGCUUCUAGUUCACCAGCAUAUUGGUUCUUCUCAGCCCUCAAGGCUUCAUAAGCGCUCCCCAUAUCACAAGUUUUCUACAAAACAAACAAAGGGCGGUCAGCAAGUUUAUCAGUUCACACACUAAGUUUUUCAGACCCCUGCCGACGCAAGCAGUCGACAGCGGUCUCGGGGACUACACCCAGUGGGUCACUAAGAGUGACCCCACUGGCAUGCACCUCAAGCAGGUCUGCCCUAUUGAGAUGCACGUUUUCACCUACGCUUCCGAGGCUAAAGCUACUCCACGUGUGUGCAGUUUACUCUAGGGAACUCUCACCGCAAGAGUGCUCCGACUGCAGUUAGUACUUGCACUCAGAAAUCUUGUCUACGGACACGACAAAAAUAAAAGACCAAAUGUAUAAAGACAACUGUCAGUGCAAGCACUCGACAGAAGUCUCGGGGACUACACCCACUGGGUUCACUCGGAGUGAACCCAUUGCAAACAACAGACUACGACAACACCCAGUGGGUUACAAAAGAAAAGUAAGUACUUACUAGACUACUUACUCGGAUGUCGUCGCGCAGCUCCAAGCUCCGCUGGUACAAAGCCGCAACGGAGUCAUAAGCCUUCUUGGCCUCCCCGGUCAUCAGCUCCGCUUGGACCAUGGCUCCCUUGGCCGCUCCCACCUGCUCCUCNNNNNNNNNNNNNNNNNNNNNNNNNNNNNNNNNNNNNNNNNNNNNNNNNNNNNNNNNNNNNNNNNNNNNNNNNNNNNNNNNNNNNNNNNNNNNNNNNNNNCGACAUCAUCCUGACCAGCAUGGCCGUAUGACCCGGUACAUCAAUGCACCUGGUCAGACGUACCACCUGACGAGAAGCACGGCCAGGCAUCUGUAAAUAGAGAGUAAUGCAAAAGCAUUAGAGCUCNNNNNNNNNNUCUCAGCUCUAGGGUAGUCUGGAAAUAACCUAACAGUGUAGAUGUACUGGCUCUGGUUGAAGUCUCAGUACUGUUCCUCCACUGUGUACUCGGGGUACCAGCGGUAACCGCACACUGACAUCACCCUGACCAGCAUGGCCGUAUGACCCGGCACAUCAAUGCACCUGGUCAGACGUACCACCUGAUGAGAAGGACGGCCAGGCAUCUGUAAAUAGAGAGUAAUGCAAAAGCAUUAGAGCUCCGAAUGCAAAAUUGGGCAACAUAACGGCUGUAAAUGCUCAAAAACAAAUUUUGAGACAACCCAAAAUGGAAUAGCGUAACCACUCUACUAUCAAGUUCAAUUCUCUGAUCAUAAAACUUACUUCCUUUUUCCUAGGAAUGAAAGAAACCUAAAUAUCUCUUGACCCGUAGUCCUAUAAUCUACCGAUCGGAAACACGAGCCUAGAAGAAGAUGAGUAACCUAGUCCUUAAUUCCCGUAGAAAGACGAGGAUGACCAGAAUAGAAUAACUUGAGAAGAGAACAAGAGUNNNNNNNNNNAACUAUCAAGUUCAACUCUCUGAUCAUCAAACUUACGUCCUUUUUCCUAGGAAUGACAGAAACCAAAUAUCUCUUGACCCGUAGUCCUAUAAUCUACCGAUCAGAAACACGAGCCUAGAAGAAGAUGAGUAACCUAGUCCUUAAUUCCCGCAGAAAAGACGAGGAUGACCAGAAUAGAAUAACUUGAGAAGAGAACAAGAGUCUUACGUUCCCUUCCACAAACAAUUCCCUUAUAUAUAACUAAAGCAAUUCUAGACUCAACUUCGACCAGUUUGGCGUAGUAAUCCUACAGUUAGUCAGGCUCUGAUACCAAAGCUGUCGGGACCCCGAUCCUAAGCCAUAGGAAUCCAGCCUGUAACACAUCGCAUCCCUUUGCGGUCUCACGCACGGUNNNNNNNNNNUUAGUAAUCCUACAGUCAGUCAGGCUCUGAUACCAACGCUGUCGGAACCCCGAUCCUAAGCCAUAUGAAUCCAGCCUGUAACACAUCGCAUCCCUUUGCGGUCUCACGCACGGUUAACCCCACGGCUGCAGACUUACCUUAGCCGGGACCGUUUGCGCCUUUUGACUCACGUAUGCAGUUGUGUCGCUAGCAUUCCAAUGUCAAAGAACCCGGAUCGACAAGUCUAGUCAUAAACCAAAGUGGCAGUACCGCACAAGGACAGGCAUACAUGACCCAACAAAGAAGGUGUCGGUCACCAGCGAGUGUAGACGAGUCGUAGCAAGCUACAAGGACUCCAUUACAUCGCGUGACAUUUCCCCAAAGGAGACAGACACAACAGCUAAGAAGGACACAUGCCGGUCAACCAAUGUGUCGGGAGCAGUAGCGAGCUACCCUGGCUCGUUGGAUCACAAAGGGGCAUUUCCCUGUAAGGAGUGCUACUAAAGUUCACGACUAGGUAGUCGAACCCCAUACUUAUCAAGUACGACACACGUACGCAUGGCAUAUCGAUAUGUAUAGAUACAUCGAUGGCAUCACAACAUAACCAUAAACAUACAAGCUUUAUUUAAGAGGCUCGGAAGAGCCACACACAUAAUAUUACACAGUAAGGGUCUCACGACCCAUAAUAGCAGUCAUUCAGUUACAAGCCAGCGGAAGUGUUUAAAACUGUCUGAGUACAGACAGGUGCAACUAGAAGGCACAUGGCCUGACUAUACUACAGACCCAACCUAGGGCCAAAUCGUAGGUGGGACACCAGCUACUCGUCGUCGUCGAUGUCUAUGAAGAACCCUCCAUUAGGGUCAUUAGCAACCUCUGCAACAUUUAUUAAGCAAACAUGAGUACGGAGGUACUCAGCAAGACUUUAGGAUAACUAACUACUCAUGCAAUGUAUCAAUAAGGUAUUGUGGGGUUUCAUGCGGAAAGCCAGCAUUUGACUCGUGGCUAGACAACUUGCAUUUUUAAAUAAUUUGGACAACUUGAUUCCUCGCACACGAGUCCACUAACACCACAACAAUACUCCAUCGUGGAAUCAUUCCAUCUCCAUACGGAAAUGCCGUCCACGACACUCACGCUUAUGUUGACAAUUUUAUGAGUAGCCAUUGAAGUUAUCUAUGAACAACAUAUGUCUCCAAGUAGUCCAUAUCCACGGACACAGCUAUUCGAAUAGAUCAUAACCCUGCAGGUGUGUACUUCGUCACACACGCUCUCGCCACUUAUCGCCAUGUGCACGUCNNNNNNNNNNNNNNNNNNNNNNNNNNNNNNNNNNNNNNNNNNNNNNNNNNNNNNNNNNNNNNNNNNNNNNNNNNNNNNNNNNNNNNNNNNNNNNNNNNNNAACUUGGGAAAGAGAGGAUCGUCUCCGACUUGAGUAUCCUGCGUUAUUACCGACGACUUGUAAAUCUCGGGAAGAGAUUCCUUUGAGUGGGGGUGAGUUGUCACAUCCCUGACACCUUAAGCAAGUUAGUCUUGUGCUCAUGUCUUCUUUGCAUUUGCAUCUAAGAAUUUUCCAACAAGAACAAGGAAGUGGUAAAGGAAAAACCCAAACCCUAGCCACUUCUUUAAACAAAGGAAAUCUCAAAAUAGUUAAAAUCAAUGAACCCAAAAUGGCCUCAAGAAAUGUUCAAACUUUCUGAUAAAUCAUGAAAGUAAAUGAGCAUUGGAGAAAACUAUUUUCUUGACACUUUAAGCAUUUUAAAUAAAUGCAAAAAGCUACUGGUUUCAAGUUUUAAAUUUGAAAUCAGAAACUAUAAAUUUUCAAAAAUGUUGAAAACUUUGGAAAUGGUUGAGAAUAUUAUAACAAAUAUUCAGGUGUGUUUAAAUUAGUUUUUACAACCUUUUUGGAGCUGAAAUAAAUAGCAAAUCAAUGUCAGAAAUUAAAACAGAAAUAAAACANNNNNNNNNNNNNNNNNNNNNNNNNNNNNNNNNNNNNNNNNNNNNNNNNNNNNNNNNNNNNNNNNNNNNNNNNNNNNNNNNNNNNNNNNNNNNNNNNNNNUUGCCGUCGAUCUGUCGUCUCCCGGUCCUCCCCGACCCUUCCGGCAGCCUCACAAGAUCCGUCGUGAGCUCCUCUUCCUGUUCCCCCUCCUCUAACCACGUUAGCCGCCGGAGCCCGAAGGACCUCGUCUCCGGCCAUGUCAUUGCCGUCGUUGUGGUACUCGGCUCGCGAGGCCGAGCUCAGGAAUGAGCUCCUCGAGCUCUGUAGAUGGCGUAGGGUCUCUCUCCCAGCUCGCUAGCCCCCUGCAUCGGCACUGUCGUCGACGCCCGAGCCGCAGCCGCCGCUGGCCUCAUCGCCGGCAAGGAUUCCGGUGACCACCGGGUCCAGCUCCACUCCAGAUAGAUGCGGCAUUUCACCAGCUGCCUGUAGCUCUCUUCUGCACCCAAAACCGAUGGCCGUAGCGCUGUCUGGCUCUCUCCGGCGAGCCCUCCGCCGCGCCCGUGGUCGCCGCCGGCCAUNNNNNNNNNNCGCGUUUCACCAGCUGCCUGUAGCUCUCUUCUGCACCCAAAACCGACGGCCGUAGCGCUGUCUUGCUCUCUCCGGCGAGCCCUCCGCCGCGCCCGUGGUCGCCGCCGGCCAUACUCCGGUGGGGGCCGACGUGGCCAAGUUAAUUCGGUAGUUUAGAGGCUUAAACUCUCGCUGACAGUGGGCCCAAGGCCAAGUCAACUUAAUUAAGGGGCCGGUCAGCGCGGGAUUAACCCCAGAGAGGCUGACCAGUGNNNNNNNNNNCCGGUAGUUUAGAGGCUUAAACUCUCGCCGACAGUGGGCCCAAGGCCAAGUCAACUUAGUUAAGGGGCCGGUCAGCGCGGGAUUAACCCCAGAGAGGCUGACCAGUGGGUCCCCCCUGCCAGGUUUGACCUGAACAGGUCGGCUGACCUGCUGAUGUCAGGCUGACGCAAUAAAGAGAUUUUUCAGUAUAAGAAUAAUUCCAGAAAUGUUUAAAACUUCAAAAAUUCAUAGAAAUUAAUCNNNNNNNNNNAUAUAAGAAUAUUUCCAGAAAUGUGUAAAACUUCGAAAAUUCAUAGAAAUUAAUCUGUAACUCCAAUGAAUAUAAUUUAUAUAUGAAAAAGUAUCAGAAAAAUGCAAGGAAUCUGAAUAUGCUACUUUUAAUCAUGUUUGAAAAAGUUACAGAACCCAAACAUGUAGAUUAAUNNNNNNNNNNNNNNNNNNNNNNNNNNNNNNNNNNNNNNNNNNCUGAAUAUGCUACUUUCAAUCAUGUUUGAAAAAGUUACAGAACCCAAACAUGUAGAUUAAUGAAUAAGUCAAUUCUUAUAAUUACUUUAUAAAUGGAAUAUGAAAAGUAUUUAAAUUUUCUUUUUGUUUGACAUGAUCAAACAUUGUUCUAAUAACAAACCAGUACCUUAACAUGACAUCUCAUGCAUGCUAACAUCAAGUUGAUCUAAGCAUCAGGUCGAAUCAAUUAAAUCGGUAUCCGAGAAUACCUCGUUUGAAUUGAUAUUCGAAUNNNNNNNNNNNNNNNNNNNNNNNNNNNNNNNNNNNNNNNNNNNNNNNNNNNNNNNNNNNNNNNNNNNNNNNNNNNNNNNNNNNNNNNNNNNNNNNNNNNNAACCCAGGCUCAAAGAGACGGACGGAUAUUUUCAAGACCCAAGGCUUACCUGCACACCCACAAGUCACUAUGGGCUCUGGCUUGGUUGGACAACACGGCGCCUCUGGACAGGCGGUGCUAGCAGAUGUAGAAGAACGGUAGGAUUGGAUGGGCACCGACAAGGAUUCAGAGGGACCCGUUGAAAGACCAUGUUUUGAUCAUCCGGUCUUCAAACACCCUGAAGUGCGAGGACAUACACGGAGGCGAUAAAUCUUGUGGGGAACGUGUGUAAAACUCUGUAGAGUACUCAAACCUAAUCGAUUAGCCGUGUCCACGGUCAUGGACAACUUGAGCCAAAGGAACUGAAGUUAUCUGGAAUUCUCAACACCAUUACAUAUAUUUGAUGAGGGUAAUAUUGAUAACUUGGGUAUGAGAACUAGUUGGCGGAACCAUCUCAUUAACAACCAACAGCGUAGUAAUAUUUUGCUUUUAGCCCCUCUUGUUGUAGGAGAAAACUGGCUUUUCGCCAAAAACCUAUAGCCCCACCUGCCAUAUAUGCAUGUAGAAUAGAUGAUUAUUAUUUUACCCCCCUCUCUUAUGUGACUUGCCAGCAUAUUCAAUAUGCUGACCUACACGGCUGUAACGUCUUAUGUUGUAGAUCUUUUUCUUCGACGAGUAAGAGUACGAUUCAGGGUUACGGUCUACACUCAACUUGCCGUUGGUGUUUAUUGGGACUUCACUCCCUUGAUUGCUUCCGCUGAGAUAUUUAAGGUAUAUAUCAGUUUUACGCUAUUUACAUGUGAUUGCACUUUGAUAUAUACAUUGAUGUACUGUGUGUGCCAGCAUACUGAUCCAGGGAUGGCACAGAGACACAGAGGCUUGACUCGUUUUGAGUCGGGUCACUACAGAAAUGGUAUCAGAGCACAUGUUGACUGUAGGACGUGACCCUAGAAACUGGAAAUUUCUUAGGAUAGGAUCUCUCUAAAAAUUCUUCAAUAACACCUUUUACUUCUCAUCUCUUCUGAUUUCAUCAAACGUUCUCUCUCACCUCAAAUAGUUAGACAAUGCCCUUUCNNNNNNNNNNNNNNNNNNNNNNNNNNNNNNNNNNNNNNNNNNNNNNNNNNNNNNNNNNNNNNNNNNNNNNNNNNNNNNNNNNNNNNNNNNNNNNNNNNNNCCCCCCCCUCUAGCCAACCAUAUCGAUCCUUUCAGUUGAUGAAUGGGCCACGAGUUGCUGGUGGCGUGACCGAGGACCACGCGGAUGGUAGCGGGCUUGACCACGGGACUGAACGUCUCGCCGUAGUCAACGCCAGCUUGCUGAGUGAAGCCGCGGAGCACCCACCGCGCCUUAUAGCGAGCCAGCGAGCUGUCGGGGUUGAAUUUGUGGCGGAAGAUCCACUUGCCGGUCACCACGUUUGCACCUGCAGGACGAGAAACCAACGACCAAGUGUCAUUCCGCAACAAUGCAUUAUACUCCUCAAGCAUAGCGUUGGCCCAGUUCGGAUCCUUGAGGGCGGCGCGGUAAGAGGAGGGGAUGGGGCUGAUGGCGGAUGACGGGGGCGUAGAGGCGGUGAGAGAGAUGAUGUUUGGGAAGGAAGAAGCCGGCCUUACCACGGGUGCGCAUACCGUGCUGGUUCUGGGGGGGAGCCACAGGAACUGUGCGGGGGGGGGGGGGGGGNNNNNNNNNNNNNNNNNNNNNNNNNNNNNNNNNNNNNNNNNNNNNNNNNNNNNNNNNNNNNNNNNNNNNNNNNNNNNNNNNNNNNNNNNNNNNNNNNNNNNNNNNNNNNNNNNNNNNNNNNNNNNNNNNNNNNNNNAGGUGUGCGCACGGCAGAGCACGGGAGAGACGCGGAGGCAGGGCCGGAGUGUUCUGGGGUGGAGGCAGUGGAGGGACGUGGGGAACGCGCUGCUGCAUGGGGGGGGGAAGCGGCGCGAUGGGCCUGCAUGGCGAGGGGUGGGUUGGGUGCGGCUGCAUGGGGGUGUAGCGUGGCUGCAUGGGGAGGAAGCAGCGCGAUUGGUCUGCAUGGCGCGACUGCAUGGGGGUGUAGCGUUGCUGAGGAGCGACCGCACGUGGUGCGAGGGCUGGUAUGGCGGGGUGAGCAGGAGUCGGGAUUGGCUGCAUGGCAGGGCAAGCGGGAGCCNNNNNNNNNNNNNNNNNNNNNNNNNNNNNNNNNNNNNNNNNNNNNNNNNNNNNNNNNNNNNNNNNNNNNNNNNNNNNNNNNNNNNNNNNNNNNNNNNNNNUCAUGCGGGGCAGGGGGGCGGGGGCCGAGGACGCCGACCGCGUUGGCAGGAGUCCAGGGCGCACGCCACUGCUGCGGAGUCGGGGCAGGCGAUCCCCACGGGGCUAAGUACCCGAGCCAUGGCUGCUGGCCACCAAGACCUCGGCCGGGGUUGGGCGAGGAGCCGGUGGAGCCGCGACCACGGCCGCGGCCGCCGCGCUGGCGAUCGCCGACAUCAGGCCCUUUCCCCUUGUCCUGCUGAGAGGGAGGCACGCGGUCGGUGGAGGAGUCGUUGGAGGAGGAGCCGCCGGCGGGGCCAAUGGCAAGAGCAGAGGCCCCGACAGCGCGUUCCCGUUCGGUGAGACCGAUCUCGUCCAGGAGGAGGCGAGAGCGGGCUUGGACGAACGUCGGGAAGGGUUGCUGCAUCGGGAGCAGGGUGGCCAUGACGUGGAAGCGCCGGUUCAAGCCGCAGACGAGUUGAAGGGUGAGCGAGCGGUCGGAGACCGGCUCACCCACGUCGGCCAUGGCGUUGGCCAACUGUUGGAGGCGGCGGCAGUACUGGGCGAUUGUCAUGUCGCCUUGCGCCGUCGCCCGGAACUCGGCGCCGAUGUGGACGGCGCGGCCGGAGGCGUUGUCGCGGAAGAAGACCUCCAGUUGAUCCCGGAGAUGGAACGCCGUGCUCUCCGGGGACUGGAUCACGUCGGAGAUGGUGCCGUAGAUCCAAAGAACGACCGUGACGUCGUCGUUGCGCCAGACGGGGUCCUCAUGGAGUGGAUCGGCCGCGUCAAGGACGUGGUCCUCGACGUGGUAUUUGCAGAGGACAAACCAGAAAAGCUGGCACCACUUGGAGUAGUUGUUGUCGUCGAGGCUGAGUUUAAACGGGAUGAAGUUGGCGAUGUUUACAUGGUUGGUUGGGAUGGCGGGGAGGUGGAUGGGUGAGAGAGGGAUAGCGAGGGCAUUGGCGCCUGGGCAGGCGAUGCGGAGCGGAGGAACUGCCGGCGCAGCGGCACGGCAAAGGACCCGAGCAUUGGGGGAGGCUGGGGCCGGGGCGACGGGGUCGGCGACCGGAACGGCGUGCUCAGGGCCGGGGGCGACGGGCGGGAGAACGAAUGGCGCGUCAGCGUCCCCGAAGGAGCGGGUGCGGCAGAGGGGGCGCCGGUAGNNNNNNNNNNNNNNNNNNNNNNNNNNNNNNNNNNNNNNNNNNNNNNNNNNNNNNNNNNNNNNNNNNNNNNNNNNNNNNNNNNNNNNNNNNNNNNNNNNNNCAAACGUCCACUCUUUCCCCUCCUCUCCCCUGACCCCCACCGCCGCCACCCCUGCGCCCCCGACGCUACCACGGUGCCCCACAGCCCCGACGCCGCCGUCACACUGCCCCAAGCGCCGCCGCCCCGGUUCCCCACAGCCCCCCGACCCCGCCGCCCCACCGCCCCCGCCGCCGCCCCGCAGCCCCAACACCGUCGGCGCCGCCCAAAUAGCCCUGGCCCCGCCGCCCACGACGCCACAGCCACCCCUGUCGGUGAGCCCCCACACCCCACACCCCCCAUGGGAAAUUAACUUGUUGUUAUUUAGUUUUAUGGAGGAAGAAGAAGAGGAGGAGGAGGAGGAGGAGGAGGAGGAGAAGAAGAAGAAGAAGAGAAGAAAAAGAAGAAGGAGAAGAAGAAGAGAAGAAGAGAAGAAGAAAAAAAUAAGAAGGAGAAGAAGAGAAAAAAAGAAUAAGUAGAAGAAGAGGAUAAAGAAAAAUAGAAAUAGAAAUAAGAGGAAUAAGAAGAAUAAGAAGAAGAGGAGAAGAAAGAGGAAAAAUGAAAAGAAGAAGAAGAGAAGAAGGAGAANNNNNNNNNNNNNNNNNNNNNNNNNNNNNNNNNNNNNNNNNNNNNNNNNNNNNNNNNNNNNNNNNNNNNNNNNNNNNNNNNNNNNNNNNNNNNNNNNNNNUUGAUUCAAAUCAACUCUAAACCUAAUACAUGUUGAUUAUAAUAGUUUAUCACCUUGCAUUCUCAUGCCAUGCUCAUUCAUCAUCUUGUUUACAUAUGAUUGCUAUUGAUUGUUGCCAUUCAUUUCGGUAGGCUCCGCACCCCGGAUUCUACCGAAUAUCCGUCUGACGGAUAUUGUCCCUCCUCUGAGCAACAAGGCAAGCAACCCUUUUGAUCAUCCCGAUAAUUACCAUGUUCUUGCUCCUGCACUUAUUUAUUGCAUUAGGAUCAAAUGCUUCAACUGCUUUUGCCACGUUAGUUGAACCUACUUCCUUUGCAUGACCUAACCUUGUCACAGUAAAUAGCCGAACCUUGCAACCUAGCAUACCUGGUAGUUGCUUGAGCUCUGAUGUGCCUUAUCCUGCUAUGCAUGCUAUGCUUAGAGUUGUGUAUGGNNNNNNNNNNGUGAUUCAAAUCAACUCUAAACCUAAUACAUCUUGAUUAUAAUAGUUUAUCACCUUGCAUUCUCAUGCCAUGCUCAUGCAUCAUCUUGUUUGCAUAUGAUUGUUAUUGAUUGUUGCCAUUCAUUUCGGUAGGCUCCGCACCCCCGGAUUCCACCGAAUAUCCGUCUCACGGAUAUUGUCCCUCCUCUGAGCAAGAAGGCAAGCAACCCUUUUUAUCAUCCCGAUAAUUCCCAUGUUCUUGCUCCUGCCCUUAUUUAUUGCAUUAGGAUCAAAUGCUUCAACUGCUUUUGCCACGAUAGUUGAACCCACUUCCUUUGCAUGACUUAACCUUGUCACAGUAAAUAGUCAAACCUUGCAACCUAGCAUACCUGAUAGUAGCUUGAGCUAUGAUGUGCCUUAUCCUGCUAUGCAUGCUAUGCUUAGAGUUGUGUAUGNNNNNNNNNNACACUUACUUAUUGCAUGAGGAUCAAAUGCUUCAAAUGCUUUUGCCACGUUAGUUGAACCCACUUCCUUUGCAUGACCUAUCCUUGUCACAGUAAAUAGCUGAACCUUGCAACCUAGCAUACCUGGUAGUUGCUUGAGCCAUGAUGUGCCUUAUCCUGUUAUGCAUGCUAUGCUUAGAGUUGUGUAUGNNNNNNNNNNUCUGUCAUCUGGGAGAUGAACAGAAUUGUGAGAAUGUGUUCGGUAAGCAAAGGUUGUGUGUUGAACCUGAUUUGGUAAAGGUACCGGUGAAAGGUUGUGUAGGAGUACAUGGCGGGUUGUUUCAUUGGAACCGUCCUUAGGAACUGAUUUGCGUGUAUGUAAUCCAAGACGAGAUACUACCACAUGAUGGGCCCUGAAAUAUGACCCCGCUCGACUUAUUAAUCGCUUAGUACUCNNNNNNNNNNNNNNNNNNNNNNNNNNNNNNNNNNNNNNNNNNNNNNNNNNNNNNNNNNNNNNNNNNNNNNNGAGAGGUGGGCUGUGAUGCGGUAGGCAGUGGCAUGGUGUACCAAGUGGCACCCGGAUGGUGGGCUUGGGAACCCUGCGCACAUCGUUUGGGGCCGUGGCGGAAACCUCGGCCGGACUUUCGUGCGGGUUACCCUCAGAUAGGCGAUAGACCUGGACUAGGUACUAAUGUGGNNNNNNNNNNGCCUAUUAAUCUCUUAGUACUCGGUCCAGGAGUUGCAAGUAGUUUCUGGUGUUUAUAGUAAUGCUGGAGGCCGUGCAUGGUGCUGACCUGAGAGGUGGGCCGUGAUACGGUAGGCAGUGGCAUGGUGUACCAAGUGGCACCCGGAUGGUGGGCUUGGGAACCCCGCGCACAUCGUUUGAGGCCGUGGCGGAAACCUCGGCCGGACUUCCGUACGGGUUACUCUCAGAUAGGCGAUAAACCUGGAUUAGGUACUAGUGUGGUUAACGGUCGUGGCCGACUCCCUCGUAGGGCUUCCGCUUGAAGGUUGCCGAGGUGCAUGACGUGCACAUGGCGAUAAGUGGUGAGAGCGUGUGUGAAGAAGUACACCCCUGCAGGGUUAUGAUCUAUUCGAAUAGCUGCGUCCACGGAUAUGGAAUACUUGGAGACAUAUGUUGUUCAUAGAUAACUUCAAUGGCUACUCAUANNNNNNNNNNAAGAGGUGGGAUGUGAUGCGGUAGGCAGUGGCACGGUGUACCAAGUGGCACCCAGAUGGUGGGCUUGGGAACCCUGCGCACAUCGUUUGGGACCGUGGCGGAAACCUCGGCCGGACUUCCCUACGGGUUACCCUCAGAUAGGCGAUAGACCUGGACUAGGUACUAAUGUGGUUAACGGUCGUGGCCGACUCCCUCGCUGGGCUUCUGCUUGAAGGUUAACGAGGUGCAUGAUGUGCACAUGGCGAUAAGUGGUGAGAGCGUGUGUGACGAAGUACACCCCUGCAGGGUUAUGAUCUAUUCGAAUAGCCGCGUCCGCGGAUAUGGACUACUUGGAGACAUAUGUUGUUCAUAGAUAACAUCAAUGGCUACUCGAAAAAUUGCCAAGAUAAGCGUGGGUGUCGUGGACGGCAUUUCUGUAUGGAGACAGAAUGAUUCCACAAUGGUGUAUUGUUGUGGUGUUAGUGGACUCGUGUGCGAGAAAUCAAGUUGUCAAAAUUAUUUAAAAAUCAAGUUGUCUAGCCACGAGUCAGAUGCUGGCUUUCCGCAUGAAACCCCACAAUACCUUUUUGAUACCUUGCAUGAGUAGUUAGUUAUCCUAAAGUCUUGCUGGGUACCUUCGUACUCAUGUUUGCUUAAUAAUUGUUGCAGAGGUUGCUAAUGACCCUAAUGGAGGGUUCUUCGUAGACAUCGACGACGACGAGUAGCUGGUGUCCCAGCUACGAUCUGGCCNNNNNNNNNNAGUACCUUCGUACUCAUGUGUGCUUAAUAAUUGUUGCAGAGGUUGCUAAUGACCGUAAUGGAGGGUUCUCCAUAGACAUCGACGACGACGAGUAGCUGGUGUCCCAGCUACGAUCUGGCCCUACGUUGGGUCUGUAGUAUAGUCAGCCCAUGUGCCUUCUAGUUGCCCUGUCUGUACUCAGACAGUUUAAACUCUUCCGCUGGCAUGUAACUGAAUGACUGCUAUUAUGGGUCGUGAGACCCUUAAUGUGUAAUAUUAUGUGUGUGGCUCUUCCGAGCCUCUUAAAUAAAGGUUGUAUGUAUAUGGUUAUGUUGUGAUGCCAUUGAUGUAUCUAUACAUAUCGGUAUGCCAUGCGUACGUGUGCCGUACUUGAUAUGUAUGGGGUUCGAUUACUUAGUCGUGAACUUUAGUANNNNNNNNNNUCUUGGUAGUUCGCUACUGCUCCGGACACAUUGGUUGACCGGCAUCUGUCCUUCUUAGCUGUUGUGUCUGUCCCCUUUGGGGAAAUGUCACGCGAUGUAAUGGAGUCCUUGUAGCUUGCUGCGACUCGUCUACAUUCGCUGAUGACCGACACCUCCUUUUUGGGUCAUGUAUGCCUGUCCUUGUGCGGUACUGCCACUUUGGUUUAUGACUAGACNNNNNNNNNNNNNNNNNNNNNNNNNNNNNNNNNNNNNNNNNNNNNNNNNNNNNNNNNNNNNNNNNNNNNNNNNNNNNNNNNNNNNNNNNNNNNNNNNNNNAGGUUGAGCUUCCAGGUCAUGGAGGUAAUCUCUAUGAGAUGUUCUAUGUGGAUGCCUGAGCUAUGAGCGGAAGGAUAGUAUGGUAGUAGCCGUACGUUCACAGUCCUGUGUGACUUGUGAAGUAUGCCUGUGAUGUGAAAUGAAUUCCGGAGGCCUAGAUAAAUAAUGUAUAGGAAGCUUGUAAGCCUCUGAUGAGUAGUUUCAUAAUUUCAGUAGUUUGCUCUUCGAGUAAGGUUGUACUGAACUAUGUAAGGGUGUGUAUGAACCAUGGUGUAUAUAUAGCAGUUGCUUGCUACCAUGUUGUUCGGAUAUUCAUUUCCGCAUUUCGUGUGUUCAGUACAUUCUUAAUCCAUAGCUAGUAUUGAUAUGAUAUUGGUCUAAGUUGUGAGUUUGUUUGUCAGGAUGGUGUUCACCAGGUUGAACCGUACCCCUGCUCAUGAGCAAGGCGAGGGUAGUCAAGCGUCGCAGGAAGACCUGCCUCACCCGCCCUCUCUAGCGGAAGUUAUGCUAGAGGCAGAGAGAAACAAAAGAGAGACCAACCGUUUGUUAGAGCGUAUUGAGAAGAAUACGGCUCGUCAGCCUAGGAAUGCUGCACUGUCCCUCAACGACUUUGUGAAGCUGAAUCCUCCAAAGUUCCAUCACUCCGUCGAUCCCCUCGACGCUAAUGACUGGUUGUGCAGCAUCUCACGCAAGAUUCGCUCUGCGAAUGUUUCUGAGGCCGACAAGGUGACCUUUGCGGCGUAUUUCCUGGAAGGACCCGUCAAUCUGUGGUGGGAGAACUUUGAAGCUAUGCGUCCUGCUGAACCAGCAGCCACAUGGGCAGACUUCAGUGCAGCCUUUCGUUUGCACCAUAUUCCAGAGGGCCUGAUGGACAGAAAGAGAGGGGAGUUCUGUGCCUUCACUCAGGGCAAGUUGACCGUGGAUGCCUAUAGCCGCGAGUUCGGUAACCUCGCCCGCUAUGCAACANNNNNNNNNNAGCCAAGAAGCAAGCAAGAUUACGACAGGGUCUGAGCCCUGAGCUUCGUCGUGAUCUGCGCCUCCACGAGUGUGCAAGCUUUCAAGCCCUGGUCAACAAGGCGAUCAGUGCCGAGACUGGUCAUACUGACUUUGAAGCCACAAGGAAGCACUCCCGUGACUUUGGCUCGUCUUCUGGUUCCACAUUUCCAAAACGCAGGCUGUGGGUUCCGAACAGUUCUCUACCGCCAAGAUACACUCCGAGGCCAUCCUACGUGGCGCCUCAGACGAAUCAGACCAACCCUCCAGCAAAAACUUAUGGUGGUCCAGCUAGCAAUGCUGCACCACGUGCCAACCAAGUGAUAUGCUACAAGUGUGGAGAACCAAGGCACUAUUCCCGUGAGUGUCCUCAAAAUGUGGGUGCGAAGCAACCCGGAAAGUCCGUCGGGCAAGGCAAGUCGGGCAAAGCUUACUAUGUGAAGCCAACUCCUGCACGUGGCCGUGUGAACUAUGUGUCAGCAGAAGAAGCUGCAGAGGAUCCCGACGUCAUGCUGGCUACGCUUCUUGUUAAUCAUCACCCAGCGUCCGUUCUAUUUGACACUGGGUCUUCUCAUUCCUUCAUUUCAGAAAGUUAUGCACAGUUGCAUAACNNNNNNNNNNNNNNNNNNNNNNNNNNNNNNNNNNNNNNNNNNNNNNNNNNNNNNNNNNNNNNNNNNNNNNNNNNNNNNNNNNNNNNNNNNNNNNNNNNNNUGGCUUUUGUUACUCGUUAUGGCCAAUACGAGUACACCGUCAUGUCCUUCGGGUUAACCAAUGCCCCAGCCACCUUCUCUCGUUUGAUGAAUUCAAUCUUCAUGGAGUAUUUGGAUAAAUUCGUCGUGGUAUACCUCGAUGAUAUUCUCAUCUACUCAAAGAAUGAACAAGAACAUGCCGAGCAUCUAAGGCUGGUAUUGAUGAAACUUCGAGAGCAUCGCCUUUAUGCCAAGUUUUCAAAGUGUGAAUUUUGGUUACCAGAAGUGACCUAUCUGGGUCACGUAAUCUCUCGUAAGGGUAUUGCUGUCAAUCCCGAGAGAGUUCAAGCUGUCCUUGAUUGGACUCAACCUGAAUCGGUUAAGCAAGUUAGGAUUUUUCUUGGUCUAGCGAGCUAUUGUCGCCGCUUCGUCGAGAAUUUCUCCAAGGUUGCAAAGCCUCUAACUGAACUCCUCAAGAAAGUUAAAAGGUUCGAGUGGACACCACAGUGUGAGCAUAGUUUUGAGGAACUGAAAAUACGCCUGACUUCCGCACCUGUGUUGCUACCACCAGAUUUUUCUAAGGACUUUGUUAUCUACUGCGACGCCUCGCGACAAGGAUUAGGUUGCAUUCUCAUGCAAGAUCGUCAUGUGAUCGCAUGCAUCUCGACAGUUGCGUCCACAUGAGGAUAAUUAUCCCACACAUGACCUUGAGCUUGCAGCUGUGGUCCAUGCACUAAAAACCUGGCGACAUUACCUUCUGGGUAAUCGUUGCGAAAUAUUCACUGAUCACCAAAGUCUGAAAUAUAUCUUCACCCAGCCGGAUUUGAAUCUCAGGCAAAGACGGUGGGUUGAGUUGAUCUCAGAUUACGACUUAGGGAUAACUUACACCCCGGGGAAGGCCAAUGUUAUGGCUGAUGCACUAAGUCGUAAAUCUUAUUGUAACAAUUUGAUGCUACAACAAGGUCAACCACAUCUCUCUGAGGACUUGCGGGAGUUGAAUCUUCAUAUUGUUCCUCAAGGAUUCCUUUCUACCUUGGUGGUGAAGCCUACCCUUAAGGAUCAAAUUAUAGCUGGCCAAAAGCGUGACAAGGGUAUAUCACGGAUCAUGGAGAAUAUUUUUAGCGGAAACACUAAAGAAUUUUCCAUGAACGAUCAAGGUGUUGUGUUCUUCCAGAAUCGUCUAGUGGUUCCUAAGAACCCACAUCUAAGGCAGUUAAUCCUUAAGGAGGCUCAUGAUUCUCCUCUCACCAUUCAUCCCGGUAGGACUAAGAUGUAUCAGGACCUACGCCAGAGGUUCUAGUGGACUAGGAUGAAGAGAGAAAUUGCUGAGUUCGUUGCUAACUGCGAUGUUUGUCGUCGAGUUAAGGCAGAACAUCAAAGGCCUGCUGGCACCCUUNNNNNNNNNNAAGGCCCAUGAUUCUCCUCUCACCAUUCAUCCCGGUAGUACUAAGAUGUAUCAGGACCGACGCCAGAGGUUCUGGUGGACUAGGAUGAAGAGAGAAAUUGCUGAGUUCGUUGCUAACUGCGACGUUUGUCGUCGAGUUAAGGCAGAACAUCAAAGGCCUGCUGGCACCCUUCAACCUCUAGCUAUUCCUGAAUGGAAAUGGGAUAAAGUUAGUAUGGAUUUCAUUACCGGAUUUCCCAAGACCAAGAAAGGAAAUAAUGCUAUCUUUGUGGUCAUUGACCGUCUUUCCAAAGUGGCUCAUUUUCUUCCUGUUCUUGAGAAUAUAACAGCUAGCCAGCUAGCAGAGUUAUAUAUCUCCCGAAUAGUGUCUCUUCAUGGUGUUCCCCUGGAGAUUAUCUCGGACCGUGGGAGUAUCUUUACUUCUCGCUUCUGGGAAAGUUUUCAGAAUGCCAUGGGGACUCACCUAUCUUUUNNNNNNNNNNCGUUCGUGAGAGUAUAAUAGCUAGCCAGCUAGCAGAGUUAUACAUCUCUCGAAUAGUGUCUCUUCAUGGUGUUCCCCUGGAGAUUAACUCGGACCGUGGGAGUAUCUUUACUUCCCGCUUCUGGGAAAGUUUUCAGAAUGCCAUGGGGACUCACCUAUCUUUUAGCACUGCUUUCCAUCCCCAAUCAAGUGGUCAAGUAGAAAGAGUGAAUCAAAUCCUAGAAGAUAUGCUCCGAGCUUGUGUUAUAUCGUUCGGUAUGAAUUGGGAGAAGUACCUUCCAUUCNNNNNNNNNNNNNNNNNNNNNNNNNNNNNNNNNNNNNNNNNNNNNNNNNNNNNNNNNNNNNNNNNNNNNNNNNNNNNNNNNNNNNNNNNNNNNNNNNNNNAUGACGUCGGGAUCCUCUGCAGCUUCUUCUGCUGACACAUAGUUCACACGGCCACGUGCAGGAGUUGGCUUCACAUAGUAAGCUUUGCCCGACUUGGCUUGCCCGACGGACUUUCCGGGUUGCUUGGCACCCACAUUCUGAGGACACUCACGGGAAUAGUGCCCUCGUUCUCCACACUUGUAGCAUAUCACUUGGUUGGCACGUGGUGCAGCAUUGCUAGCUGGACCACCAUAAGCUUUUGCUGAAGGGUUGGCCUGAUUCGUCUGAGCCGCCACGUAGGAUGGCCUCGGAGUGUAUCUUGGCGGCAGAGAACUGUUCGGAACCCACAGCCUGCGUUUUGGAAACGCGGAACCAGAAGACGAGCCAAAGUCACGGGAGUGCUUCCUUGUGGCUUCGAAGUCAGUAUGACCAGUCUCGGCACUGAUCACUUUGUUGACCAGGGCUUGAAAGCUUGCACACUCAUGGAGGCGCAGAUCACGACGAAGCUCAGGGCUCAGACCCUUAUGGAAUCUUGCUUGCUUCUUGGCGUCAGUAGACACCUCCUCUGUUGCAUAGCGGGCGAGGUUACCGAACUCGCGGCUAUAGGCAUCCACAGACAACUUGCCCUGAGUGAAGGCACAUAACUCUUCUCUCUUUCUGUCCAUCAGGCCCUCUGGAAUAUGGUGCAGACGAAAGGCUGCACUGAAGUCCGCCCAUGUGGCUGUUGGUUCAGCGGGACACAUUGCUUCAAAAUUCUCCCACCACAGACUGGCGGGUCCUUCGAGGAAAUACGCCGCAAAGGGUCACCUUGUCGGCCUCAGACACAUUCGUAGAGCGAAUCUUGCGUGAGAUGCUGCACAGCCAGUCAUCAGCGUCGAGGGGAUCGACGGAAUGAUGAAACUUUGCAGGAUUCAGCUUCACAAAGUCAUUGAGGGACACUACGGCAUUCCUAGGCUGUCGAGCCGUAUUCUGCUCAUUACUCUCUAACAGUCGAUUAGUCUCCCUUUUGUUUCUCUCUGCCUCAAGCAUCACUUCCGCCAGAGAGGGCGGAUGAGGCAGGUCUUCCUGCGACGCUUGACUACCCUCGCCUUGCUCAUGACCAGGGGCACGGUUCAACCUGGUGAACACCAUCUUGACAAACAAACUCAUAGCUUAGACCAAUAUCAUAUCAAUACUAGCUAUGGAUUAAGAAUCUACUGAACACAGGGAAUGCGGAAAUGAAUAUCCGAACAGCAUGGUAACAAGCAACUGCUAUAUAUACACCAUGGUUCAUACACACCCUUACAUAGNNNNNNNNNNNNNNNNNNNNNNNNNNNNNNNNNNNNNNNNNNNNNNNNNNNNNNNNNNNNNNNNNNNNNNNNNNNNNNNNNNNNNNNNNNNNNNNNNNNNNNNNNNNNNNNNACAUACUUCGCAAUUCACGCAGGACUGUGAACGUACGGCUACUACCAUACUAUCCUUCUGCUCACUGCUCAGGCAUCCGCAUAGAACAUCUCAUAGAGAUUACCNNNNNNNNNNUGCUUCCUAUACAUUAUUUAUCUAGGCCUCCGGAAUUCAUUUCACAUUACACGCAUACUUCACAAUUCACGCAGGACUGUGAACGUACGGCUACUACCAUACUAUCCUUCCGCUCACAGCUCAGGCAUCCCCAUAGAACAUCUCAUAGAGAUUACCUCCAUGACCUGGAAGCUCAACCUGCGGAUCAGGAAACACUCUAGCCUGAGAUCCCUGGGAUCCAUAAGGACACGGAUGUGGCCUUGGUCCCCUUACUGGUGGUAAGAGGGGCCCCCGAAGAGGGGUGACUCCUCCUAUAGCUGGCCAGUCAACGUGGGCCGGAAGAUGGGUCCUAACAGGGUUCAGCAUCUCCAUAUCUCCGUACCCUGUCUGGACUACUGGUGCGAGCUGUGUCAAAGCCGUCCACAGACGGGCACGGGUAGCAUAAAGCUCCAUGCGGNNNNNNNNNNGACUGGUGGUAAGAGGGGUCCCCGAAGAGGUGUGACUCCUCCUAUAGCUGGCCAGUCAAUAUGGGCCGGAAGAUGGGUCCUAACAGGGUUCAGCAUCUCCAUCUCUCCAUACCCUGUCUGGACUACCGGUGCCUGCUGCGUCAAAGCCGUCCACAGACGGGCACGGGUAGCAUAAAGCUCCAUGCGGAGAGCACGAGCAUCCCUGUCUAUGUUCUCUACCAUCUCAACAGUGGACUACAGUAGUGGAUCCUCCAUAGAAGAAUCAAAAUAGACUCCCCUGAGGUAUCCCUCUUCACCAGGCUGAGAGGCAGGAACAUAGCAGAACUCUGAAUUCUGCAGCAGUGCAUGGCUCGCCCUCAUAAUGGUCAGCAUUGAAUAGGCAGCAUCUUGUACUGCCAUGUCAACAGUGAAUCCCAACCCAUAGGACCAAUGGAUUGGCUCCUCAGCUCCAGGGUAGUCUGGAAAUACCCUAACAGUGCAGAUAUACUGGCUCUGGUUGAAGUCUCGGUACUGUUCCUCCACUGUGUACUCGGGGUACCAGCGGUAACCGCACACNNNNNNNNNNCUGUUCUCUAGCAUCUCAACCGUGGACUGCAGUAGUGGAUCCUCCAUAGAAGAAUCAAAAUAGACUCCACUGAGGUAUCCCUCUUCACCAGGCUGAGAGGCCGGAACAUAGCAGAACUCUGAAUUCUGCAGCAGUGCAUGUCUCUCUCUCAUAAUGGUCAGCAUUGAAUAGGCAGCAUCUUGUACUGCCAUGUCAACAGUGAAUCCCAACCCAUAGGACCAAUGGAUUGGCUNNNNNNNNNNNNNNNNNNNNNNNNNNNNNNNNNNNNNNNNNNNNNNNNNNNNNNNNNNNNNNNNNNNNNNNNNNNNNNNNNNNNNNNNNNNNNNNNNNNNUGUUACGAGGGUUUCCGGAAUGGUCCGGAAACGAAGAUUGAUAUAUAGGAUGACCUCAUUUGAUUACCGGAAGGUUUUCGGAGUUAUCGGGAAUGUACCGGGAAUGACGAAUGGGUUCCGGGAGUUCACCGGGGGGGCAACCCACCCCGGGGAAGCCCAUAGGCCAUAAGGGUGGCGCACCAGCCCUUAGUGGGCUGGUGGGACAUCCCAAAAGGGCCCUAUGCGCCAUACAAAGGAAAAUCAAAGAGAAAGAAAAAAGGGAGGUGGGAAGGAAGGGAAGGACUCCCACCCACCAAACCAAGUCCAACUCGGUUUGGGGGGGGAGCCUUCCCCCCUUGGACUCGGCCGACUCCCUUGGGGCUCCUUGAGCCCCAAGGCAAGGUCCCCUCCCUCCCACCUAUAUAUACGGAGGUAUGGGGGCUUAUUUGAGACGACUUUUCCACGGCAGCCCGACCACAUACCUCCACGGUUUUUCCUCUAGAUCGCGUUUCUACGGAACUCGGGCGGAGCCCUGCUGAGACAAGGUCAUCACCAACCUCCGGAGCACCGUCACGCUGCCGAAGAACUCUUCUACCUCUCCGUCUCUCUUGCUGGAUCAAGAAGGCCGAGAUCAUCGUCGAGCUGUACGUGUGCUGAACGCGGAGGUGCCGUCCGUUCGGUACUAGAUCGUGGGACUGAUCGCGGGAUUGUUCGCGGGGCGGAUCGAGGGACGUGAGGACGUUCCACUACAUCAACCGCGUUCACUAACGCUUCUGCUGUACGAUCUACAAGGGUACGUAGAUCACUCAUCCCCUCUCGUAGAUGGACAUCACCAUGAUAGGUCUUCGUACGCGUAGGAAAAUUUUUGUUUCCCAUGCGACGUUCCCCAACAGUUACAUUGGUCCUUUUCGCAUUCUUGCCAAACAAGGAGAAGUUUCCUACCAGUUGGAGCUUCCCCCGCAUCUUUCCAAGGUUCAUGAUGUCUUCCACGUCUCGCAACUCAGGCGAUGCUUUUCGGAUCCUAUCCGUGAAGUGGACCACGAAACGCUUGAUCUCCAAGAUAACCUUUCAUACCGAGAAUACCCCGUGCGUAUUCUUGAUCAAGCUGAGCGUACCACUCGACGUAGAAACCUCAAGUUUCUUAAAGUUCAAUGGUCAAAUCAUUCUGAAAAGGAGGCAACUUGGGAAAGAGAGGAUCGUCUCCGACUUGAGUAUCCUGCGUUAUUUCCGACGACUUCUAAAUCUCGGGACGAGAUUCUUUUGAGUGGGGGUGAGUUGUCACAUCCCUGACACCUUAAUCAAGUUAGCCUCGUGCUCAUGUUUUCUUUGCAUUGCAUCUAGGAAAUUUUCAACAAGAAAAAGUAAGUGGUGAAGGAAAACUCAACAAACCCUAGCCAUUUCUCAAAUUAAAGGAAAUUUCAAACUAGUUAAAAUCAAUGAACCCAANNNNNNNNNNNNNNNNNNNNNNNNNNNNNNNNNNNNNNNNNNNNNNNNNNNNNNNNNNNNNNNNNNNNNNNNNNNNNNNNNNNNNNNNNNNNNNNNNNNNCGCCAGCGCGACGCCCGCGUCUUCUUAUCCUCCUCCCCGCGGCUCUAUCCUCUCCCUAGGCCUCUCGAUCCCCUUUCCCUCUCGGAUCUCUCUCUCCCCGAAGCUCUGGCCGCCGUCGAUCUGUCAUCUCCCGGUCCUCCCCGACCCUGCCGGCUGCCUCACAAGAUCCGCCAAGAGCUCCUCUUCCUGUUCCCCCUCUACCCGAGGCUUUCCCCCUCCUCUAACCACGUUAGCCGCCGGAGCCCGAAGGACCUCGUCGCCGGCCAUGUCAUUGCCGUCGUUGUGGUACUUGGCUCGCGAGGCCGAGCUCAGGAAUGAGCUCCUCGAGCUCUGUAGAUGGCGUAGGGUCUCUCUCCCAGCUCGCUAGCCCCCUGCAUCGGCACUGUCGUCGACGCCCGAGCCGCAGCCGCCGCUGGCCUCAUCGCCGGCAAGGAUUCCGGUGACCACCGGGUCCAGCUCCACUCCAGAUAGAUGCGGCAUUUCACCAGCUGCCUGUAGCUCUCUUCUGCACCCAAAACCGAUGGCCGUAGCGCUGUCUGGCUCUCUCCGGCGAGCCCUCCGCCGCGCCCGUGGUCGCCGCCGGCCAUACUCCGGUGGGGGCCGACGUGGCCAAGUUAAUUCGGUAGUUUAGAGGCUUAAACUCUCGCUGACAGUGGGCCCAAGGCCAAGUCAACUUAAUUAAGGGGCCGGUCAGCGCGGGAUUAACCCCAGAGAGGCUGACCAGUGGGUCCCCCCUGCCAGGUUUGACCUGAACAGGUCGGCUGACCUGCUGAUGUCAGGCUGACGCAAUAAAGAGAUUUUUCAAUAUAAGAAUAUUUCCAGAAAUGUGUAAAACUUCGAAAAUUCAUAGAAAUUAAUCUGUAACUCCAAUGAAUAUAAUUUAUAUAUGAAAAAGUAUCAGAAAAAUGCAAGGAAUCUGAAUAUGCUACUUUUAAUCAUGUUUGAAAAAGUUACAGAACCCAAACAUGUAGAUUAAUGAAUAAGUCAAUUCUUAUAAUUACUUUAUAAAUGGAAUAUGAAAAGUAUUUAAAUUUUCUUUUUGUUUGACAUGAUCAAACAUUGUUCUAAUAACAAACCAGUACCUUAACAUGACAUCUCAUGCAUGCUAACAUCAAGUUGAUCUGAGCAUCAGGUCGAAUCAAUUAAAUCGGUAUCCGAGAAUACCUCGUUUGAAUUGAUAUUCGAAUGUGAUUCAAAUCAACUCUAAACCUAAUACAUCUUGAUUAUAAUAGUUUAUCACCUUGCAUUCUCAUGCCAUGCUCAUGCAUCAUCUUGUUURCAUAUGAUUGYUAUUGAUUGUUGCCAUUCAUUUCGGUAGGCUCCGCACCCCGGAUUCUACCGAAUAUCCGUCUGACGGAUAUUGUCCCUCCUCUGAGCAACAAGGCAAGCAACCCUUUUGAUCAUCCCGAUAAUUACCAUGUUCUUGCUCCUGCACUUAUUUAUUGCAUUAGGAUCAAAUGCUUUCAACUGCUUUUGCCACGUUAGUUGAACCUACUUCCUUUGCAUGACCUAACCUUGUCACAGUAAAUAGCCGAACCUUGCAACCUAGCAUACCUGGUAGUUGCUUGAGCUCUGAUGUGCCUUAUCCUGCUAUGCAUGCUAUGCUUAGAGUUGUGUAUGGUCUGUCAUCUGGGAGAUGAACAGAAUUGUGAGAAUGUGUUCGGUAAGCAAAGGUUGUGUGUUGAACCUGACUUGGUAAAGGUACCGGUGAAAGGCUGUGUAGGAGUACAUGGCGGGUUGUUUCAUUGGAACCGUCCAUAGGAACUGAGUUCCGUGUAUGUAAUCCAAGACUAGAUACUACCACAUGCUGGGCCCUGAAAUAUGACCCCGCUCGGCCUAUUAAUCUCUUAGUACUCGGUCCAGGAGUUGCAAGUAGUUUCUGGUGUUUAUAGUAAUGCUGGAGGCCGUGCAUGGUGCUGACCUGAGAGGUGGGCCGUGAUACGGUAGGCAGUGGCAUGGUGUACCAAGUGGCACCCGGAUGGUGGGCUUGGGAACCCCGCGCACAUCGUUUGAGGCCGUGGCGGAAACCUCGGCCGGACUUCCGUACGGGUUACUCUCAGAUAGGCGAUAAACCUGGAUUAGGUACUAGUGUGGUUAACGGUCGUGGCCGACUCCCUCGCUGGGCUUCCGCUUGAAGGUUGCCGAGGUGCAUGACGUGCACAUGGCGAUAAGUGGYGAGAGCGUGUGUGAAGAAGUACACCCCUGCAGGGUUAUGAUCUAUUCGAAUAGCUGCGUCCACGGAUAUGGAAUACUUGGAGACAUAUGUUGUUCAUAGAUAACUUCAAUGGCUACUCAUAAAAUUGCCAAGAUAAGCGUGGGUGUCGUGGACGGCAUUUCUGUAUGGAGACGGAAUGAUUCAACGAUGGUGUAUUGUUGUGGUGUUAGUGGACUCGUGUGCGAGAAAUCAAGUUGUCAAAAUUAUUUAAAAAUGCAAGUUCUCUAGCCACGAGUCAGAUGCUGGCUUUCCGCAUGAAACCCCACAAUACCUUUUUGAUACCUUGCAUGAGUAGUUAGUUAUCCUAAAGUCUUGCUGGGUACCUUCGUACUCAUGUUUGCUUAAUAAUUGUUGCAGAGGUUGCUAAUGACCCUAAUGGAGGGUUCUUCGUAGACAUCGACGACGACGAGUAGCUGGUGUCCCAGCUACGAUCUGGCCCUACGUUGGGUCUGUAGUAUAGUCAGGCCAUGUGCCUUCUAGUUGCCCUGUCUGUACUCAGACAGUUUAAACUCUUCCGCUGGCUUGUAACUGAAUGACUGCUAUUAUGGGUCGUGAGACCCUUAAUGUGUAAUAUUAUGUGUGUGGCUCUUCCGAGCCUCUUAAAUAAAGGUUGUAUGUAUAUGGUUAUGUUGUGAUGCCAUUGAUGUAUCUAUACAUAUCGGUAUGCCAUGCGUACGUGUGCCGUACUUGAUAUGUAUGGGGUUCGAUUACUUAGUCGUGAACUUUAGUAGCACUCCUUACAAGGAAAUGCCCCUUUGUGAUCCAAUGAGUCUUGGUAGUUCGCUACUGCUCCGGACACAUUGGUUGACCGGCAUCUGUCCUUCUUAGCUGUUGUGUCUGUCCCCUUUGGGGAAAUGUCACGCGAUGUAAUGGAGUCCUUGUAGCUUGCUGCGACUCGUCUACAUUCGCUGAUGACCGACACCUCCUUUUUGGGUCAUGUAUGCCUGUCCUUGUGCGGUACUGCCACUUUGGUUUAUGACUAGACAUGUCGAUCCGGGUUCUUUGACAUUGGAAUGCUAGCGACACUAUUGCAUACGUGAGUCAAAAGACGCAAACGGUCCCGGCUAAGGUAAGGCUGCAGCCGUGGAGUUAACCGUGCGUGAGACCGCAAAGGGAUGCGAUGUGUUACAGACUGGAUUCCUAUGGCUUAGGAUCGGGGUCCCGCAUGCAGACCCUGUGGGUUCGAGAACUAUGUACACAUGACCUAAGACAUUCUCCGGUCAAUAACCAAUAAUGGAACCUGGAUGCCCAUAUUGGAUCCUACAUGUUCUACAAAUAUCUUUAUCGGUUGAACCUCUAUGUCAAGGAUUCAGUUAAUCCCGUAGGUUGUGCCCUUUGUCCAUUGGUAUAUUACUUGCCCGAGAUUCGAUCGUUAGUAUCUCUAUACCUAGUUCAAUCUCAUUACUCGCAAGUCUCUUUACUCAUUCCGUAUUACAAGACCACGUGACUAAUUCUUUAGUCACAUUGCUUGCAAGUAUUGUUGUGAUGUUGUAUUACUGAGUGGUCCCCGAGAUACCUCUCUGUUACACGGAGUGACAAAUCCCAGUCUUGAUCCAUGCCAACCCAACAGACACCUUUGGAGAUACCUGUGGAGCACCUUUAUAGUCACCCAGUUACGUUGCAACAUUUGAUACACACAAGAUAUUCCUCUGGUAUCCGGGAGUUGCAUGAUCUCAUGGUCAUAGGAAGAUAUACGUUGACAUGCAGAAAACAGUAGCAAUAAACUGACAUUCAUAGUUUGGGUCUUGUCCAUCACAUCAUUCUCCUAAUGAUGUGAUACCGUUAUCAAAUGACAUCUCAUGUCUAUGGCCAGUCAACCUUGACCAUCUUUGAUCAACGAGCUAGUCCUUGAGAGGCUCACUAGUAGGCACAACGUGUUGUAUAUGUAUCCACACAUGUAUUUGAGUUUCCAAUCAAUACAAUUCCAGCAUGGAUAAUAAAUGAUUAUCAUGAAAAAGGAAAUAAUAAUAACCAAUUUAUUAUUACCUCUAGGGCAUAUUUCCAACAUGAAGAAGUAUUACGAUACCACGGGGUAAGGUGACUACAGCAAACCUCGGCCGUUGUGGGACAAAGCGGAGCAAGACCUACUUGCUAAAGGGGUCCAACCAACGACAUUGCACUGGCCAGAUCGGUCAAGGACUUGGUUCUUCGGGGUUGGGGGGAACUUUGGACCCAGAAUCAGGGAAGUGUGUUUGGAUGAACGAACAACUUGCAAUACCCAUUACCAAGUUUGAGGAGGCAAUUAAGGAAGCGCAGGAAGGGAUGUUCAUUCCCGACAAAGAGAACGACGAGCUCACAGAGGCCCUCGGGAAUCCUGAACACCCUAGACGAACACGAGGCACAUCAAGCUCCGUUCUGUGGGUGCAUGGGUUUCUCGACACCUAUGGUUAUAGAAGCUGACAGAGAAAGAAAAAAGAGGAAGCAACCGAAAUGCAAAAGCUUAGUGCAAGAUUAGCGAAACCAGAGGAACUUGAGAGCCAGCGAGCUACCAGCCAACCAUCUCAGUGGCACGAAGAUCCUUCCUUGGAUGCUGCCACAAAAGCUACCCCACCAUCUCAGCGAAGAAGCAGCGUGGUUUUCACAGAGCUUGUUCAGCCUGAUUUGAUGGCUCCUCUCUACCCCGUGGAUAGUAACACGGAGGCUGAACAUUGUGUGCUAAUGGAGAAAUGCCAGAACCUGACCUUGAAGGCGGCACUCGGCUCUAUUCUACCUCCUCGAGCUGAGAGAACUUUCCAUUAUCGUCUGAUUCCACAUGUCUAUGCUAUUGUGACGGUGGAUGAAAUAACGGAGGGGUUUGAGGAGCUCGAUCUUGACUACCCUACAAGUGAAGGGGAGAUUCAUCUGGAAAAUGCUUUAAGGUCUACAUGUCUAUGGAGAAAGGAGUACAUCAAGCUUCCAAACUAGAUACCUCAAUAGACUGAUCAGCGGACUCCGCCUCCUCCAGCGCGUGAGCGCACUCCACCUCCUCUAGCGCGCACUACAAGAAAUUUUUAAUCCAUGACGGAUUUCUGACAACGUUUCCGUAAACCGUCGUGGAAACUGUCAUUGAUCAGGAAUGUGCAGAUGGGAUCCAAAAUGAUAGCCCUUUUAUGACAAACAUCAGGAGACCUUCACAGAAACCGUCAUGUAUCGACCAGCCGGGCAUAGUCGGGCCGGGCCUUUUUUUCUUUAUUUGUAUUUGACCGUCACGGAUGAGUCUCACUACUGUAGGUAUGUAGGGCUCACAUGUCAGUAGGAGAAAAACAGAGACCAAAACUAAUAGAGCACACGCGCUAGAAAGAAAAAUUUAAGUGGUCAGCACGGGGGCUCAAAAUUUUCGAGACUUCCCAUUUAACCCCAAUUCCCCUUCCCCUUAUCCAUUCUCCUCCCGUAUCAACCAUCAGCCGCCGCCGCUCUCCACGUCGGCCCCGGCGGUGCAGGUGCUGAACCACCCCGCGUUGGGCGCCUCCAUAUUUGUCCCGCACCGAGCUCGUCCCCAUCCAUCCCACGUCGGACCCCUCCCCGUCUACCCCGCGGGCCACGCCAUGCCCCUCCCCAUUCAGAUCGUGCCCUCAAGAUAUGGUGACCCAGUGCUAUCCCUCAAGCUGAGGCAGCAGCGGUGGCAGCAAUACUGAUUGCCAAAUUUCGAAGCCCCCGAGGUCGCCGGCGACGGUCACAGAUCCAGCUCCAUCCGGCCACGGGCACAUAUCGAGCUCCAUCCAGAGGCGAGACAACAUGAGUGAGGAAUCACCCAACACCCACACACUUCUCCUCAUAUAUUUGUUCGUCGGAAUUGAGUUAUUACAUAAUUUCUUAUUUGGGUUGGGGAAUCUGCAGGUGAGGCUCGCGGGGAUGGUCAGCGCCUCAGCGACAAGGCGAUAGGAACACGGACGUCUCCUUCGCAGUCGACGACGGUACGGCCGCAUCUAUUUCAUCAGCUGGUGAGUGUGACUUGGAAAAUAGCUUCGUACUUGAGUUCCAGAUGUAUUUUAGGGGUAUAGUUUUAGAUGUUUGUUUAGAUUCCAUUGUUGGAUGUUGGCUGUGGGGUUUCUUCAACACCAUGUUGCUGGCUAUUAGUAUGACAAUGCAAGAAAUCCAGUAAUUGGAUUCAAACCUGCAAGUUCUUAACCAUCUCUAAUUAAUUCAGUAACAGAGUUCCAAGCUGAUUCAUAGACUAAAAAUUAAUGAAUCGCCCUUGGAUAUAUAGGUUGUCCUCUUGCCUGAAAAUAAAGGAAAAAAUUGCACACCACCGCCAAACUGUCCUUGUACUCUUGCCUCCCAAGACCAAAAAUAAAUUGACCUAUGUUGUUGUCUCUGCUAUUGCCAGGAACCCCCACACCCCUGAAGAUCAACAUGUAAGACUGAUGGAUGUUGGGACAUCGAUGUUGCACUGCACAUCUAUCCAAACUCCAAAGUAAUCCAAGUAAUAUCUUACACUUCACAUAUGUCCAUGGCUGGCCUGCGAGAUGAGGGUAAUUAGAUUGAUUUCUUACUCUGUUUGUGUUGGAAAUAUGCCCUAGAGGCAAUAAUAAAAAGGUUAUUAUCAUAUUUCCUUGUUCUUGAUAAUCGUCUAUUGUUCAUGCUAUAAUUGUAUUAACAGGAAACAGUAAUACAUGUGUGAAUAAAUAGAUCCCAAUGUGUCCCUAGGAAGCCUCUAGUUGGCUAGCUCGUUAGUCAAUAGAUGAUCAUGGUUUCCUAGUCAUGGGCAUUGGAUGUCAUUGAUAACGGGAUCACAUCAUUGGGAGAAUGAUGUGAUGGACAAGACCCAAUCCUAAGCAUCGCACUAGAUCGUAUUGUUCGUAUGCUAAAGCUUUUCUAAUGUCAAGUGUCUUGUCCUUCGACCGUGAGAUUGUUCAACUCCCGGAUACCGUAGGAGUGCUUUGGGUGUAUCAAAUGUCACAACGUAACUGGGUGACUAUAAAGGUGCACUACGGGUACCUCCGAAAGUAUCUGUUGGGUUGGUACCAAUCGAGAUCGAGAUUUGUCACUCCGUGUAACGGAGAGGUAUCUCUGGGCCCACUCGGUAGAACAUUAUCAUGAGCUCAAUGUGACUAAGGAGUUAGUCAAACGAUGACGUGCUACGGAACGAGUAAAGAGACUUACCGCUAACGAGAUUGAACAAGGUAUAGGUAUACCGACGAUCGAAUCUCGGGCAAGUUCUAUAGCGACAGACAAAGGGAAUUGUAUACGGGAUUGAUUGAAUCCUUGACAUCGUGGUUCAUCCGAUGAGAUCAUCGUGGAGCAAGUGGGAGCCACCAUGGGUAUCCAGACCACGCUGAUGGUUAUUGGCCGGAGAGGUAUCUCGGUCAUGUCUGCCUGUCUCCCGAACCCGUAGGGUCUACACACUUAAGGUUCGAUGACGCUAGGGUUAUAGGGAAUUGUUAUAAGAGGUUAUCGAAAGUUGUUCGGAGUCCCCGAUGAGAUCCCGGACGUCACGAGGAGCUCCGGAAUGGUCCGGAGGUAAAGAUUGAUAUAUAGGACAGAUGGUUUCGGACACCGGAAAUGUUCCGGGCAUCACCGGUAACGUACCGGGACCAGCGGAGGUGGCCCCGGGGGUCCACCGAACGGGGGCAACGACCCCGGGAGGCUAGAUGGGCCAAGUGGGGANNNNNNNNNNNNNNNNNNNNNNNNNNNNNNNNNNNNNNNNNNNNNNNNNNNNNNNNNNNNNNNNNNNNNNNNNNNNNNNNNNNNNNNNNNNNNNNNNNNNGUCGAUCACGAAGGGAUGACAGGGGAUGUUCUACCACUCAAGGAAAAGAAAAAACAGGGAUGCUCUUGGUUACCCAAAGAAAAGAAAAAACGAAGAAGAAGACGAGAUAUUUUCAGCACCCUUUUUUUUGCAAUGGAGAUAUUUUCACCACCUGUGGACAAUGUUCACCCUAGUGGAACCAUGUACGUACAGUCCCACGCCCUUGAUGCCAACGCGGGCGCCUGGGCCACCUGUUCUUUUUGCAUGGAGUGCUUCUUGGAAUUCUUUUUUGUUGGCUAACCUUGUGACGCGAGAGGACACAAGCUUUCGUCGCCGCUGGCCGCACAACGAUGUCGUCGAUAGCUAUACCCCCUUGGCAGUUGGCAUGCAGCGUAGGCCGCAUAAAUCUUAACCAGACCUGCCCGGAAAGAUUUUUGCCCGUUCAUUUUGUUGGAAGGCUGCCACGUCUGACAGCGGGACUGCCGAUCCAGGAGGGCAACGGCCUCGCCCCGGGGGCUCGGGGGACUUGGCGUCCACGCCUCCCAGCGGGAGCACGACCCGCUCCACGUCGUGAUCCCUUCCGUCUCUCUUGUUUCGGUUACAGUAGAUCUUAUCCUUUGUAAUCAUCCAUGUAUACAUAGCACUAUAUGCAGAAUCAAUAGACACACAGUUUCUACUCGUCUAACUUGGUAUCACAGGUCUCUCGCUCCUCCCGUUCCUACCGCUUCUGCCAUGAGCUACCGGCGCCCCCUCUGCCGCACCCGCUCCUUCGGGGACGCUGACGCGCCAUUCGUUCUCCCGCCCGUCGCCCCCGGCCCUGAGCACGCCGUUCCGGUCGCCGACCCCGUCGCCCCGGCCCCAGCCUCCCCCAAUGCUCGGGUCCUUUGCCGUGCCGCUGCGCCGGCAGUUCCUCCGCUCCGCAUCGCCUGCCCAGGCGCCAAUGCCCUCGCUAUCCCUCUCUCACCCAUCCACCUCCCCGCCAUCCCAACCAACCAUGUAAACAUCGCCAACUUCAUCCCGUUUAAACUCAGCCUCGACGACAACAACUACUCCAAGUGGUGCCAGCUUUUCUGGUUUGUCCUCUGCAAAUACCACGUCGAGGACCACGUCCUUGACGCGGCCGAUCCACUCCAUGAGGACCCCGUCUGGCGCAACGACGACGUCACGGUCGUUCUUUGGAUCUACGGCACCAUCUCCGACGUGAUCCAGUCCCCGGAGAGCACGGCGUUCCAUCUCCGGGAUCAACUGGAGGUCUUCUUCCGCGACAACGCCUCCGGCCGCGCCGUCCACAUCGGCGCCGAGUUCCGGGCGACGGCGCAAGGCGACAUGACAAUCGCCCAGUACUGCCGCCGCCUCCAACAGUUGGCCAACGCCAUGGCCGACGUGGGUGAGCCGGUCUCCGACCGCUCGCUCACCCUUCAACUCGUCUGCGGCUUGAACCGGCGCUUCCACGUCAUGGCCACCCUGCUCCCGAUGCAGCAACCCUUCCCGACGUUCGUCCAAGCCCGCUCUCGCCUCCUCCUGGACGAGAUCGGUCUCACCGAACGGGAACGCGCUGUCGGGGCCUCUGCUCUUGCCAUUGGCCCCGCCGGCGGCUCCUCCUCCAACGACUCCUCCACCGACCGCGUGCCUCCCUCUCAGCAGGACAAGGGGAAAGGGCCUGAUGUCGGCGAUCGCCAG
rnacentral:lncRNA from 1 species